UCGACGUCUGCGACGACGCACACCCCCAGUGCCCCAAGGGCUGCUCGGCCUGCCGCGUGGUGACGCCGAGCCCUCACAAGACGUUCCGGUGCGCCGACAUGAAGAGCACCGUCGACGGCACCUGCGGCGGGCCAUGCAAGAAGCACUGAUCCGUUCAGGGCUUCAGGCUCAGACGUGGUGUGCCGUCUAAAAUAAAGCUCAGAUGAUGAGCCAGCUUGUCACAGUGUUUGUGCGUGCCUGUGGCUCCACCUUGCAUACCGACAAUACAUACGCUGUUGUCGGUCGUCGUUGUUUCAUCACCGUCAUUGUUCUUCGUUUUAAUUUCUUCUUCAAGAGUUGUCUGUUGUUGCUCGCCUUUCAGGUGCCUGUUGUAUCAUCCGCGAAUAAAAACGUGUGUUGGUUGUGUGUCUCAGCUUAAAAUGCCUUUGGUCAUGUCACGCCAUUUUCUUAGGGACAUGGCUUUAAUAUCUUUCUACUUGUCUGCACUGUAGAGAACUCUUAUUGUCCUACUAUUCUCUCUCCCAAAAUUCGAAAUUUUUGGCUGCCAAAUUGUCUGUAACAUUCAGAGUGCUCAGACUAUUGGUAGAUCUACCCUCUUGGUCCCAAUGCAUACAUAUAUGUGCCAAAUAAUAAAUUUAUUGUGUCUACUUUAAGUCUAUAUAUAAGGAAAUGCGUAAAGAAAUACAGAACGUAAUUGUUCACGUGUGUCGCCCUUGAGAAGGUAUGAGAAUCAUCCCCACCACCCCUGCCCCUAGCCCCAGGUCUCUCGCUCGUUCCAUUGGCGGCAACAAUCCAUUGCAAACUCGAUGUCGGGAGGUAGGCUGGAUGCCGGCUGCUUAUAGAUCCAAAUGAGUAAGAGCAUCUACAGUCGGGCGUCUCAAACCUUUCUCAAACGCCCGGACGACCGUCGCAAACUGGCUUCAAACACUGACCGGCACCCUCAUAUCCAACCCAAAAAUGUGGCGGAUAUGGGGGCGUCUUGGCAUGCCCGGGACAGCCCGCCACAUCGGACCCGGCCGACGUUGGCCCACCCGAUCGCACAUACAUUCGUCCUCAUCCGCUCGCCGAAGCAAAUCCUAGCCACUUCACUCCACUCUCCAAUGGUCUUGCCGGAUUUACUGAGUCCGGCUGUAGAUGCUCUAAUAAGAGGCCAGGGUGCUCACCAAUGCAACUUACUCCUUUACUUUGGUAAAUAUCAUCAAUUAAAUAUAUCGUGUGAUGUAGACAUGUAGUUAAUAUGGAUGCAAGCCAUUUUCUUCUUGGAAGACAUUGCAACGAUCCGUGGAGUGUUUUUACCUUGCAUUUUACAUGUUACAGUGCCUAUUCUUUGCGGCAGAAAUUUACCAUGGCUCGAUGGUGUCUGCACUUGUUGCCAGCCACCUGUGCCUUCUAUAGCCGUAGUACGUACUCCGUACAAGUUUUGCAUGUGGUACUGGGCUCGUCAUCAUGGCUUGAUGCAAUCUCAAGCUCACGUGGAAGUAGUGGCCGCCUGGCCGGCCAUGCGACAUUUUCCCUUUCUUUAGCAAAGGCUAUGCGACAUUGACUGGCUCAGUGAUGCCGUUUCUAUCAUGCAAGGGGCAACUUCUUCUAUCACACAAGGGCCAAGUUCUGUGCGUACAAAUAGAACGUGAAAGCUGUGUGUUUACAACUGCAGUAAUUUGCGCCCGUGCAAUCUGCACUGCAGUACGCGACAGCAGGUCCUGAAGCUCCCACGCGAGUAGUAUGUUUUUUCUCGCUGGUGAACACUUUUACCAAUUGAAGACCGUGUUCUGGUUUAAGAAGAACAUGGAAGAUCGUUUGAUUUGCUGCAAAGGGAGUCGUAUGCCUAUUUUUCUUGUCGGUGACCUGGCUUUAGUAAGGUUUGUCCCUUUGUUAUCGCCCCAAAGAAAAAGACUGUAGCCCUUGGUGGUUUAGUUUAUAGAAGAAACACAUGAGCCACACAGUGCUAAGUCCAGGACUCGAACACUGGUGGGCAGCGAACACGCCCGUGCUGCUAAACACACGUGCGACACUUGGUUCUCCUAAUUUGAAUUUGAUACACAAAGUUACAAGCCAUGUGUAUCCUUUUAGCGCAUUAUUUCUCUACCAUGGCGUGCCUAUCUAUAUACCUUCACAGUCCAUAUUAAUCUUAUGAAAUGUGGCGGUGACGUGACGCGGAGACAAGUAAGGGGUGAGUAAAGUGGCGGUGGUAGAUAUGUGAAGAUAGUAGCCGUGUAGACCUGAUGUGUAUUGGAAAGGGAAUUGUUCAUGUCAAACGAAACCGAGGUAACUCUAUAAAGUGAUAAGGAACUUUUUUGAACAUUAGUAAGGCAGCUCUUUAUUCAUGUCACAGAGUCAUUGCAUACAAUGUCCUGGAUGCGACCAGGAGUAAUAUCACGGAUGAGAGAGUAAGAACAAAGCUCACUCCUCCUAGACUUCCUAAUCCCAAGCCAUAGAAGCAAAGUCAAAAUAUUUCAAAAAAGAAAAGGUAAACUUCUUAAUGUACAGACACGUAUUUCAUAUUUACCCUGUCACACCUAUUAGUUCAAUAGCAGUGAUCCGCCUCGUUUUUGUUGGCCACCUAUUAGAUCCAAAGAAGCAUAGGCUAGUUGUGAGAGAGUAUGUAGUAUAACGAGUCUAUUUAUGAGGUAAUUUUUUUAGUGAAUAAUGAAAAUGUGCUAGCUUUUGAAGUAAGAAAACUUUAUGAUUAUAUGUAGGUUAUUAAUGAAAUGUGUUUGUGGUACUUAGGUUGAGUGAGGUUUUCUUUUGUCUAAGUCGAUGAUGCUAGCGGUCCGAUGUAAUCUCAAUACACUUAUCCAUGCAUGACACGUAGGAAAGCUCAAUGUGUUGACUUAGACAUUAAAGAAUCUCAAAAAACUUAUAAUCAGAAACACGCUUAAACUUUACAUGUAUCCAUUUGGUCCAGGUAUGUCCUAUACUCAAGGAGGCGAGAGGUGGUGCAUGAGCUAUGUGCAUGAUACAUUUGAAGAUCGUGUUCCAAGUGUCUUCACCAAAUACAGAUGGAGAUGUUUUUGAAAGGUUAUAGAUGAAGACAUAACAAUUAGCUUGGCCUAGAUUUGGCCUACAAGUCGAAUGAUUGCCAAUUUGCAUGUCCAUUGAACAUGUGAAAAAAAUAUGUGUAUAGUGGUGCACGUUGUGUGUCGAACUUUAUCAUCCCACUCACCCAGUUGAUGGCACGCGGGCAUGGUAGAUUGGAAAGUAAGGCGCCAAAUCUGCACCUAUAAAUAGAGGUGCUACUAACUCUGGCCAACAACAGCAAUUACAACAUAGUAUUCCACUCACAACCUAAAGAGAUAAGUGAGAGAGAUUUGCUCGAAAACCUUAAAAUCAACCAUGAAGAACACCAAGCUCGUGGCGAUCCUUGUCCUCCAGGCCAUCCUGGUCAUGGGAAUCCUCCCACACAUGAAUGGUUCGUAGUUGUUCAUGCUUCUUUAUUCUAUUUGUUUCCUUUAAAAAGUUUGAUUGCCUUUUUGCAAUUCCAUUGAUGUCUUAUAUAUCUUAUAAGUGAUUACUAACAUGAUACCAUGCUAUGUGUGCGUGCAGCCAACUACUUCCCCAAGUGUUGUGACAAAUGCAGGUCAUUCUCGGGGGUCGAUGUAUGUGACGACGCCCAUCCUCAGUGCCCCAAGGGCUGCUCCACAUGCCGCGCGGUGCAGACAGGCCGUGUCAAGAUGUUCCGGUGUGCCAACAUGCGCUCCACCAUCAAUGGCACGUGCGGCCCACGUUGCAAAAAGAACUAACCAGUUCAACUCAGAUCACAAGACUUGUUCCGCUAAUAAGAGAAGCUCAUAUAAGAUGAGAAUUGUCACCGUAUUUAUGCGUACAUGUGGCCUCACAAUGCACGCUGACAAUGCAUCGAGUAAUAAGAAUGCCAGUGAUCCUCCCGGUUCCUCAGCCGUUUGGGAUUCCUGGCCGUUGGAUCGGCGGGCUUGAUCGGAUCUGGGCCGUCGGAUCGACCCCUAGAGCGACCGCGUCCGUCGGAUCAAAAAAAGUUACUGCUGGAAUGAAUAGUUACUACCGUUUCGUGCCACCGCGCGUAAUUAGUCUGCCCCGCCGGGGGCAUUUUCGUCAUUUCGCCUGCAGGUGUAUAAAACUUGACCACCCGCGUGGAGAUGACCUAGCCCGCACUCGCGCCCCCUCCCUCGUCCUCGCGGCCCCGCCCGCAUCGCCCCGCCCUCUCCCCUCCUUCUCCCGCCGGCAUUGCCGCCGCCCCGCCCGCAUCGCCGCCGCCCUUUCCUCUCCCUCUCCCUCCCUCAGUCCUCGCCGCCCCGCCUGCGUUCUUCCCCAUCCGCUGCCGCCUGCGUUCUUCCCCAUCCGCCGCCGCCGCCCCCAUCCUCCGCCCCCAGCUGCACCUAGCCGUCGCUCCUCCCGCACAGCUGCACUCGCACCGCCCCCUUCCCCUUCCUCUCGCCUCACCUCUCUUUCCUUCCAAAUCUCCUCCCGGCCUCGCCUCUUCCUUCCUUCUCCUCCGGCGCCUCCUCCCCGUUGGCUCCUUCUUGCCCCUCCUCCGUCGGUCCUCCUUCUCCUACGUCACCCGGAGGGGUGCAGCUGCCGCUUGCGUUGUAGCUCCGCCUACGAGCUCGCGCGCCUGAUCCGACGGCAGUAAGGGGCCGCGGCAGCCGCCGCACAGCCUGGCGACCAGGAGCUCCCCGGCGUGGUUCCCUGGAUGGAGGGAUGCUUCCUCCGUCACUGCCUUCUCCGUGCCGACGCCAUCAGUAGUGGCGGCGGUCGGGCUGAUGCGAUGCGACUGCAAGCUCGUCGUGAGAGCAGCGGCAACGAUGAGCUCACCACUCCUUCGUGUUGCGCCUGCUAGACCUCCAGGUGCAUCUCUCCCCCCUCCCCCUCUCCCUCCCUAGAGAAUCUGGACCUGGAGAUUUCAAACUACUGAGCAUGGAAUAGAAAACCCUAGCAAUUUGGUGUGGUGUUCAUAGAGAGGCAGAUCCAGCUUUGCAUUUUUUUCUCAUGAUGUUGUGUUCUUCAAUUUUGCAUUUUGUGAAUAGGUUAGAAUUGAGGGGUUGGGUAGAACUAGAUGUGUCCUAGGUAUCUGCACAGUAGUUUUUGUUGCCUUCCUUAGCUUGUUGGGUACCUGUUUAUUUUCUGUUUAGGAGGACCGAUUUGUCGUGAGGUUGUAUCCUUCCUCAAGGAAUUUUUUGUUCCUAUCUGAUACUAGCAGACAAAUUGGUUGCAGGGUAGCCAGGGUAGGUCUUUCUGCAUAUGCAUUUGAAUAUGAGAUGUCUCAAGAUUGUUGGUCUACUUCUUUUGGUCUUAUACUGACUCUGUCUUUGGUCAGGACAACUUUGAACAACUUGUGUGUCCCUCUCAGAUUCCUACAGAAGAAAGGAUACAUUUUCUUUUCUAUUGGAUGGACAACAAAAUAACCACAACAAUAGGUCUAUCAGGUAAUUGGCCAUCUGUCUUUAUCCAUGUGUAGUUAGAACUUAUAUGUCAGAUUGUGCAAACCACCUCGAUUGUCAUCUAAAUAUUAUCACGAUCUUUCUUUUUUUGUUUAGCCUAGCAAAGGUCAAAUUGCUUCUUCUUUUCAAAAAGUAAUUUCUGAUGUUUGGAGUUUGUGCCUCCAGGAUCUUGGGCUUCUACUAAUCUUUUUUGAACUUUGUUAAUUUUGUCAGAAGAAGCAGGAGCGAAGCAAAGGCAGGAUUCCAUGGUGAGUUUGGAGUUUACCCUCUGUUGAAAUUGGCUCUCAUGCGAGCGGCGACCUUUUCUUAGCCAUGGUGAGUUUGAGGCUUACCCUCUGUUCUUGCUAGCCAAAAUUGGUUUCUCACUGAAUAAUGUUAAUCACACUGUACUCAAGAAUACAAAGGAAGCUACCCAAAUGUGAUAGAUCCUACUCUUCGGCAGCUUAAAUUUAAAGAUGUAGUAGCUGAACAAGACUAGGAUCAUGUUUAUGAUGCAUUUUCCAUCGAUACAGAGGUAUGAAUCAUUGAAUCCUAUGAUUGACAUUGUAAAAACUCUCAGUGAGCAGCCUACCUCCUGAAUUAAUAGUGAGAAGCCAUAUAUUUUACUUUUAGGUGUAAAAAAUAGUAAAAGAUGAGGUAGCCAUCUCCUACUGAAUUAAUAGUGAGAAGCCUACCAGCUGAAUUUUAAUCUUAGAUGAUAUGAAGGAUUAUCGAUAUUUACUAUUUAGGAUGUAUACAUAUAUGUUACUGGUCUUAUGAUAUUGUUAGCAAAAGUUUUAGUGCUCUUUAUGGUCGACAGUGGCGUGCCGCUCCAAGACACUCUGCUUUCCAUCAACGCCGACAACCACAGCAGGGGUGGAUCCAGCCGACAAGAGGCAGAGCGGCGGUCAACGGUGGUGGCCAUCUCCCAAGCUGCAGGUGAGAAGGUGACGCAACAGUGGUUGGUUUGCAUAAAUAUUCGUCAAUGCAUUCUGAGAAUAUUUUGUGAGGUAUCCUGAUUGGCAUAUGCCGUUUCCAGCAUUUGGGCAUCGUGGUUGUAGCUCACAGUCAGGUAGAAAAUCAGUUAUGUAGCUAUGCCAAAUUAUUUCCUUCAAUAUUGUAAAAAUUUGUGUCCAUUGCAGGAAGCAAAAAACCUUUGAUGGUAUAUGACUUAAUAAUCCACAUGGAUUCUUAUACAUAGGCUGUUUAAUUACUACGUCCACCAUUUCUUUUCAGCUAAAGUCUUUGUCAUACUGUGUACGGUGUCAAUGCAAACUACCAGAGUCACAUGAGGCUCACAAUAAGCAGCAAUAUUAGUGCCACUCCUGUCCAGUGUUGAUAACUUGAUAUUUAGCCUGUUUACCUGGCACCAUCAGGUCCAAGGCAUUAGUAUGCUCUUACUUAUUGUACAUGUCAAUAAUUAGAGAUCUAGAUUAGCUAACCUUAGCCGUGCAUCGCUCCCGUGUUUACUCUUCUCUGGUGCUGCUAUUACUCACACAAUUUGGAUCGGGAAUACAACACUGUUUAACAUUCAGUUUUGUUUUCUCAGUGCUUUGGAGAAGAUGGACAUGAGGCCCCAAUGGUGGUGGCCUCGCUUUGUUAUCCAUGAUUUGCCUCAUUUGAUUGAUUUGACACAUGUUCAUUCACUAGAUUAUAGUCUACUUCGUGUAUUUAGUUCUAGGUUGUUUUGAUCUAAGUGGUACUUGAUUCCUUGGCAUUGUUCAUUGCCUCGAGCCAUGUCUGAUACUGAAUUUGACCAUGAUCCUCUUGCAGUAAAUAUGACUUAUUUGCUCUCUAUUGGAAUAUUUAUUUUCACAUAUUGCUAGCUCCUUAGGUGUAAUGUUGUUUAAAAUAUUUGUCCUGGAGCUCCUUUGCUCCUGUUCUUGGUGUAGAUAAACCAAAACUGCUCCUUUUAGGCCAUCCAAGAGUCUUAAACGACCAACAUUGUAAUUAGCAUAUGUGGACAGUGUAAGGUAGCCUAUGUCAAUAUCUGAAAGUUUUUUGUGUUUGUUUAUCCUCCUUAAAUCAAUAUGUUCUUUUGAUUUGUACGACUGUUAGUAAGGUUGAUCAUCGGCAAGCGAAAGUGCUUCGUGGAUGCUUGCACGACCAAGGUGAUUGCAUAUGGACGAGCUGGUGACGAAUCAGUUUCACUUUUGUAUUUCCUUUUGCAUUGGCUUAUUUGAUUUCAAUGUUAUGGGUUCAGUGUUCAUCUUGGAAAAGAUCUACAUCAUAAUUUGAUGUCUCCAUUUAGGGCUAAACAGUAAAAAAUAUUGUUGUUUCUUGUGACGAUAAACAACUUAUACUUGUUUUGGUAGCAUAAUUAGGUAAUGAUAUUGUUAAAAGUUUAACUGAUUUAUGAGAAUGGUUCCAUUAUUUAGUCUCACGGUCAUGUUCUUCCUUCAGCGGCUUGGGGGGAGGAGUGCGUGUUUUCGAGGUAAAAUGCAUGAUGAAUUUAUCUGUAGGGUGUUUUGGCCAUAUGUCAGAGGAGAUCAUUGGAUUUUCCUAUCCUUAUGUUUUAAUCCUGAAAAUAGUUUCUAACGAUAUUGUUCUGCAAGCCCUUAAAGCUCCCAGAGUGCAAACACCAUGAGAUAGGGAUGUGAAACUGAAGGAAAGAAGGCCCUAACCACUCUCAUCAUUUACUCAAGUAAUAACACCAUCGGCGACAGGAACGACAAGCUGACACAUGUGAGCUUAGUGUCUCUUAUGAUGUCGUUUUAUGUCUUGGCCUCAAGUUCACAACCAGUUCUUUGUUUGGUGAGAUGUAUGUGUUCUUUCAUGGUUAUUCUCAUUAGGUGGCUGCACUUUUUUUUCUCAAUUUGUGUUCUGAAUUUAAGGUUGCAGAUGCGUGCCUCGAUUGUUUAUAUAAAUGUGUAAGUAGAAAAAUUUCAUGGGCAACAACCUGGGAUAGAUAAGAGAGAUACGAAUGAUACGAUGGUCUUUCAGAAGAGAUGCUGCUACGAAGACCUUUGUAUGUCCCUUGCGGCCAUGCCGACAACUUACUAGAUGUUUUUCUUCCAACGUGGAUCUUCUUUUCUUAAGAACCAACUUUUAUUGUAGAUAUUUUCGAAAGCAUGGCAUAUGAAGUAGAACUGGAUUUUACAUAGUUAUAUCUACGUGCUUGUCCAAGUAUAGACUUCAAUAUAUAGCUUGUGAAAAUUUAAAAUUCAUUUGGUUUAGUGAAUUUCCUUUGUCCAAGUAUGAUUCCUUUUAUACUUCCAUUUUUUUUAGUUGCCACUAUUUUGUAUUUUGUAUUAAAUUGAAAUUUUUGAAAUAAGCUGACGACGAUCCUCGGCAGCACAAGUGUAUGGAUAAUUCAGUUUCUUUAGUGAACUCAGUUGAACCUUGCAAUUUUAAGUAUGUGCCGAGUCGUGCAUAGCUUUCUUUUUUGUGUAAGUGGAAAGUAUUAGUAGUUUCACUUUGUCCAAUUUUUUCAGGGACAACUUUUGAGAGUUGGUCCAAACUUAAUGCAUUCAUGGGAUCACCAAUUUUUGGCGCUGGUUGAGAUUGGGUAGGUUGUACCAUGAGUUCCUGGAUGAUUGUUGCAAUUCUCAUGCUUGCUUGCAAGGAUGUUGCAUGAAUUGGAGAGAUUGGGACUGAAUACUGACCUCGAAUAUAUAUAUUGAUGCUCCUAUCUUCUCAUUGCAUUUGUCUCUGCAUUAAAUUAGUCAAAUUAAAUUUUUAGUACCAAUUCUACGAUGUAUUCCCCUCAUGGAAUUUUGAUUCCUCUUUCUAUUAGAGUUUUGUGUCUUAUUUAUAUACUAGAUUUAUUUCUUCUCCUAUGACAUGCAGUUCUACAGUUGCGUUUCGGUAUGCAUCUACGCCCCACUAGUAUACUUGGUCUUUCAGUUAUGCCAUCCAGUUUCCUCCCUUUUUGCCUGGUUAUGGCCGUGGUUAGCUUAGGAAGAGAGAGCAGCACAAAUGAAUUGCAUUGAUAAGUUCACAUGUAGCAAAAUCCGGAUUGAAGUGAUCCUCCAAUUUCAAGAAUAGCAUACUGAAUAUGGAUCUAUUAAAUAAUACUGAAUGUCAUGAUGGUCUUCCCAGAAGAUGUAGUUCUGAAUAUCCUACUGCUCUAUGGAUCCAUUAUUGCAAGAACUGUAUAACAAUAUGCACCGAGCUGCUUCAUACCAUCAUUUAGCGUCUCUGUAUUCUAUCUGAUUAGCUUUCCUUAGUGCCAUCUGAUGAGAGGCAUUCUUGUUGCCCUGUACACAUCUUGUGCUCCUAUGAUGGGGCAGAUGAUGUUAUUUAAUUAAUUAUUGGAAGAAAAUGAUAAUCCAUUGGGCUCCCUUCCUUCCUCGUGUCUUUUUUUUGCAUGUAUAGUACUUCACUGCUUCCUGCAUGUGAUUCCAUUUGAUUUCACUUUGAUUUUGUUUUCUGCAGAUCGUUUCUUGGUGGCUGCUAAUGAAUCAUGUAAGGAUGGCGCAGAAUUCACCAGAGGAAAAAGACCGAACUACGGGGUUUCCCCAUUGUUAGAGCUCUUGGUGCCCGGACAAGCCCUCUAUCUCCAUUCUCCCUUCGCAGCUCAGCUCCACUGACCAGGUCAGUCCUCAUUAAUGGACGGUUACAUAGUUUUUUUUCCUUUUGAACUCUAAAUGUGUGCCCGCCUCUAAGUAAUUUCUUGGAUCCACGUGUUCUGUUCAGAUGGAGAUGGCUGACGAAGAGCUCGAUGUCCAUGAUUCGUCAGGUUCCGCUGGCUCCACUAACAACCGUCUACGGGCGCUUGCACAGGUCAGGUGAAACCCGUCCUAUCCCCUCUCUGAUUUUACUGGACGGUUGCAAAAAUAUGAUGAGUGUGUGACUCGGGAAUUUUUAUAAUUAAAAGAAGUACUCAUAGAUGUAAACAUUGCUAACUCUGCAAAGAAACACGCAUCUGAUCUAGGGACUAUUGAUGCUCGCAGAUAGUAGUAAAGAAAUAGUGAUAUUUAGAUCCAGGCAGUGUGAUGAUUUUAACUCUAUUUCUUUGACGUGCUCUUCGUGUAGUUAAUAGCUCUGUAGGUGUUUCCUCGAUUGAUUAGAUGUUGUCUAGGCCUUCUAUGUAGAUGUAUUUUGUUUACAAAGCGCAAGCAUUCUACGUGAUAAUUAGAUUUCUGUCUUUGAAGGUGAUCAUAUUGAUCUUACCUUAUCGACUGCUCUUACUAAAACAAGUUGUAUUUUCAACUGAUUAAUAGCCCCGUUGUUCUUAAAAAUGCUCAUCACAUGCUCAAGACAAUCUGAUUAACCGAUAGACUUAACAUAUCUUUUUUUAACACUAUGUCUGCUUUUAUCCGCGACUGAUUUCUCUGAUAUAUCUCCCGUGCUGUGAUGCAAUUACUGUAAGCAGCUCCUCGUGGCCUUAUGUUUUAUGUUCUCGGGCACUACAGGAUACCAAGCGAGUGUUUAGGAUCCCACACCGGGCAUUUCUUGACAUGCUCCUAGCACACCUUACACUAAUCACCGGCUCAGUAUGAUCGUGUUGUACAUGAUGACGGCAAGAUCUGUGUGACCAUCUUUUUCAACACCUCUACAUUGGAUCUUGGAGGACCAAUCAGUAUGAACGCGUCGUGUCGUCAUUCCUCCUGGUCUACAUUAUGCCCAAGACAUGCAAAGUUGUGGAUUGUAUGUAAGCUACCAUGUGCUUUUGUACGUCCUAUGCCUGUGAUAUUUGCUACUAAACCUAUUGUGCUACGUGCUUUCUAUGUUUAUACAUUGUUAGGUGGCUCCUUAUUGUGUGCAUACAAACAAACCUUACUUCUGAAUGAUUCUUUGUUAGUUUUUUAUUUUUAUCAUGGUUGACAUAAUAAUGAGUGCAAAAAUUACUUUGCUUAAAUCUGGUUGCUUGGCUGACAAAGAUAUGCUUUCUAUGCUUGUGAUGCUUUCUAUGCUAUGGAUUUUACGUAUUGGAUUAGGGCCAAUGCUUACUUAGGCCAUUUUAAUUUUGAUAAGCCUAUUGUUAAAGUUCAAGAUACUAUGGUUGAUGGCUGAGUACAACUGUACAUAGAUUGUCCUUGGAUUUUCCUUUACGGUAUAUACUGAGUGGAUUGUAAAUACUGUUACCUUGGCCAUUAUUCUUUGUAUGAUGUAUACAGUGUGAAUGCAUAUGCUAAACAUGGUGUUUGGACCGGCACCCUCGCGCCAGGGCGCGAUUCUGAUCUAGUGUACUAUUAUCGGUCGUCGUCGUCGUCGUUGUUGUUUCUAUUUACCUCUUCGAGACUAAGAUGUUGUUGUUCACCGAUCAGGUGCUCGUUCUAUCCUCUGUGAAUAAACACGUGUGUUAAUUGUGCAUCUCUGUUUAAAGAGCAUUUGUUCAUGUCACACGAAUUUUGCGAGCAAGUAGUGUCUAAACGUCGGUAUGCUUUUAUACAUAGUAAAUAACUCUUAUCGUCCUGCUCUUUUAUCAUUUCUUUGCCAGCAUUUAAACUCUAUGUCUACUAAACUGUUAUUAACAUUCGGAGUGCUCAGGCUAUAUGUGGCUCUAUCUUCAUAGUCUACACAUGUAUAUAAAACAAUAAUUUCAUUGGACCUACUUACGUCUAUACAAAUGAAAAUACGGAAGGAACACAACAUAGUUGUUCACGUGUACCGCCCUUAAGAAGGUGCGAGAACCAUCUUUGUCGCUCCCCGAUCUCACUCUCAUACAUCCAAGAGCGGGUGCCCUCCUCAAUGGAUAACAACGGCAACAAGAAGCUUGACGAGGUAUGUUGGUGGUGACCAUCCACUACAAAUCCGACGUUGACAGGUAGGGUGUGGACAUCGAUGAUGUGCCUAUAAAUCGCUUUCCUUGGGUAGAUGUCAUCGCUUGAACAUAUUGUGUGAUCUUGUUAAUAUGGAUGCAACAUGUUCUUCUUGGAAAACCUUGGAAGUAUUACACAAAGUGCGAAGGGGAUUAAUAAAGCACGACAGAGGUAGCAGCGCAUCGAAACUCCUAUAUGGUGCACUAGGACUGCCCUAAUGCAAUAGUACCCUUUUGGAAGUAACUUUCUAAUCAAUUUGAUUAAUUGCAAAUUGAGUUGUUUAAGUAAUACUCCUUGUUUUUUUUAGAAAAGGAGGAUGACCCUCGGCCUCUGCAUCCGGACGAUGCAUGCGGCCACUUUAUUAAUUAUUCUCGCAAGACCUUACAAAGUCAUACAACAGCAAGACUAAAGCCACCGUGUAAGCAACAACUAUCGCUACACCUAUCCAAUUGAUGAAUGGGCGCUGAUAGCCUGGGCCUAAUACCAAACAGACGUCGUAGCCAAAUCUAAAAAUCUAAGACUUGAGGGCCCAACCAGGACGCCUGCCUGGUAUGGGGCACCUACCAGUCCGGCGCACUCCUCAACCAGGACGCCUGCCGGGUAUGUGUUGGGGAUCGUUGCAGAAAAUAAAUAAGAAUUACGCAUCACCAAGAUCAAUCUAUGGAGUCAUCUAGCAACGAGAGAGAGAUGCAUCUACAUACUCUUGUAGAUCGCGAGCGGAAGCGUUCAAGAGAACGGGGUUGAAGGAGUCGUACUCAUCGUGAUCCAAAUAACCGAUGAUCCUAGCGCCAAACGGACGGCACCUCCACGUUUAACACACGUAAGGAGCGGAGACGUCUCCCAUGCCUUGAUCUAGCAAGGAGGAGGGAGAGGUUCAGGAAGAGAUCUCCAGCAGCAGCACGACCGUGUGGUGGUGAUGGAGAGGCAGUACACCGGCAGGGCUUCGCCAAGCUUCUUCGGAGGAGGAGAGGUGUUGGGGAGGGGAGAGGUUGCGCUUUGGAGGUGUGUGUGCAUCCCUCCCCUCACCCCUCUAUUUCUAGGGGGAGGAGGAAGGGGGCCGGCCCCCUCUAGAUGAGAUCUAGAGGGGGGCGGCCAAGGGGGGGACUUGCCCCCAAGCAAGGGGGGGCGCCCCCUUGAGGGUUUCCCCCCAACCCUAGACGCAUGGGCCCAAGGGGGGGUUGCGCCCAGCCCUCUAAGGGCUGGUUCCCUUCCCUCUACGGCCCAUGAGGCCCUCCGGGAGAGGUGGCCCCUCCCGGUGGACCCCUGGAACCCUUCCGGUGACCCCGGUACAAUACCAGCAUGCCCCCGAACCUUUCCGAUGACCAUAUUACAACUUGCCAUAUAUAAAUCUUCACCUCCGGACCAUUCCGGAACUCCUUGUGACUUCCGGGAUCUCAUCCGAGACUCCGAACAACAUUCGGUUAUCACAUACAAGUCUUCCUAAUAACCCUAGCAUCACUGAACCUUAAGUGUGUAGACCCUACGGGUUCGGGAAUCACGCAGACAUGACCGAGACAACUCUUCGGCAAAUAACCAACAGCGGGAUCUGGAUACUCAUGUUGGCUCCCACAUGUUCCACGAUGAUCUCAUCGGAUGAACCACGAUGUCAAGGAUUCAAGCAAUCCCGUAUACAAUUCCCUUUGUCACACGGUACGUUACUUGGCCGAGAUUCGAUCGUCGGUAUCCCAAUACCUCGUUCAAUCUCGUUUCCGGCAAGUCACUUUACUCGUUCCGUAAUGCAUGAUCCCGUGACCAACCACUUGGUCACAUUGAGCUCAUUAUGAUGAUGCAUUACCGAGUGGGCCCAGAGAUACCUCUCCGUCAUACGGAGUGACAAAUCCCAGUCUCGAUCCGUGUCAACCCAACAGACACUUUCGGAGAUACCUGUAGUAUAUCUUUAUAGCCACCCAGUUACGUUGUGACGUUUGGCACACCCAAAGCACUCCUACGGUAUCCGGGAGUUACACGAUCUCAUGGUCUAAGGAAAUGAUACUUGACAUUAGAAAAGCUCUAGCAAAUGAACUACACGAUCUUGUGCUAUGCUUAGGAUUGGGUCUUGUCCAUCACAUCAUUAUCCUAAUGAUGUGAUCCCGUUAUCAAUGACAUCCAAUGUCUAUAGUCAGGAAACCAUGACUUAUCUGUUGAUCAAUGAGCUAGUCAACUAGAGGCUCACUAGGGACAUGUUGUGUUCUAUGUAUUCACACAUGUAUUACGAUUUCCGGAUAACACAAUUAUAGCAUGAACAAUAGACAAUUAUCAUGAACAAGGAAAUAUAAUAACAACCAUUUUAUUAUUGCCUCUAGGGCAUAUUUCCAACAGUCUCCCAUUUGCACUAGAGUGAAUAAUCUAGUUACAUUGUGAUGAAUCGAACACCCAUAGAGUUCUGGUGUUGAUCAUGUUUUGCUCGCGGAAGAGGUUUAGUCAAAGGAUCUGCGACAUUCAGAUCCGUAUGCACUUUGCAAAUAUCUAUGUCUCCAUCUUGAACAUUUUCACGAAUGGAGUUGAAGCGAUGCUUGAUGUGCCUGGUCUUCUUGUGAAACCUGGGCUCCUUGGCGAGGGCAAUGGCUCCAGUGUUGUCACAGAAGAGAGUCAUCGGCCCCGACGCAUUGGGAAUAACUCCUAGGUCGGUAAUGAACUCCUUCAUCCAGAUUGCUUCAUGUGCUACCUCCGAGGCUGCCAUGUAUUCCGCUUCACAUGUAGAUCACGCCACGAUGCUUUGCUUGUAACUGCACUAGCUUACUGCCCCACCAUUCAAAAUAUACACGUAUCCGGUUUGUGACUUAGAGUCAUCCAGAUCUGUGUCGAAGCUAGCGUCGACGUAACCCUUUACGACGAGCUCUUCGUCACCUCCAUAAACGAGAAACAUAUCCUUAGUCCUUUUCAGGUACUUUAGGAUAUUCUUAACCGUUGUCCAGUGUUCCAUGCCGGGAUUACUUUGGUACCUUCCUACCAAACUUACGGCAAGGUUUACAUCAGGUCUGGUAACAGCAUGGCAUACAUAAUAGACCCUAUAGCCGAGGCAUAGGGGAUGACACUCAUCUUUUCUCUAUCUUCUGUCGUGGUCGGGCAUUGAUCCGAGCUCAAUUUCACACAUUGCAACACAGGUAAGAACCCCUUCUUGGACUGAUCCAUAUUGAACUUCUUCAAUAUUUUAUCAAGGUAUGUGCUUUGUGAAAGACCUAUGAGGUGUCUCGAUCUAUCUCUAUAGAUCUUGAUGCCUAAUAUAUAAGCAGCUUCUUCAAGGUCCUUCAUUGAAAAACACUUAUUCAAGUAGGCCUUAAUGUUGUCCAAAAGUUCUAUAUCAUUUCCCAUCAAAAGUAUGUCACCUACAUAUAAUAUGAGAAAUGCUACAGAGCUCCCACUCACUUUCUUGGAAACGCAGGCUUCUCCUUAAGUCUGCAUAAACCCAAACGCUUUGAUCAUUUCAUCAAAGCGAAUGUUCCAACUCUGAGAUGCUUGCAGCAGCCCAUAGAUGGAGCGCUGGAGCUUGCAUACCUUGUUAGCAUUCUUAGGAUCGACAAAACCUUCCGGCUGCAUCAUAUACAAUUCUUCCUUAAGGAAGUCGUUAAGGAAUGCCGUUUUGACGUCCAUUUGCCAUAUCUCAUAAUCGUAGAAUGCGGCAAUUGCUAACAUGAUUCGGACAGACUUCAGCUUCGCUACGGGUGAGAAGGUCUCAUUGUAGUCAACCCCUUGAACUUGUCGAUAACCCUUAGCGACAAGUCGAGAUUUAUAGAUGGUAACAUUACCAUCCGCGUCCGUCUUCUUCUUAAAGAUCCAUUUGUUUUCUAUCGCUUGCAGAUCAUCGGGAAAGUCUGUCAAAGUCCAUACUUUGUUUUCAUACAUGGAUCCUAUCUCGGAUUGCAUGGCUUCUAGCCAUUUGUUGGAAUCUGGGCCCGCCAUCGCUUCUUCAUAGUUCGAAGGUUCACCAUUGUCUAACAAUAUGAUUUUCAGGACAGGGUUGCCAUACCAUUCUGGUGUGGAACGUGUCCUUGUGGACCUAUGAAGUUCAGUAGUAACUUGAUUCGAUCCUCUCUAGUCGGUGCAGGCACCACAGGAACAUCUUCCUGAGCUGCGCUACUUUCCGGUUUAAGAGGCAGUACUUCAUCGAGUUCUACUUUCCUCCCACUUAUUUCUUUCGAGAGAAACUCUUUCUCCAGAAAGGACCCGUUCUUGGCAACAAAGAUCUUGCCUUCGGAUCUUAGGUAGAAGGUAUACCCAAUGGUUUCCUUAGGGUAUCCUAUGAAGACGCAUUUUUCCAACUUGGGUUUGAGCUUUUGAGGUUGAAGUUUCUUGACAUAAGCAUCGCAUCCCCAAACUUUUAGAAACGACAGCUUAGGUUUCUUUCCAAACCAUAAUUCAUACGGUGUCGUCUCAACGGAUUUAGACGGUGCCCUAUUUAAAGUGAAUGUAGCUGUCUCUAAAGCGUAUCCCCAAAAUGAUAGCGGUAAAUCGGUAAGAGACAUCAUAGACCGCACCAUAUCCAAUAGAGUGCGAUUACGACGUUCAGACACACCAUUACGCUGAGGUGUUCCAGACGGCGUGAGUUGUGAAACAAUUCCACAUUUCCUUAAGUGUGUCCCAAACGCGUGACUUCAAUAUUCUCCCCCACAAUCUGAUUGUAAGAACUUUAUUUUUCUGUCACAUUGAUUUUCUACCUCAUUCUGAAAUUCCUUGAACUUUUCAAAGGUCUCAGACUUGUGUUUCAUUAAAUAGACAUACCCAUAUCUACUUAAGUCAUCAGUGAGGGUGAGAACAUAACGAUAGCCACCGCGAGCCUCAACGCUCAUUGGACUGCACACAUCAGUAUGUAUAAUUUGUUUGAAAUAUGCCCUAGAGACAAUAAUAAAAUGGUUAUUAUUAUAUUUCUUUGUUCAUGAUAAUUGUCUGUUAUUCAUGCUAUAUUUGUAUUAUCCGAAAAUCGUAAUACACGUGUUAAUACAUAGACCACAACAUGUCCCUAGUGAGCCUCUAGUUGACUAGCUCGUUGAUCAACAGAUAGUCAUGGUUUCCUGACUAUGGACAUUGGAUGUCAUUGAUAACGGGAUCACAUCAUUAGGAGAAUGAUGUGAUGGACAAGACCCAAUCCUAAGCAUAGCUCAAAGAUCGUGUAGUUCGUUUAGCUAGAGCUUUUCCAAAUGUCAAGUAUAAUUUCCUUAGACCAUGAGAUUGUGCAACUCCCGGAUACCGUAGGAGUGCUUUGGGUGUGCCAAACGUCACAACGUAACUGGGUGACUAUAAAGGUGCACCACGGCUAUCUCCGAAAGUGUCUGUUGGGUUGGCAUGAAUCGAGACUGGGAUUUGUCACUCAGCAUGAUGGAGAGGUAUCUCUGGGCCCACUUGGUAAUGCAUCAUCAUAAUGAGCUCAAUGUGACCAAGUGUCUGGUCACGGGAUCAUGCAUUACGGUACGAGUAAAGUGACUUGCCGAUAAUGAGAUUAAACGAGGUAUUGGGAUACCAACGAUCGAGUCUCGGGCAAGUAACGUAACGAUUGACAAAGGGAAUUAUAUACAGGGUUGAUUGAAUCCUCAAUAUCGUGGUUCAUCCGAUGAGAUCAUCGAGGAGCAUGUGGGAGCCAACAUGGGUAUCCAGAUCCCGCUAUUGGUUAUUGACCGGAGAGGCAUCUCGGUCAUGUCUGCAUGUCUCCCGAACACGUAGGGUCUACACACUUAAGGUUCGGUGACGCUAGGGUUGUAGAGAUAUGAGUAUGCAGUAAGCUGAAAGUUAUUCGGAGUCCCAGAUGAGACCCCGGACGUCAUGAGGAGUUCCGGAAUGGUCCGGAGGUAAAGAAUUAUAUAUAGGAAGUCAGGUUUCGGCCAUCGGGAAAAUUUCGGGGGUCACCGGUAUUGUACCAGGACCACCGGAAGGGUCCCGGGGGUCCACCGGGUGGGGCCACCUAUCCCGGAGGGCCCCAUGGGCUGAAGUGGGAGGGGAACCAGCCCCUGGUGGGCUAGUGCACCCCGCCUUGGGCCCCGCCUGCGCCUAGGGUUGGAAACCCUAGGGGUGGGGGGCGCCUCCACUUGCCUUGGGGGGCAAGGCACCCCCCUUGGCCGCCGCCCCCCCUAUGAGAUCCCAUCUCCUAGUGCCGGCGCCCCCCUAGGGGCCCUAUAUAAAGCGGGGGAGGGAGGGCAGCCGCACCCUUGUACUUGGCGCCUCCCUUCCCCCUUGCUACACCUCUCCCUCUCGCGGACGCUUGGCGAAGCCCUGCCGGGAUCACUGCUGCAUCCACCACCAUGCCAUCGUGCUGCUGGAUCUUCAUCAACCUCUCCUUUCCCCUUGCUAGAUCAAGAAGGAGGAGACGUCUCACUAACCGUACGUGUGUUGAACGCGGAGGUACCGUCCGUUCGGCGCUAGGAUCUCCGGUGAUUUGGAUCACGACGAGUACAACUCCCUCAACCCCGUUCUCUUGAACGCUUCCGCUCGAUCUACAAGGGUAUGUAGAUGCACUCCUCUCUCUCGUUUCUAGAUGAAAUCAUAGAUUGAUCUUGGUGAAACCGUAGGAAUUUUUUUAUUUUCUGCAACGUUCCCCAAAAGUGGCAUCAUGAGCUAGGUCUAUGCGUAGUUCUCUUUGCAGGAGUAGAACACAAAUCUGUUGUGGGCGUUGAUGUUGUCAACAUUCUUGCCAUUACUAGUCUUAUUUUGCUUCAGCAGUAUUGUGGGAUGAAGCGGCCCGGACCGACCUUACAUGUACGCUUACGUGAGACAGGUUCCAUCGACUGCCAUGCACUAGUUGCAUAAGGUGGCUAGCGGGUGUCUGUCUCUCCCACUUUAGUUGGAGUGGAUUCGAUGAAAAGGGUCCUUAUGAAGGGUAAAUAGAAGUUGACAAAUCACGUUGUGGCUUUUACGUAGGUAAGAAAACAUUCUUGCUAGAACCCUAUUGCAGCCAUGUAAAACAUGCAACAACAAUUAGAGGACGUCUAACUUGUUUUUGCAGCAUAUGAUUUGUGAUGUGAUAUGGCCAAAAGUUGUGAUGAAUGAUGAAUGAUAUAUUGUGAUGUAUGAGAUCAUGUUCUAGUAAUAGGAAUCACGACUUGCAUGUCGAUGAGUAUGACAACCGGCAAGAGCCAUAGGAGUUGUCUUAAUAUUGUAUGACCUGCGUGUCAAUGAUUUAUCGCCAUGUAAUUACUUUACUUUAUUGCUAAACCGUUAGCCAUAGUAGUAGAAGUAAUAGUUGGCAAGCAACUUCAUGGAGACACGAUGAUGGAGAUCAUGAUGAUGGAGAUCAUGGUGUCAUGCCGGUGACGAAGAUGAUCAUGGAGCCCCGAAGAUGGAGAUCAAAGGAGCUAUAUGAUAUUGGCCAUAUCAUGUCACUGUUUAAUUGCAUGUGAUGUUUAUUAUGUUUAUGCAUCUUGUUUACUUAGAACGACGGUAGUAAAUAAGAUGAUUCCUCAUAAUAAUUUCAAGAAAGUGUUCACCCUAAAUGUGCACCGUUGCGAAAGUUCAUCGUUUCGAAGCACCACGUGAUGAUCGGGUGUGAUAGAUUUUAACGUUCACAUACAACGGGUGUAAGACAGAUUUACACAUGUAAAACACUUAGGUUAACUUGACGAGCCUAGCAUGUACAGACAUGGCCUCGGAACACAAGAGACCGAAAGGUCGGACAUGAGUCGUAUGGAAGAUACGAUCAACAUGGAGAUGUUCACCGAUGAUGACUAGUCCGUCUCACGUGAUGAUCGGACACGGCCUAGUCGACUCGGAUCAUGUAUCACUUAGAUGACUAGAGGGAUGUGUAAUCUGAGUGGGAGUUCAUUAAAUAAUUUGAUUAGAUGAACUUAGUCUAAAAACCUUUGCAAAUAUGUCUUGUAGAUCAAAUGGCCAACGCUCAUGUUCACCUCAACUUCAACGCGUUCCUGGAGAAAACCAAGCUGAAAGAUGAUGGCAGCAACUAUAGGGAGUGGGUCCGGAACCUGAGGAUCAUCCUCAUAGCUGCCAAGAAAGAUUAUGUCCUAGAAGCACCGCUAGGUGAAGCACCCAUCCCAGAGAACCAGGAUGUUAUGAACGCUUGGCAGUCUCGUGUUGAUGAUUACUCCCUCGUUCAGUGCGGCAUGCUUUACAGCGUAGAACCGGGGCUCCAAAAACGUUUUGAGCAACACGGAGCAUAUUAGAUGUUCGAAGAGCUGAAAAUGGUUUUCCAAGCUCAUUCCCGGGUCGAGAUAUAUGAAGUCUCCGACAAGUUCUUCAGCUGUAAGAUGGAGGAAAACAGUUCUGUCAGUGAGCACAUACUCAAGAUGUCUGGGUUGCACAACCGCCUGACUCAGCUGGGAGUUAAUAUCCCGGAUGAUGUGGUUAUUGAUAGAAUCCUCCAGUCGCUUCCACCGAGCUACAAGAGCUUUGUGAUGAACUUCAAUAUGCAGGGGAUGGAAAAGACCAUUCCUGAGGUAUAUUCAAUGCUGAAAUCAGCGGAGGUAGAGAUCAAGAAAGAACAUCAAGUGUUGAUGGUGAAUAAAACCACUAAGUUCAAGAAAGGCAAGGGUAAGAAGAACUUCAAGAAGGACGGCAAGGGAGUUGCCGCGCCCGGUAAGCCAUUUGCUGGGAAGAAGUCAAAGAAUGGACCCAAGCCUGAGACUGAGUGCUUUUAUUGCAAGGGAAGUGGUCACUGGAAGCGGAACUACCCCAAGUACUUAGCGGACAAGAAGGUCGGCAACACUAAAGGUAUAUGUGAUAUACAUGUAAUUGAUGUGUACCUUACCAGUACUCGUAGUAGCUCCUGGGUAUUUGAUACCCGUGCGGUUGCUCAUAUUUGUAACUCAAAGGAGGAACUGCGGAAUAAACGGAGACUGGCAAAGGACGAGGUGACGAUGCGCGUCGGGAAUGGUUCCAAGGUUGACGUAAUCGCCGUCGGCAUGCUACCUCUACAUUUACCUACAGGGGUAGUUUUAAACCUCAAUAAUUGUUAUUUAGUGCCAAGUUUGAUCAUGAACAUUGUAUCUGGAUCUCGUUUAAUACGAGAUGGCAACUCAUUUAAAUCCGAGAAUAAUGGUUGUUCUAUUUAUAUGAGAGAUAUGUUAUAUGGUCAUGCCCCAAUGGUCAAUGGUUUAUUCUUAAUGAAUCUCGAACAUGAUGUUACACAUAUUCAUAGUGUGAAUACCAAAAUAUGUAAAGUUGAUAACGAUAGUCCCACAUACUUGUGUCACUGCCGCCUUGGUCAUAUUGGUGACAAGCGCAUAAAGAAGCUCAAUGCUGAUGGACUUUUAGAGUCUCUCGAUUAUAAAUCAUUUGACACAUGCGAACCAUGACCAAGGGCAAAAUGACCAAGACUCCGUUCUCCGAAACAAUGGAGCGAGCAACCAACUUAUUGGAAAUCAUACAUACUGAUGUCUGCGGUCCAAUGAGCGUUGAGUCUCGCGCAGGAUAUCGUUAUGUUCUCACUCUCACUAAUGACUUGAGUAGAUAUGCGUAUGUCUACUUGAUGAAACACAAGUCUGAGACCUUUGAAAAGUUCAAGGAGUUUCAGAAUGAGGUAGAGAAUCAACGUGACCGAAAGAUAAAGUUCCUACGAUCAGAUCAUGGAGGAGAAUAUUUAAGUCAUGAAUUUGGUACGCACUGAAGGAAAUGUGGAAGCAUUUCACAACUCACGCCGCCUGGAACACCUCAGUGUAACGGUGUGUCCGAACGUCGUAAUCGCACUUUAUUGGAUAUGGUGCGAUCUAUGAUGUCUCUUACCGAUGUACCGCUAUAUUUUUGGGGAUACGCUCUAGAGACAGCUACAUUCACUUUAAAUAGGGCACCGUCUAAAUCCGUUGAGAUGACACUGUAUGAAUUAUGGUUUGGGAAGAAACCUAAGCUGUCGUUUCUAAAAGUUUGGGUAUGCGAUCCUUAUGUCAAGAAACUUCUACCUGAAAAGCUCGAACCCAAGUAGGAAAAAUGUGUCUUCAUAGGAUACCCUAAGGAAACCAUUGGGUAUACCUUCUACCUCAGAUCCAAAGGCAAGAUCUUUGUUGCCAAGAACGGGUCCUUUCUGGAGAAAGAGUUUCUCUCGAGAGAAGUAAGUGGGAGGAAAGUUCAACUUGAUGAAGUACUACCUCUUGAACCGGUGAGUAGCGCAGCUCAGGGAGAUGUUCCUGUGGUGCCAGCACCAACUGAAGAGGAAGUUAAUGAUGAUGAUCAAGGUACUUCGCAUCAAGUUACUACUGAACUUCAUAGGUCCACGAGGACACGUUCCACACCAGAGUGGUAUGGCAAUCCUGUCCUGGAAACCAUGUUGUUAGACAACGGUGAACCUUCGAACUAUGAAGAAGCGAUGGCGGGCCCAGAUUCCAACAAAUGGCUUGAAGCCAUGCAAUCCGAGAUAGGGUCCAUGUAUGAAAACGAAGUAUGGACUUUGACAGACUUGCCCGAUGAUCAGCGAGCGAUAGAAAACAAAUGGAUCUUUAAGAAGAAGACGGACGCGGAUGGUAAUGUUACCAUCUAUAAAGCUCGACUUGUCACUAAGGGUUAUCGACAAUUUCAAGGGGUUGACUACGAUGAGACAUUCUCUCCCGUAGCGAAGCUAAAGUCCGUCUGAAUCAUGUUAGCAAUUGCCGCAUACUAUGAUUAUGAGAUAUGGCAAAUGGACGUCAAAACGGCAUUCCUUAACGGUCAUCUUAAGGAAGAACUGUAUAUGAUGCAGCCGGAAGGUUUUGUCGACCCUGAGAAUGCUAACAAGGUAUGCAAGCUCCAGCGAUCCAUUUAUGGGCUGGUGCAAGCAUCUCGGAGUUGGAACAUUCACUUUGAUGAGAUGAUCAAGGCAUUUGGGUUUAUGGAGACUUAUGGAGAAGCCUGCAUUUACAAGAAAGUGAGUGGGAGCGUUGUAGCAUUUCUCAUAUUAUAUGUAGAUGACAUACUUUUGAUGGGAAAUGAUAUAGAACUCUUGGACAGCAUUAAGGCCUACUUGAAUAAGUGUUUUUCAAUGAAGGACCUUGGAGAAGCUGCUUACAUACGAGGCAUCAAGAUCUAUAGGGAUAGAUCGAGACGCUUCAUAGGUCUUUCACAAAGAACAUACCUUGAUGAGAUAUUGAAGAAGUUCAAUAUGGAUCAGUCCAAGAAAGGGUUCUUGCCUGUAUUGCAAGGUGUGAGAUUGAGCUUGGCUCAAUUCCCGACCAGGGCAGAAGAUAAAGAAGAGAUGAGUGUCAUCCCCUAUGCCUCAGCCAUAGGGUCUAUUAUGUAUGCCAUGCUAUGUACCAGACCUGAUGUAAACCUUGCCGUAAGUUUGGUAGGAAGGUACCAAAGUAAUCCCGGCAAGGAACACUGGACAGCGGUCAAGAACAUCCUAAAGUACCUGAAAAGGACUAAGGAUAUGUUUCUCGUUUAUGGAGGUGACAAAGAGCUCAUCGUAAAGGGUUACGUUGAUGCUAGCUUCGACACAGAUCUGGAUGACUCUAAGUCACAAACCGGAUACGUGUAUAUUUUGAAUGGUGGGGCAGUAAGCUGGUGCAGUUGCAAGCAAAGCAUCAUGGCGGGAUCUACAUGUGAAGCAGAGUACAUGGCACCCUCGGAGGCAGUGCAUGAAGCAAUCUAGGUGAAGGAGUUCAUCAUCGACCUAGGAGUCAUACCCAAUGCGUCGGGGCCGAUCAAACUCUUCUGUGACAACACUGGAGCUAUUGCGCUUGCCAAGGAGCCCAGGUUUCACAAGAAGACCAGGCACAUCAAGCGUCGCUUCAACUCCAUACGUGAAAAUGUUCAAGAUGGAGACCUAGAUAUUUGUAAAGUACAUACAGACCUGAAUGUGGCAGAUCCGUUGACUAAACCUCUCCCUAGGGCAAAACAUGAUCAACACCAGAAUUCCAUGGGUGUUCGAUUGAUCACAAUGUAACUAGAUUAUUGAACUCUAGUGCAAGUGGGAGACUGUUGGAAAUAUGCCCUAGAGGCAAUAAUAAAAUGGUUAUUAUUAUAUUUCUUUGUUCAUGAUAAUUGUCUGUUAUUCAUGCUAUAAUUGUAUUAUUCGGAAAUCGUAAUACACAUGUGAAUACAUAGACCACAACAUGUCCCUAGUGAGCCUCUAGUUGACUAGCUCGUUGAUCAACAGAUAGUCAUGGUUUCCUGACUAUGGACAUUGGAUGUCAUUGAUAACGGGAUGACAUCAUUAGGAGAAUGAUGUGAUAGACAAGACCCAAUCCUAAGCAUAGCUCAAAGAUCGUGUAGUUCGUUUAGCUAGAGCUUUUCCAAAUGUCAAGUAUCAUUUUCUUAGACCAUGAGAUUGUGCAACUCCCGGAUACCGUAGGAGUGCUUUGGGUGUGCCAAACGUCACAACGUAACUGGGUGACUAUAAAGGUGCACUACGGGUAUCUCCGAAAGUGUUUGUUGGGUUGGCACGAAUCGAGACUGGGAUUUGUCGCUCCGCAUGACGGAGAGGUAUCUCUGGGCCCACUCGGUAAUGCAUCAUCAUAAUGAGCUCAAUGUGACCAAGUGUCUGGUCACGGGAUCAUGCAUUACGGUACGAGUAAAGUGACUUGCCGGUAACGAGAUUAAACGAGGUAUUGGGAUACCGACGAUCGAGUCUCGGGCAAGUAACAUACCGAUUGACAAAGGGAAUUGUAUACAGGAUUGAUUGAAUCCUCGACAUCGUGGUUCGUCCGAUGAGAUCAUCGAGGAGCAUGUGGGAGCCAACAUGGGUAUCCAGAUCCCGCUGUUGGUUAUUAACCGGAGAGGCGUCUCGGUCAUGUCUGCAUGUCUCCCGAAGCCGUAGGGUCUACACACUUAAGGUUCGGUGACGCUAGGGUUGUAGAGAUAUGAGUAUGCAGUAAACCAAAUGUUGUUUGGAGUCCCGGAUGAGAUCCCGGACAUCACGAGGAGUUCCGAAAUGGUCCGGAGGUAAAGAAUUAUAUAUAGGAAGUCAGGUUUCUGCCAUCGGGAAAAUUUCAGGGGUCACCUGUAUUGUAUCGGGACCACCGGAAGGGUCCCGGGGGUCCACCAGGUGGGGCCACCUAUCCCGGAGGGCCCCAUNNNNNNNNNNNNNNNNNNNNNNNNNNNNNNNNNNNNNNNNNNNNNNNNNNNNNNNNNNNNNNNNNNNNNNNNNNNNNNNNNNNNNNNNNNNNNNNNNNNNNNNNNNNNNNNNNNNNNNNNNNNNNNNNNNNNNNNNNNNNNNNNNNNNNNNNNNNNNNNNNNNNNNNNNNNNNNNNNNNNNNNNNNNNNNNNNNNNNNNNNNNNNNNNNNNNNNNNNNNNNNNNNNNNNNNNNNNNNNNNNNNNNNNNNNNNNNNNNNNNNNNNNNNNNNNNNNNNNNNNNNNNNNNNNNNNNNNNNNNNNNNNNNNNNNNCCCCCCCCCCCCCCCUUGCCCGCGCCUAGGGUUGGAAACCCUAGGGGUGGGGGGCGCCUCCACUUGCCUUGGGGGGCAAGGCACCCCCCUUGGCCGCCACCCCCCCUAGGAGAUCCCAUCUCCUAGGGCCGGCACCCCCCCUAGGGGCCCUAUAUAAAGAGGGGGGAGGGCAGCUGCACCCUUGUACUUGGCGCCUCCCUUCCCCCUUCCUACACCUCUCCCUCUCGCGGACGCUUGGCGAAGCCCUGCUGAGAUCAUUGCUGCAUCCACCACCACGCAGUCGUGCUGCUGGACUUCAUCAACCUCUCCUUUCCCCUUGCUGGAUCAAGAAGGAGGAGACGUCUCGCUGACCGUACGUGUGUUGAACGCGGAGGUGCCAUCCGUUCGGCGCUAAGAUCUCUGGUGAUUUGGAUCACGACGAGUACAACUCCCUCAACCCCGUUCUCUUGAACGCUUCCGCUCGAUCUACAAGGGUACAUAGAUGCACUCCUCUCUCUCAUUGCUAGAUGAACUCAUAGAUUGAUCUUGGUGAAACCGUAGGAAAUUUUUUAUUUUCUGCAACGUUCCCCAACAUAAUUUCCAAUAAGUUGGUUGCUCGCUCCAUUGUUCCGGAGAACGGAGUCUUGGUCAUUUUGCCCAUGAGGCAUGGUUCGCACGUGUCAAAUGAUUCAAAAUCAAGAGACUCCAAAAGUCCAUCUGUAUGGAUCUUCUUCAUGCGUUUGAUGUCAAUGUGACCAAGGCGGUAGUGCCACAGAUAUGUGGGACUAUCAUUAUCAAUCUUACAUCUUUUGGUAUUCACACUAUGAAUAUGUGUAACAUCACGUUCGAGAUUCAUUAAGAAUAAACCAUUGACCAGCGGGGCAUGACCAUAAAACAUAUCUCUCAUAUAAAUAGAACAACCAUUAUUCUCGGAUUUAAAUGUGUAGCCAUCUCGUAUCAAAUGAGAUCCAGAUACAAUGUUCAUGCUCAAAGCUGGCACUAAAUAACAAUUAUUGAGGUUUAAAACUAAUCCGUAGGUAAAUGUAGAGGUAGCGUGCCGACAUCGAUCACAUCAACCUUGGAACCAUUCCCGACGCGCAUCGUCACCUCGUCCUUCACCAGUAUCCGUUUAUUCCGCAACUCCUGUUUUGAGUUACAAAUAUGAGCAACCGCACCGGUAUCAAAUACCCAGGAGCUACUACGAGUACUAGUAAGGUACACAUCAAUUACAUGUAUAUCACAUAUACCUUUGGUGUUGACGGCCUUCUUGUCCGCUAAGUACUUGGGGCAGUUCCGCUUCCAGUGUCCACUUACCUUGCAAUAAAAGCACUCAGUCUCAGGUUUGGGUCCAUGCUUUGGCUUCUUCCCGCCAACUGGCUUACCGGGCACGGCAACUCCCUUGUCGUCCUUCUUGAAGUUCUUCUUACCCUUGCGUUUCUUGAAACUAGUGGUUUUAUUGACCAUCAACACUUGAUGUUCCUUUUUGAUUUCUACCUCCGCUGAUUUCAGCAUUGGAAAUACCUCAGGAAUAGUUUUCACCAUCCCCUGCAUAUUGUAGUUCAUCACAAAGGUCUUGUAGCUUGGUGGGAGCGUCUGAAGGAUUCUGUCAAUGACCGCAUCAUCUGGGAGGUUAACUCCCAGCUGAGACAAGCGGUUGUGCAACCCAGACAUUUUGAGUAUGUGCUCGCUGACAGAACUAUUCUCCUCCAUCUUACAACUGUAGAACUUGUCGGAGACAUCAUAUCUCUUAACCCGGGCAUGAGCUUGGAAAACCAUUUUCAGCUCUUGGAACAUCUCAUAUGCUCCGUGUUGCUCAAAACGCUUUUGGAGCCCCGGUUCUAAGCUGUAAAGCAUGCCGCACUGAACCAGGGAGUAAUCAUCACUACGCGACUGUCAGACGUUCAUAACGUAUUGAGUUGCUGGGAAAACGGAUGCUUCAACUAGCGGUGCAUCUAGGACAUAUGCUCUUUUUGCAGCUAUGAGGAUGAUCCUCAAGUUCUGGACCCAGUCCGUAUAGUUGCUGCCAUCGUCUUUCAGCUUGGUUUUCUCUAGGAACACGUUGAAGUUGAGGGCAAUAUUAGCGUGGGCCAUUUGAUCUACAAGACAUAUUGCAAAAGGUUUAGCUAAGUUCAUGAUAAUUAAGUUCAUCUAAUCAAAUUAUUUAAUGAACUCCCACUCAGAUAGACAUCCCUCUAGUCAUCUAAGUGAUCCAUGAUCCGAGUCAACUAGGCCGUGUCCGAUCAUCACGUGAGACGGACUAGUCAUCAUCGGUGAACAUCUUCAUGUUGAUCGUAUCUUCUAUACGACUCAUGUUCGACCUUUCGGUCUCUUGUGUUCCGAGGCCAUGUCUAUAAAUGCUAGGCUCGUCAAGUCAACCUAAGUGUUUUUGCAUGUGUAAAUCUGUCUUACACCCGUUGUAUGUGAAUGUUAGAAUCUAUCACACCCGGUCAUCACGUGGUGCUUCGAAACAACGAACAUUCGCAACGGUGCACAGUUAGGGGGAACACUUUCUUGAAAUUAUUAUGAGGGAUCAUCUUAUUUACUACCGUCGCUCUAAGCAAAUAAGAUGCAGAAACAUGAUAAACAUCACAUGCAAUCAAAUAGUGACAUGAUAUGGCCAAUAUCAUUUUGCUCCUUUUGAUCUCCAUCUUCGGAGCGCCAUGAUCAUCAUCGUCACCGGCAUGACACCAUGAUCUCCAUCAUCAUGAUCUCCAUCAUCGUGUCUUCAUGAAGUUGUCACGCCAAUGAUUACUUCUACUACUAUGGCUAAUGGUUUAGCAAUAAAGUAAAGUAAUUACAUGGCAUUAUUCAAUGACACGCAAGUCAUACAAUAAUUAAGACAACUCCUAUGGCUCCUGCCGGUUGUCAUACUCAUCGACAUGCAAGUCGUGAUUCCUAUUACAAGAACAUGAUCAAUCUAAUACAUCCCAUAUAUAUCAUUCAUCACAUCCUUUUUGGCCAUAUCACAUCACAAGGCAUAUGCUGCAAAAACAAGUUAGACGUCCUCUAAUUGUUGUUGCAUGUUUUUACGUGGCUGCAAUAGGGUUCUAGCAAGAACGUUUCUUACCUACGUCAAAACCACAACGUGAUAUGCCAAUCUCUAUUUACCCUUCAUAAGGACCCUUUUCAUCGAAUCCGAUCCGACUAAGGUGGGAGAGACAGACACCCGCUAGCCACCUUAUGCAACUAGUGCGUGUCAGUCAGUGGAACCUGUCUCACGUAAGCGUACGUAUAAGGUCGGUCCGGGCCACUUCAUCCCACGAUACCACCGAAACAAGAUAAGACUAGUAGUGGCAAGUAAAUUGACAAAAUCUACGCCCACAACAAAAUUGUGUUCUACUCAUGCAUAGAAACUACGCAUAGACCUAGCUCUGAUACCACUGUUGGGGAUCGUUGCAGAAAAUAAAUAAAAAUUACGCAUCACCAAGAUCAAUCUAUGGAGUCAUCUAGCAACAAGAGAGGGAUGCAUCUACAUACUCUUGUAGAUCGCGAGCGGAAGCGUUCAAGAGAACGGGGUUGAAGGAAUCGUACUCAUCGUGAUCCAAAUAACCGAUGAUCCUAGCGCCAAACGGACGGCACCUCCACGUUCAACACACGUAAGGAGCGUAGACGUCUCCCAUGCCUUGAUCUAGCAAGGAGGAGGGAGAGGUUCAGGAAGAGAUCUCCAGCAGCAGCACGACCGCGUGGUGGUGAUGGAGAGGCAGUACUCCGGCAGGGCUUCGCCAAGCUUCUUCUUCGGAGGAGAGGUGUUGGGGAGGGGAGGGGUUGCGCUUUGGAGGUGUGUGUGCAGCCCUCCCCUCGCCCCUCUAUUUCUAGGGGGAGGAGGAAGGGGGCCGGCCCCUCUAUAUGAGAUCUAGAGGGGGGCGGCCAAGGGGGGGACUUGCCCCCAAGCAAGGGGGGGCGCCCCCUUGAGGGUUUCCCCCCAACCCUAGAUGCAUGGGCCCAAGGGGGGUUGCGCCCAGCCCUCUAAGGGCUGGUUCCCUUCCCUCUAUGGCCCAUGAGGCCCUCCAGGAGAGGUGGCCCCUCCCGGUGGUCCCUCGGAACCCUUCCGGUGGCCCCGGUACAAUACCAGCAUGCCCCCGAACCUUUCCGAUGACCAUAUUACAACUUCCCAUAUAUAAAUCUUCACCUCCGGACCAUUCCGGAACUCCUUGUGACUUCCGGGAUCUCAUCCGGGACUCCGAACAACAUUCGGUUAUCAGAUACAAGUCUUCCUAAUAACCCUAGCAUCACUGAACCUUAAGUGUGUAGACCCUACGGGUUCGGGAAUCACGCAGACAUGACCGAGACAACUCUCCGGCAAAUAACCAACAGCGGGAUCUGGAUACUCAUGUUGGCUCCCACAUGUUCCACAAUGAUCUCAUCGGAUGAACCACGAUGUCGAGGAUUCAAGCAAUCCCGUAUACAAUUCCCUUUGUCACACGGUACGUUACUUGGCCGAGAUCCGAUCGUCGGUAUCCCAAUACCUCGUUCAAUCUCGUUUCCGGCAAGUCACUUUACUCCUUCCGUAAUGCAUGAUCCCGUGACCAACCACUUGGUCACAUUGAGCUCAUUAUGAUGAUGCAUUACCGAGUGGGCCCAGAGAUACCUCUCCGUCAUACGGAGUGACAAAUCCCAGUCUCGAUCCGUGUCAACCCAACAGACACUUUCGGAGAUACCUAUAGUAUACCUUUAUAGCCACCCAGUUACGUUGUGACGUUUGGCACACCCAAAGCACUCCUACGGUAUCCGGGAGUUACAUGAUCUCAUGGUCUAAGGAAAUGAUACUUGACAUUAGAAAAGCUCUAGCAAACGAACUACACGAUCUUGUGCUAUGCUUAGGAUUGGGUCUUGUCCAUCACAUCAUUAUCCUAAUGAUGUGAUCCCGUUAUCAAUGACAUCCAAUGUCUAUAGUCAGGAAACCAUGACUAUCUGUUGAUCAAUGAGCUAGUCAACUAGAGGCUCACUAGGGACAUGUUGUGGUCUAUGUAUUCACACAUGUAUUACGAUUUCCGGAUAACACAAUUAUAGCAUGAACAAUAGACAAUUAUCAUGAACAAGGAAAUAUAAUAAUAACCAUUUUAUUAUUGCCUCUAGGGCAUAUUUCCAAGAGUCUCCCAUUUGCACUAGAGUGAAUAAUCUAGUUACAUUGUGAUGAAUCGAACACCCAUAGAGUUCUGGUGUUGAUCAUGUUUUGCUCGCGGAAGAGGUUUAGUCAAAGGAUCUGCGACAUUCAGAUCCAUAUGCACUUUGCAAAUAUCUAUGUCUCCAUCUUGAACAUUUUCACGAAUGGAGUUGAAGCGAUGCUUGAUGUGCCUGGUCUUCUUGUGAAACCUGGGCUCCUUGGCGACGGCAAUGGCUCCAGUGUUGUCACAGAAGAGAGUCAUCGGCCCCGACGCAUUGGGAAUAACUCCUAGGUCGGUAAUGAACUCCUUCAUCCAGAUUGCUUCAUGUGCUACCUCCGAGGCUGCCAUGUAUUCCGCUUCACAUGUAGAUCACGCCAUGAUGCUUUGCUUGUAACUGCACUAGCUUACUGCCCCACCAUUCAAAAUAUACAUGUAUCCGGUUUGUGACUUAGAGUCAUCCAGAUCUGUGUCGAAGCUAGCGUCGACGUAACCCUUUACGACGAGCUCUUCGUCACCUCCAUAAACGAGAAACAUAUCCUUAGUACUUUUCAGGUACUUCAGGAUAUUCUUGACCGCUGUCCAGUGUUCCAUGCCGGGAUUACUUUGGUACCUUCCUACCAAACUUACGGCAAGGUUUACAUCAGGUCUGGUACACAGCAUGGCAUACAUAAUAGACCCUAUAGCCGAGGCAUAGGGGAUGACACUCAUCUUUUCUCUAUCUUCUGUCGUGGUCGGGCAUUGAUCCGAGCUCAAUUUCACACCUUGCAACACAGGUAAGAACCCCUUCUUGGACUGAUCCAUAUUGAACUUCUUCAAUAUUUUAUCAAGGUAUGUGCUUUGUGAAAGACCUAUGAGGUGUCUCGAUCUAUCUCUAUAGAUCUUGAUGCCUAAUAUAUAAGCAGCUUAUUCAAGGUCCUUCAUUGAAAAACACUUAUUCAAGUAGGCCUUAAUGUUGUCCAAAAGUUCUAUAUCAUUUCCCAUCAAAAGUAUGUCACCUACAUAUAAUAUGAGAAAUGCUACAGAGCUCCCACUCACUUUCUUGGAAACGCAGGCUUCUCCUUAAGUCUUCAUAAACCCAUACGCUUUGAUCAUUUCAUCAAAGCGAAUGUUCCAAUCUGAGAUGCUUGCAGCAGCCCAUAGAUGGAGCGCUGGAGCUUGCAUACCUUGUUAGCAUUCUUAGGAUCGACAAAACCUUCCGGCUUCAUCAUAUACAAUUCUUCCUUAAGGAAGUCGUUAAGGAAUGCCGUUUUGACGUCCAUUUGCCAUAUCUCAUAAUCAUAGAAUGCGGCAACUGAUAACAUGAUUCGGACGGACUUCAGCUUCACUACGGGUGAGAAGGUCUCAUUGUAGUCAACCCCUUGAACUUGUCGAUAACCCUUAGCGACAAGUCGAGAUUUAUAGAUGGUAACAUUACCAUCCGCGUCCGUCUUCUUCUUAAAGAUCCAUUUGUUUUCUAUCGCUUGCAGAUCAUCGGGAAAGUCUGUCAAAGUCCAUACUUUGUUUUCAUACAUGGAUCCUAUCUCGGAUUGCAUGGCUUCUAGCCAUUUGUUGGAAUCUAGGCCCGCCAUCGCUUCUUCAUAGUUCGAAGGUUCAUCGUUGUCUAACAAUAUGAUUUUCAGGACAGGGUUGCCAUACCAUUCUGGUGUGGAACGUGUCCUUGUGGACCUAUGAAGUUCAGUAGUAACUUGAUCCGAUCCUCUCUAGUCGGUGCAGGCACCACAGGAACAUCUUCCUGAGCUGCGCUACUUUCCGGUUUAAGAGGCAGUACUUCAUCGAAUUCUACUUUCCUCCCACUUAUUUCUUUCGAGAGAAACUCUUUCUCCAGAAAGGACCCGUUCUUGGCAACAAAGAUCUUGCCUUCGGAUCUUAGGUAGAAGGUAUACCCAAUGGUUUCCUUAGGGUAUCCUAUGAAGACGCAUUUUUCCAACUUGGGUUUGAGCUUUUGAGGUUGAAGUUUCUUGACAUAAGCAUCGCAUCCCCAAACUUUUAGAAACGACAGCUUAUGUUUCUUUCCAAACCAUAAUUCAUAUGGUGUCGUCUCAACGGAUUUAGACGGUGCCCUAUUUAAAGUGAAUGUAGCUGUCUCUAAAGCGUAUCCCCAAAAUGAUAGCGGUAAAUCGGUAAGAGACAUCAUGGACCGCACCAUAUCCAAUAGAGUGCGAUUACGACGUUCAGACACACCAUUAUGCUGAGGCGUUCCAGGCGGCGUGAGUUGUGAAACAAUUCCACAUUUCCUUAAGUGUGUCCCAAACAAGUGACUUAAAUAUUCUCCCCCACGAUCUGAUUGUAAGAACUUUAUUUUUCUGUCACAUUGAUUUUCUACCUCAUUCUGAAAUUCCUUGAACUUUUCAAAGGUCUCAGACUUGUGUUUCAUUAAAUAGACAUACCCAUAUCUACUUAAGUCAUCAGUGAGGGUGAGAACAUAACGAUAGCCACCGCGAGCCUCAACGCUCAUUGGACCGCACACAUCAGUAUGUAUAAUUUGUUUGAAAUAUGCCCUAGAGGCAAUAAUAAAAUGGUUAUUAUUAUAUUUCUUUGUUCAUGAUAAUUGUCUGUUAUUCAUGCUAUAUUUGUAUUAUCCGGAAAUCGUAAUAAACGUGUGAAUACAUAGACCACAACAUGUCCCUAGUGAGCCUCUAGUUGACUAGCUCGUUGAUCAACAGAUAGUCAUGGUUUCCUGACUAUGGACAUUGGAUGUCAUUGAUAACGGGAUCACAUCAUUAGGAGAAUGAUGUGAUGGACAAGACCCAAUCCUAAGCAUAGCUCAAAGAUCGUGUAGUUCGUUUAGCUAGAGCUUUUCCAAAUGUCAAGUAUCAUUUGCUUAGACCAUGAGAUUGUGCAACUCCCAGAUACCGUAGGAGUGCUUUGGGUGUGCCAAACGUCACAACGUAACUGGGUGACUAUAAAGGUGCACCACGGCUAUCUCCGAAAGUGUCAGUUGGGUUGGCACGAAUCGAGACUGGGAUUUGUCACUCCGCAUGACGGAGAGGUAUCUCUGGGCCCACUUGGUAAUGCAUCAUCAUAAUGAGCUCAAUGUGACCAAGUGUCUGGUCACGGGAUCAUGCAUUACGGUACGAGUAAAGUGACUUGCCGAUAAUGAGAUUAAACGAGGUAUUGGGAUACCAACGAUCGAGUCUCGGGCAAGUAACGUAACGAUUGACAAAGGGAAUUGUAUACAGGGUUGAUUGAAUCCUCAAUAUCAUGGUUCAUCCAAUGAGAUCAUCGAGGAGCAUGUGGGAGCCAACAUGGGUAUCCAGAUCCCGCUGUUGGUUAUUGACCGGAGAGGCGUCUCGGUCAUGUCUGCAUGUCUCCCGAACCCGUAGGGUCUACACACUUAAGGUUCGGUGACGCUAGGGUUGUAGAGAUAUGAGUAUGCAGUAAACUGAAAGUUGUUCAGAGUCCCGGAUGAGAUCCCGGACGUCAUGAGGAGUUCCGGAAUGGUCCGGAGGUAAAGAAUUAUAUAUAGGAAGUCAGGUUUCGGCCAUCGGGAAAAUUUCAGGGGUCACCGGUAUUGUACCAGGACCACCGGAAGGGUCCCGGGGGUCCACCGGGUGGGGCCACCUAUCCCGGAGGGCCCCAUGGGCUGAAGUGGGAGGGGAACCAGCCCCUGGUGGGCUAGUGCGCCCCGCCUUGGGCCCCGCCUGCGCCUAGGGUUGGAAACCCUAGGGGUGGGGGGCGCUUCCACUUGCCUUGGGGGGCAAGGCACCCCCCUUGGCCGCCGCCCCCCCCCCUAUGAGAUCCCAUCUCCUAGUGCUGGCGCCCCUCUAGGGGCCCUAUAUAAAGCGGGGGAGGGAGGGCAGCCGCACCCUUGUAUUUGGCACCUCCCUUCCCCCUUGCUACACCUCUCCCUCUCGCGGACGCUUGGCGAAGCCCUGCCGAGAUCACUGCUGCAUCCACCACCACGCCAUCGUGCUGCUGGAUCUUCAUCAACCUCUCCUUUCCCCUUGCUAGAUCAAGAAGGAGGAGACGUCUCACUAACCGUACGUGUGUUGAACGCGGAGGUACCGUCCGUUCGGCGCUAGGAUCUCCGGUGAUUUGGAUCACGACGAGUACAACUCCCUCAACCCCGUUCUCUUGAACGCUUCCGCUCGAUCUACAAGGAUAUGUAGAUACACUCCUCUCUCUCGUUUCUAGAUGAAAUCAUAGAUUGAUCUUGGUGAAACCGUAGGAAAUUUUUUAUUUUCUGCAACGUUCCCCAACAGUGGCAUCAUGAGCUAGGUCUAUGCGUAGUUCUCUUUGCACGAGUAGAACACAAAUCUGUUGUGGGCGUUGAUGUUGUCAACUUUCUUGCCAUUACUAGUCUUAUUUUGCUUCAGCAGUAUUGUGGGAUGAAGCGGCCCGGACCGACCUUACAUGUACGCUUACGUGAGACAGGUUCCAUCGACUGGCAUGCACUAGUUGCAUAAGGUGGCUAGCGGGUGUCUGUCUCUCCCACUUUAGUUGGAGCGGAUUCGAUGAAAAGGGUCCUUAUGAAGGGUAAAUAGAAGUUGACAAAUCACGUUGUGGCUUUUACGUAGGUAAGAAAACAUUCUUGCUAGAACCCUAUUGCAGCCACGUAAAACAUGCAACAACAAUUAGAGGACGUCUAACUUGUUUUUGCAGCAUAUGAUUUGUGAUGUGAUAUGGCCAAAAGUUGUGAUGAAUGAUGAAUGAUAUAUUGUGAUGUAUGAGAUCAUGUUCUUGUAAUAGGAAUCACGACUUGCAUGUCGAUGAGUAUGACAACCGGCAGGAGCCAUAGGAGUUGUCUUAAUAUUGUAUGACCUGCGUGUCAAUGAUUUAUCGUCAUGUAAUUACUUUACUUUAUUGCUAAACCGUUAGCCAUAGUAGUAGAAGUAAUAGUUGGCAAGCAACUUCAUGGAGACACGAUGAUGGAGAUCAUGAUGAUGGAGAUCAUGGUGUCAUGCCGGUGACGAAGAUGAUCAUGGAGCCCCGAAGAUGGAGAUCAAAGGAGCUAUAUGAUAUUGGCCAUAUCAUGUCACUGUUUAAUUGCAUGUGAUGUUUAUUAUGUUUAUGCAUCUUGUUUACUUAGAACGACGGUAGUAAAUAAGAUGAUUCCUCAUAAUAAUUUCAAGAAAGUGUUCACCCUAAAUGUGCACCGUUGCGAAAGUUCAUCGUUUCGAAGCACCACGUGAUGAUCGGGUGUGAUAGAUUCUAACAUUCACAUACAACGGGUGUAAGACAGAUUUACACAUGCAAAACACUUAGGUUAACUUGACGAGCCUAGCAUGUACAGACAUGGCCUCGGAACACAAGAGACCGAAAGGUCGAACAUGAGUCGUAUGGAAGAUACGAUCAACAUGGAGAUGUUCACCGAUGAUGACUAGUCCGUCUCACGUGAUGAUCGGACACGGCCUAGUCGACUCGGAUCAUGUAUCACUUAGAUGACUAGAGGGAUGUGUAAUCUGAGUGGGAGUUCAUUAAAUAAUUUGAUUAGAUGAACUUAGUCUAAAAACCUUUGCAAAUAUGUCUUGUAGAUCAAAUGGCCAACGCUCAUGUUCACCUCAACUUCAACGCGUUCCUGGAGAAAACCAAGCUGAAAGAUGAUGGCAGCAACUAUAGGGAGUGGGUCCGGAACCUGAGGAUCAUCCUCAUAGCUGCCAAGAAAGAUUAUGUCCUAGAAGCACCGCUAGGUGAAGCACCCAUCCCAGAGAACCAGGAUGUUAUGAACGCUUGGCAGUCUCGUGUUGAUGAUUACUCCCUCGUUCAGUGCGGCAUGCUUUACAGCUUAGAACCGGGGCUCCAAAAACGUUUUGAGCAACACGGAGCAUAUUAGAUGUUCGAAGAGCUGAAAAUGGUUUUCCAAGCUCAUUCCCGGGUCGAGAUAUAUGAAGUCUCCGACAAGUUCUUCAGCUGUAAGAUGGAGGAAAACAGUUCUGUCAGUGAGCACAUACUCAAGAUGUCUGGGUUGGACAACCGCCUGACUCAGCUGGGAGUUAAUAUCCCGGAUGAUGUGGUUAUUGAUAGAAUCCUCCAGUCGCUUCCACCGAGCUACAAGAGCUUUGUGAUGAACUUCAAUAUGCAGGGGAUGGAAAAGACCAUUCCUGAGGUAUAUUCAAUGCUGAAAUCAGCGGAGGUAGAGAUCAAGAAAGAACAUCAAGUGUUGAUGGUGAAUAAAACCACUAAGUUCAAGAAAGGUAAGGGUAAGAAGAACUUCAAGAAGGACGGCAAGGGAGUUGCCGCGCCCGGUAAGCCAGUUGCUGGGAAGAAGUCAAAGAAUGGACCCAAGCCUGAGACUGAGUGCUUUUAUUGCAAGGGAAGUGGUCACUGGAAGUGGAACUACCCCAAGUACUUAGCGGACAAGAAGGUCGGCAACACUAAAGGUAUAUGUGAUAUACAUGUAAUUGAUGUGUACCUUACCAGUACUCGUAGUAGCUCUUGGGUAUUUGAUACCGGUGCGGUUGCUCAUAUUUGUAACUCAAAGGAGGAACUGCGGAAUAAACGGAGACUGGCAAAGGACGAGGUGACGAUGCGCGUCGGGAAUGGUUCCAAGGUCGACGUAAUCGCCGUCGGCAUGCUACCUCUACAUUUACCUACAGGGGUAGUUUUAAACCUCAAUAAUUGUUAUUUAGUGCCAAGUUUGAUCAUGAACAUUGUAUCUGGAUCUCGUUUAAUACGAGAUGGCAACUCAUUUAAAUCCGAGAAUAAUGGUUGUUCUAUUUAUAUGAGAGAUAUGUUAUAUGGUCAUGCCCCAAUGGUCAAUGGUUUAUUCUUAAUGAAUCUCGAACAUGAUGUUACACAUAUUCAUAGUGUGAAUACCAAAAUAUGUAAAGUUGAUAACGAUAGUCCCACAUACUUGUGUCACUGCCGCCUUGGUCAUAUUGGUGACAAGCGCAUGAAGAAGCUCCAUGCUGAUGGACUUUUAGAGUCUCUCGAUUAUGAAUCAUUUGACACAUGCGAACCAUGCCUCACGGGCAAAAUGACCAAGACUCCGUUCUCCGAAACAAUGGAGCGAGCAACCAACUUAUUGGAAAUCAUACAUACUGAUGUCUGCGGUCCAAUGAGCGUUGAGUCUCGCACAGGAUAUCGUUAUGUUCUCACUCUCACUAACGACUUGAGUAGAUAUGGGUAUGUCUACUUGAUGAAACACAAGUCUGAGACCUUUGAAAAGUUCAAGGAGUUUCAGAAUGAGGUAGAGAAUCAACGUGACCGAAAGAUAAAGUUCCUACGAUCAGAUCGUGGAGGAGAAUAUUUAAGUCAUGAAUUCGGUAUGCACUUAAGGAAAUGUGGAAGCAUUUCACAACUCAUGCCGCCUGGAACACCUCAGUGUAACGGUGUGUCCGAAUGUCGUAAUCGCACUUUAUUGGAUAUGGUGCGAUCUAUGAUGUCUCUUACCGAUGUACCGCUAUCUUUUGGGGAUACGCUCUAGAGACAGCUACAUUCACUUUAAAUAGGGCACCGUCUAAAUCCGUUGAGACGACACUGUAUGAAUUAUGGUUUGGGAAGAAACCUAAGCUGUCGUUUCUAAAAGUUUGGGGAUGCGAUGCUUAUGUCAAGAAACUUCUACCUGAAAAGCUCGAACCCAAGUAGGAAAAAUGUGUCUUCAUAGGAUACCCUAAGGAAACCAUUGGGUAUACCUUCUACCUCAGAUCCAAAGGCAAGAUCUUUGUUGCCAAGAAUGGGUCCUUUCUGGAGAAAGAGUUUCUCUCAAGAGAAGUAAGUGGGAGGAAAGUUCAACUUGAUGAAGUACUACCUCUUGAACCGGUGAGUAGCGCAGCUCAGGGAGAUGUUCCUGUGGUGCCAGCACCAACUGAAGAGGAAGUUAAUGAUGAUGAUCAAGGUACUUCGCAUCAAGUUACUACUGAACUUCAUAGGUCCACGAGGACACGUUCCACACCAGAGUGGUAUGGCAAUCCUGUCCUGGAAACCAUGUUGUUAGACAACGGUGAACCUUCGAACUAUGAAGAAGGGAUGGCGGGCCCAGAUUCCAACAAAUGGCUUGAAGCCAUGCAAUCCGAGAUAGGAUCCAUGUAUGAAAACGAAGUAUGGACUUUGACAGACUUGCCCGAUGAUCGGCGAGCGAUAGAAAACAAAUGGAUCUUUAAGAAGAAGACGGACGCGGAUGGUAAUGUUACCAUCUAUAAAGCUCGACUUGUUGCUAAGGGUUAUCGACAAUUUCAAGGGGUUGACUACGAUGAGACAUUCUCUACCGUAGCGAAGCUAAAGUCCGUCUGAAUCAUGUUAGCAAUUGCCGCAUACUAUGAUUAUGAGAUAUGGCAAAUGGACGUCAAAACGGCAUUCCUUAACGGUCAUCUUAAGGAAGAACUGUAUAUGAUGCAGCCGGAAGGUUUUGUCGACCCUGAGAAUGCUAACAAGGUAUGCAAGCUCCAGCGAUCCAUUUAUGGGCUGGUGCAAGCAUCUCGGAGUUGGAACAUUCACUUUGAUGAGAUGAUCAAGGCGUUUGGGUUUAUGGAGACUUAUGGAGAAGCCUGCAUUUACAAGAAAGUGAGUGGGAGCGCUGUAGCAUUUCUCAUAUUAUAUGUAGAUGACAUACUUUUGAUGGGAAAUGAUAUAGAACUCUUGGACAGCAUUAAGGCCUACUUGAAUAAGUGUUUUUCAAUGAAGGACCUUGGAGAAGCUGCUUACAUACUAGGCAUCAAGAUCUAUAGGGAUAGAUCGAGACGCCUCAUAGGUCUUUCACAAAGAACAUACCUUGAUGAGAUAUUGAAGAAGUUCAAUAUGGAUCAGUCCAAGAAAGGGUUCUUGCCUGUAUUGCAAGGUGUGAGAUUGAGCUUGGCUCAAUUCCCAACCACGGCAGAAGAUAAAGAAGAGAUGAGUGUCAUCCCCUAUGCCUCAGCCAUAGGGUCUAUUAUGUAUGCCAUGCUGUGUACCAGACCUGAUGUAAACCUUGCCGUAAGUUUGGUAGGAAGGUACCAAAGUAAUCCCGGCAAGGAACACUGGACAGCGGUCAAGAACAUCCUAAAGUACCUGAAAAGGACUAAGGAUAUGUUUCUCGUUUAUGGAGGUGACAAAGAGCUCAUCGUAAAGGGUUACGUGGAUGCUAGCUUCGACACAGAUCUGGAUGACUCUAAGUCACAAACCGGAUACGUGUAUAUUUUGAAUGGUGGGGCAGUAAGCUAGUGCAGUUGCAAGCAAAGCAUCGUGGCGGGAUCUACAUGUGAAGCAGAGUACAUGGCACCCUCGGAGGCAGUGCAUGAAGCAAUCUAGGUGAAGGAGUUCAUCAUCGACCUAGGAGUCAUACCCAAUGCGUCGGGGCCGAUCAAACUCUUCUGUGACAACACUGGAGCUAUUGCACUUGCCAAGGAGCCCAGGUUUCACAAGAAGACCAGGCACAUCAAGCGUCGCUUCAACUCCAUACGUGAAAAUGUUCAAGAUGGAGACAUAGAUAUUUGUAAAGUACAUACAGACCUGAAUGUGGCAGAUCCGUUGACUAAACCUCUUCCUAGGGCAAAACAUGAUCAACACCAGAAUUCCAUGGGUGUUCGAUUGAUCACAAUGUAACUAGAUUAUUGAACUCUAGUGCAAGUGGGAGACUGUUGGAAAUAUGCCCUAGAGGCAAUAAUAAAAUGGUUAUUAUUAUAUUUCUUUGUUCAUGAUAAUUGUCUAUUAUUCAUGCUAUAAUUGUAUUAUUCGGAAAUUGUAAUACACGUGUGAAUACAUAGACCACAACAUGUCCCUAGUGAGCCUCUAGUUGACUAGCUCGUUGAUCAACAGAUAGUCAUGGUUUCCUGACUAUGGACAUUGGAUGUCAUUGAUAACGGGAUGACAUCAUUAGGAGAAUGAUGUGAUAGACAAGACCCAAUCCUAAGCAUAGCUCAAAGAUCGUGUAGUUCGUUUAGCUAAAGCUUUUCCAAAUGUCAAGUAUCAUUUGCUUAGACCAUGAGAUUGUGCAACUCCUGGAUACCGUAGGAGUGCUUUGGGUGUGCCAAACGUCACAACGUAACUGGGUGACUAUAAAGGUGCACUACGGGUAUCUCCGAAAGUGUCUGUUGGGUUGGCACGAAUCGAGACUGGGAUUUGUCACUCCGCAUGACGGAGAGGUAUCUAUGGGCCCACUCGGUAAUGCAUCAUCAUAAUGAGCUCAAUGUGACCAAGUGUCUGGUCACGGGAUCAUGCAUUACGGUACGAGUAAAGUGACUUGCCGGUAACGAGAUUAAACGAGGUAUUGGGAUACCGACGAUCGAGUCUCGGGCAAGUAACAUACCGAUUGACAAAGGGAAUUGUAUACAGGAUUGAUUGAAUCCUCGACAUCGUGGUUCAUCCGAUGAGAUCAUCGAGGAGCAUGUGGGAGCCAACAUGGGUAUCCAGAUCCCGCUGUUGGUUAUUAACCGGAGAGGCGUCUCGGUCAUGUCUGCAUGUCUCCCGAAGCCGUAGGGUCUACACACUUAAGGUUCGGUGACGCUAGGGUUGUAGAGAUAUGAGUAUGCAGUAAACCGAAUGUUGUUCGGAGUCCCGGAUGAGAUCCCGGACGUCACGAGGAGUUCCGGAAUGGUCCGGAGGUAAAGAAUUAUAUAUAGGAAGUCAGGUUUCUGCCAUCGGGAAAAUUUCGGGGGUCACCUGUAUUGUACCGGGACCACCGGAAGGGUCCCGGGGGUCCACCAGGUGGGGCCACCUAUCCCGGAGGGCCCCAUGGGCUCAAGUGGGAGGGGAACCAGCCCCUGGUGGGCUGGUGCGCCCCCCCCCCCCUUGCCCGCGCCUAGGGUUGGAAACCCUAGGGGUGGGGGGCGCCUCCACUUGCCUUGGGGGGCAAGGCACCCCCCUUGGCCGCCACCCCCCCUAGGAGAUCCCAUCUCCUAGGGCCGGCACCCCCCCUAGGGGCCCUACAUAAAGAGGGGGGAGGGCAGCUGCACCCUUGUACUUGGCGCCUCCCUUCCCCCUUCCUACACCUCUCCCUCUCGCGGACGCUUGGCGAAGCCCUGCUGAGAUCAUUGCUGCAUCCACCACCACGCCGUCGUGCUGCUAGACUUCAUCAACCUCUCCUUUCCCCUUGCUGGAUCAAGAAGGAGGAGACGUCUCGCUGACCGUACGUGUGUUGAACGCGGAGGUGCCAUCCGUUAGGCGCUAAGAUCUCUGGUGAUUUGGAUCACGACGAGUACAACUCCCUCAACCCCGUUCUCUUGAACGCUUCCGCUCGAUCUACAAGGGUACAUAGAUGCACUCCUCUCUCUCAUUGCUAGAUGAACUCAUAGAUUGAUCUUGGUGAAACCGUAGGAAAUUUUUUAUUUUCUGCAACGUUCCCCAACAUAAUUUCCAAUAAGUUGGUUGCUCGCUCCAUUGUUCCGGAGAACGGAGUCUUGGUCAUUUUGCCCAUGAGGCAUGGUUCGCACGUGUCAAAUGAUUCGAAAUCAAGAGACUCCAAAAGUCCAUCUAUAUGGAUCUUCUUCAUGCGUUUGAUGCCAAUGUGACCAAGGCGGUAGUGCCACAGAUAUGUGGGACUAUCAUUAUCAAUCUUACAUCUUUUGGUAUUCACACUAUGAAUAUGUGUAACAUCACGUUCGAGAUUCAUUAAGAAUAAACCAUUGACCAGCGGGGCAUGACCAUAAAACAUAUCUCUCAUAUAAAUAGAACAACCAUUAUUCUCGGAUUUAAAUGUGUAGCCAUCUCGUAUCAAAUGAGAUCCAGAUACAAUGUUCAUGCUCAAAGCUGGCACUAAAUAAAAAUUAUUGAGGUUUAAAACUAAUCCGUAGGUAAAUGUAGAGGUAGCGUGCCGACAUCGAUCACAUCAACCUUGGAACCAUUCUCGGCGCGCAUCGUCACCUCGUCCUUCACCAGUAUCCGUUUAUUCCGCAACUCCUGUUUUGAGUUACAAAUAUGAGCAACCGCACCGGUAUCAAAUACCCAGGAGCUACUACGAGUACUAGUAAGGUACACAUCAAUUACAUGUAUAUCACAUAUACCUUUGGUGUUGCCGGCCUUCUUCUCCGCUAAGUACUUGGGGCAGUUCCGCUUCCAGUGUCCACUUACCUUGCAAUAAAAGCACUCAGUCUCAGGUUUGGGUCCAUGCUUUGGCUUCUUCCCGCCAACUGACUUACCGAGCGCGGCAACUCCCUUGUCGUCCUUCUUGAAGUUCUUCUUACCCUUGCGUUUCUUGAAACUAGUGGUUUUAUUGACCAUCAACACUUGAUGUUCCUUUUUGAUUUCUACCUCCGCUGAUUUCAGCAUUGGAAAUACCUCAGGAAUAGUUUUCACCAUCCCCUGCAUAUUGUAGUUCAUCACAAAGCUCUUGUAGCUUGGUGGGAGCGUCUGAAGGAUUCUGUCAAUGACCGCAUCAUCUGGGAGGUUAACUCCCAGCUGAGACAAGCGGUUGUGCAACCCAGACAUUUUGAGUAUGUGCUCGCUGACAGAACUAUUCUCCUCCAUCUUACAACUGUAGAACUUGUCGGAGACUUCAUAUCUCUCGACCCGGGCAUGAGCUUGGAAAACCAUUUUCAUCUCUUGGAACAUCUCAUAUGCUCCGUGUUGCUCAAAACGCUUUUGGAGCCCCGGUUCUAAGCUGUAAAGCAUGCCGCACUGAACCGGGGAGUAAUCAUCACUACGCGACUGUCAGACGUUCAUAACGUCUUGAGUUGCUGGGAAAACGGAUGCUUCAACUAGCGGUGCAUCUAGGACAUAUGCUCUUUUUGCAGCUAUGAGGAUGAUCCUCAAGUUCCGGACCCAGUCCGUAUAGUUGCUGCCAUCGUCUUUCAGCUUGGUUUUCUCUAGGAACACGUUGAAGUUGAGGGCAAUAUUAGCGUGGGCCAUUUGAUCUACAAGACAUAUUGUAAAAGUUUUAGACUAAGUUCAUGAUAAUUAAGUUCAUCUAAUCAAAUUAUUUAAUGAACUCCCACUCAGAUAGACAUCCCUCUAGUCAUCUAAGUGAUCCAUGAUCCGAGUCAACUAGGCCGUGUCCGAUCAUCACGUGAGAUGGACUAGUCAUCAUCGGUGAACAUCUUCAUGUUGAUCGUAUCUUCUAUAUGACUCAUGUUCGACCUUUCGGUCUCUUGUGCUCUGAGGCCAUGUCUAUAAAUGCUAGGCUCGUCAAGUCAACCUAAGUGUUUUUGCAUGUGUAAAUCUGUCUUACACCCGUUGUAUGUGAAUGUUAGAAUCUAUCACACCCGAUCAUCACGUGGUGCUUCGAAACAAUGAACUUUCACAACGGCGCACAGUUAGGGGGAACACUUUCUUGAAAUUAUUAUGAGGGAUCAUCUUAUUUACUACCGUCGCUCUAAGAAAAUAAGAUGUAGAAACAUGAUAAACAUCACAUGCAAUCAAAUAGUGACAUGAUAUGGCCAAUAUCAUUUUGCUCCUUUUGAUCUCCAUCUUCGAGGCGCCAUGAUCAUCAUCGUCACCGGCAUGACACCAUGAUCUCCAUCAUCGUGUCUUCAUGAAGUUGUCACGCCAAUGAUUACUUCUACUACUAUGGCUAACAGUUUAGCAAUAAAGUAAAGUAAUUACAUGGCAUUAUUCAAUGACACGCAAGUCAUACAAUAAUUAAGACAACUCCUAUGGCUCCUGCCGAUUGUCAUACUCAUCGACAUGCAAGUCGUGAUUCCUAUUACAAGAACAUGAUCAAUCUCAUACAUCCCAUAUAUAUCAUUCAUCACAUCCUUUUUGGCCAUAUCACAUCACAAGGCAUAUGCUGCAAAAACAAGUUAGACGUCCUCUAAUUGUUGUUGCAUGUUUUUACCUGGCUGCAAUAGGGUUCUAGCAAGAACGUUUCUUACCUACGUCAAAACCACAACGUGAUAUGCCAAUUUCUAUUUACCCUUCAUAAGGACCUUUUUCAUCGAAUCCGAUCCGACUAAGGUGGGAGAGACAGACACCCGCUAGCCACCUUAUGCAACUAGUGCGUGUCAGUCAGUGGAACCUGUCUCACGUAAGCGUACGUAUAAGGUCGGUCUGGGCCGCUUCAUCCCACGAUACCACCGAAACAAGAUAAGACUAGUAGUGGCAAGUAAAUUGACAAAAUCUACGCCCACAACAAAAUUGUGUUCUACUCAUGCAUAGAAACUACGCAUAGACCUAGCUCUGAUACCACUGUUGGGGAUCGUUGUAGAAAAUAAAAAAAUUACGCAUCACCAAGAUCAAUCUAUGGAGUCAUCUAGCAACGAGAGAGAGAGAUGCAUCUACAUACCUUUGUAUAUCGCGAGCGGAAGCGUUCAAGGGAAUGGGGUUGAAGGAGUCGUACUCAUCGUGAUCCAAAUCACCGAUGAUCCUAGCGCCGAACGGACGGCACCUCCAUGUUCAACACACGUACGGAGCGGAGAAGUCUCCCGUGCCUUAAUCCAGCAAGGAGGAGGGAUAGGUUGAGGAAGAGAUCUCUAGCAGCAGCACGACGGCGUGAGGGUGAUGGAGAGGCAGUACUCCGGCAGGGCUUCGCCAAGCUUCUGCGGAGGAGGAGAGGUGUUGGGGAGGGGAGGGGAUGAGCCUUGGAGGUGUGUGUGCAUCCCUCCCCUCGCCCCUCUAUUUAUAGGGGGGGAUGAAGGGGGCCGGCACCCUCUAGAUGAGAUCUAGAGGGGGGGCGACGGCCAGGGGGGACUUGCCCCCCAAGCAAGGGGGGCGCCCCCUUUAGGGUUUCCCCCCAACCCUAGGCGCAUGGGCCCAAGGGGGGUUGCACCCAGCCCUCUAAGGGCUGGUUCCCUUCCCUCUAUGGCCCAUGAGGCCCUCCAGGAGAGGUGACCCCUCCCGGUGGUCCCUCGGAACCCUUCCGGUGGCCCCGGUACAAUACCGGUAUGCCCUGGAACCUUUCCGUUGACCGUAUUACAACUUCUCAUAUAUAAAUCUUCACCUCCGGACCCUUCCGGAACUCCUCGUGACGUCUGGAUCUCAUCCGGGACUCCGAACAACAUUCGGUAAUCACAUACAAGUCUUCCUAAUAACCCUAGCGUCACCAAACCUUAAGUGUGUAGAGCAUGCGGGUUCGGGAAUCACGCAGACAUGACUGAGACAGCUCUCCGAUCAAUAACCAACAGCGGGAUCUGGAUACCCAUGUUGGCUCCCACAUGUUCCACGAUGAUCUCAUCGGAUGAACCACGAUGUCGAGGAUUCAAGCAAUCCCGUAUACAAUUGCCUUUGUCACACGGUACGUUACUUGCCCGAGAUUCGAUCGUCGGUAUCCCAAUACCUCAUUCAAUCUCGUUUCCGGCAAGUCACUUUACUCGUUCCGUAGUGCAUGAUCCCGUGACCAACCACUUGGUCACAUUGAGCUCAUUAUGUUGAUGCAUUACCGAGUGGGCCCAGAGAUACCUCUCCGUCAUACGGAGUGACAAAUCCCAGUCUCGAUCUGUGUCAAUCCAACAGACACUUUCGGAGAUACCUGUAGUAUACCUUUAUAGCCACCCAGUUACGUUGUGACGUUUGUUACACCCAAAGCACUCCUACGGUAUCUGGGAGUUACACGAUCUCAUGGUGUAAGGAAAUGAUACUUGACAUUAGAAAAGCUCUAGCAACCAAACUACACGAUCUUGUGCUAUGCUUAGGAUUGGGUCUUGUCCAUCACAUCAUUCUCCUAAUGAUGUGAUCCCGUUAUCAAUGACAUCCAAUGUCCAUAGUCAGGAAACCAUGACUAUCUAUUGAUCAACGAGCUAGUCAACUAGAGGCUCACUAGGGACAUGUUGUGGUCUAUGUAUUCACACAUGUAUUACGAUUUCCGGAUAACACAAUUAUAGCAUGAACAAUAGACAAUUAUCAUGAACAAGGAAAUAUAAUAAUAACAAUUUUAUUAUUGCCUCUAGGGCAUAUUUCUGACAGUAUGAGGUCGCCGCGGCCACCUGCCACGAGUCCAUCUUCAGAGUUGUACUGUUGCAUCUACCGUGUCAGGUCUCUCUGCCAUCGGCGCCACCACGACGCCAGACAGCGUCGUCCUCCUGCGCGAGUCCAUCCACCCACAUAGAACUCCGAAUCUGCACUGCACCACGCCGUCAAGAUCCAGUCGCCAUCAAUGUGUAGGAUGAAGCACCGCUCCACCAAAGAAGCCGUCCGCUGGUCCUGCGAAGCCGAGUGGACCUCCAAAAAUGCCGCCCCAAAGGGAGUUAUGACACAUGAAUGCCGCCAUCAUCCGAUCAGCUGAUCUAGGGUUUCCCCCGAAGGUAUUGAGUGGAGUUGGGAGCUUCACCUUGAUGAUGCCUUUGCGAAGGAAACGAUGAUAAUGGCAUCGUCAUCACCGGCUCUGGCCAUCAACCGAAGACCAGGUUUUCACCCGGAUCCGUCCCAAGAAAUCCACCCAACAAUCUGUGCACCGUCUCGACCGCCUUCAAAGCCCCAGAUCCAGCCGCCUAGAUCCGGCGACCAACCGCAUCAACAGUGCCACCGUGGGAUCCCUGGCGCACCGGCCCCUGCCUGAGUGUGCCACCACUGGAGCCUAGGAGGAGGGCUCCCACCCCGCCUCGCCAAGCCGCGAGAGCCGCCGCAGGAAGCCCUAGCUUCACCAGUCGCCACCCUCUAGGGCCGCCGCCCCGGGAUCCAGACAGAACCUUGCCGCUGCCACCGGCCGAGUUCCGCCACCGUCGACCGGCCACUGCGACCGCCGCCGCCAUGCCGCCAACGGAUCUGGGCGAGGAUAGCCAUCCUCCCCGAGGACACACGCCGCAGCCUCUUCUCCGCGUACUCGCACGAGAAGCCACCGUGGCCGCGUCCCCACCCCUCGUCGGAUGCCGCGCACGUGCCACCCCACGGCCGGCGAAGGCCGCCGCCACGAGGAGACCCGCACGCAGCCACCACACAGCUCGGCGUUGACCCAUCUGCAGCCGCGCCAUGGGCCCGCCGCCGUCAAGAUCGUCGCCGCCGUGCCGCCAGGAUCCGUGCACCCCGGCCCCCCGCUUGGCCUGGCCGCUCCCGCAGGCCACGAACGCGAGGAGGGGAGAAGGCCCCCGCCGCCAGCCACCGCGGGGGAUUUGCCCGGCUCUGGCCGGCGGCGGCGGUGAAGUGGAGGAGGAGGAGGGCUAGCGGCAAGGGGUGGCGGCGCCGCCCGCCGGAGGAGCGACGCGGGCGCUAGUAAACUCCUUGUUGAGUCUAUUUUUUUCAAAAUCAAAUUUCUUAUAGUGCGGGAACUAAUUUGUUUUAUACUAAUUGCUACCUGCCUGUGCGUGCGGUGAAGGAGACUUUACUGCGUUUUGUGGGGUAACCAAACAGGUCCUCUAUAUUGUGAAUACUUCAAAAAACGUUGUUAUAUUAAAACCAUGGUAUUUUCUACCUAGAGAUUAAAUUACUGUAGUUUUGGAUACUUUGGUUUCUAUAUUACUUUGCUAUCAAAAAAUUUAAUUACAAAUUUAAGUAACAAAAUAUUAAUGCAUGUCAAUAGAAAUUAUAUCGUUGAAUUCGUAUUUAAACAUAGUUUUUAAAGAUAUAAUUUUUUAUAACAUACAUGAGCAUUUUGUUAGUUCAAUUUAUGAUCAAAAUUUAGCAUGAAAUACAAUUACGAUCCAUAAACCAGGACCAAAGUAGUAUCAUUUAAAGUUUUUAAAUCACACAUGCUUGGGAAGGACAAGUUUUGCGGUAAUUUGCGUCGGUGUUUGCAAAGAAAGCAACGGUAUGUACUGAAGCUCCCGCGUGAGCAUCUCUUUAUUUCUGGUGAACGAUUUUGCUGAUUAAAGGUCAGCUACAUUCCCGAUGAGGGAUCGCUAGAAUUACGCCGAAGACGGAAUGUGGCAUCAUCGACGGAGGCAGAAAAGAAGGUAGGCCUUUUUCAGCUUUAAUAAUGCUGCUCGGAUUAGGGCGUCACCAAUACUGACACACAAACCGUCAACAACUAUUCAGACCGUGUGGUUCGAAUGUAUUGUGCCACCCAACUUAGUCUUGCAUCGGUAUGUAAAGCGGUUCAAUUUUAUUUUCUUCCGCAAACUAAAGAUAUACUAUGAAGAUUUUAAUGGUGUUCGGACCACGGUCGCGUCCGCUUCUGACCACUCUGGCCCACCCAAAACCCUCCCAUCCUUGCACGUGCACCUUCCCGUUUGGCGCCGCCGCUGUAGAGCGGCGACUUCGGAUUGACGCCGGUCCAGAGCAAACGUCACCUCUCACUAGCUCCGCCAUCGAAGUAGCACGCCGGCGAGGGCGCCGCCCACGCCACGUCCUCGGUGUCUGGCAUGUUCAAUGUUGGAGACGCAUUACUGGACGGGACAAGAUGGAUAUCUACCAUGCCCGUUUUCUGUCCCGUCCGUCCGUAUGCCUCCAUUAAGCAGGCUCGCCAGCCGAGAAACCCACUGUGGCGCCGCACAUUGACACACUCAGAUGCCUGGCCUCGCCAGAAUCCAUUAUUUAAAGGCGGCCACACCCGGCUAUCUCCACAUCAAAACACAAGUCACUUCACAUACUCCUCGUUGCACCACAUCCGUCAUGACUGCAGGCGGUAACGCUCUGUGAGAGAGCCUUUCGACGGAGAUGAAGUACGAGGUGGCCGCCCUUUGCGGCCGCCGUGCCAGGCGGAUCGAGGCCGACAUGCAGACCAACUCGCCUGAGGUCUUUGACGACGAGGACGACCCCACGAUGGAGACGGGCUCCGACGACACCGCACCGGAGGGCCACGCUCGUGCAUGUUGGCUUCACCAUGAAGCAGGCGCAGGCACACUUCAACACCACCAUGGCGGAGGAGCAGCAGGCGUGAGCGCCUAUCUCAGCGUUCUAGCAUGCGCAGGAAGAACGUCGCUACAAUAUGUUCCUCCUCGAGCAUCACCGGCUGGCAAAGGACCAAAUCAACGACGAACGCACAAACUAGGACGCCGCUGUGAAACUCAACUUCGCCGCGGAGCAGCGUGCACUCUACGAGGCCGUCCAUGCUCAAGCCACUACUCGCCAGGAAUAGGCCGAUACGGAGGCGCGGCUGUAGGCGAUCACGAAAGAGAACAACGCCAGAUGCGCGUCCUACGGGCCGUCGACGGACUUUCGGGCAGCCCAGUGGGACGACGAGAGCAUAGGCGCCUCCAUUUUCAUCGUGGACCUCAUGCCUAUUGGAAAUAUGCCCUAGAGGUAUUAAUAUUUUAUUAUUAUAUUUUCAUUUUCAUAAUUAAGAGUUUAUAUUUCAUGCUAUAACUGCUAUGAUCUCGGAAUAUGCGAUUCAGUGAAAAACUCAUAUGCACGUGUGGAAUGAUAAAUGAUAAAGAAUAGAUUCCUAGUCUUCCCUCUAAGACUGGCUCAAUUAUUAUUGAUGAUCAUAUUUUCCGAAUCUUAGAAUAUCGUUAAGUGUAACGAUAGUCCUAAAAAAUAUUGAGAGUAUGACGUUAGAAGAACGAUCAAAUUGAAUCGACCCAAAACUUGUUUGUCAUACUUUGAGAUUAUAUCGUCUGAAAUCAAUUGUUAUAACACGAAGUGUUAACAUGUGUUUUUAGUUCCUUAGACCAUUAGAGUAUCGUAGCCACUUCUCAUCGUACGGUGGAGUUUGGGGUUGCUCAAACAUCAUUUGUAACACGUUGACCAUAAUACAACUUACAAGUUCAUCGAAAAAUUUGACAAGGGACUAGAUAGCUCGAGAGUGGGAUUUGCUCCUCCGACAAUGAAGAGGUAUUCUUAGAUCCCUCUUGGUGUGACGGCAUCAAUAGUCGUCCGGAAAGACACGGGUCACUAUGUCGGGGAUGCCGGAACACUGCAACGACAAUAACGGUAUAGUAGCAUGGCAACAUUUCUUUUUCUGUGCACCAUUCAAUUUUCUUGGGAUGCUAUGUUAAAAUAUAUUUUUCAUAUAUUAAAUUGUAUAUACCAUGCUAUUUUUUAUAGAUUUUUCCAUCUUUUUGCAAGAAAGAAUCUCUAACCUUUGCCAUAUGUCCAUAGCAAUUUUUUCAAACAUUUCAUGAUUUUUAUAGAGAAAGAAAUAUACUAACUUACCAUAUUUUCAAAGAACAAACUUGUUAAAAAAAUUCCAUGUGUAAAUUUUCUUUAUAGAUAGAAUGGUUAUUUUAUUAUUUAUAUACCAUUGCAAUUUUACUUGUUACACCAUGGCAAUUUUAUUAAUAAGAGCAAGGUAGGUUUAUUGUAGGUAGCAUGGCAAAUAUUAUUAUUUACAACAUGUCUAUUUUUAUUAGUCAUACCAUGUUAGUUUUGUUUUACGUAACAUGGUACUUUCAUUAUUAAUUUCAUGCAUUUUUUAUUUUGCUACACCAUGAUAGUUUUAUUUUUCAUCGCAAUUUUAAACACAAUAUUGGCAUGUAAACUAGCUCUGAGGCCUUAAGGCCUUUCUAACUGCUCAACAUGGGCUUGUUUGUGGCCCAUUUUUUAUUGGACAUGUUUUAACGAGGUCGGUUUAUUGAUGGUAAUCCCUAUUUGGCGCUGCAGGCGCCAGUUACAGCUGCUUUCGCAAACCGGCGCCUGCAGCGUAGUUAGAUGGGCUCGGCCCAACUACCUGUUUGACACUCAAAAAACGAUGGCAAAGGGAAUGUGUGCGUACCCAGGAAUCAAACCAGCGAUCUUUCUGUUGCUAGAUCCCUCCACUAACCACCACACCACCUACGCCAAUCGCGAAUACAAACCUCCUUUCAUCGUUCUUAUACAUGCAGGAAAUGCCCACUAUGUUCUCCAUGUUUUUUCCCUUUUUUUUGUUUCCUGUUUCCUUUUUUCUUAAGUGCGUGAAAUGUUUCGUAAUAGACAAUAUUUUUUUCUAACACGUGAACUUUUUCUUUCAAUCAAUGAACUUUUUAAAUUUCAAUGAAAUUUUUUCAAGUUUGAUGAAUUUUUUCAAUUUCAAUGAAUUUUUUUUCAAACUUGAUUAACUCUCUUUUCAAAAUGAAUGAACGUUUUAACAUUUUGAUGAAAUUAUUUUAAAGAUCUAUGAACUUUUCUAAAUCCGAUGAACUUUUUUCAAUUUGAUGAACUUUUUUUUCAAAUCCAAUGAACUAUUUUCAAUUCGAUGAACUUUUUUUAAGUCUUAUGAACUUUUUUCAAAUCCGAUGAACUUUUUGAAAAUUGAUGAACUUUUCUCAGAUCUGUGAACUUUUUUUCAAAAUCCAUGAACUUUUUCAAAUUGUGAUGAACUUCUUUGAAAAUCGAUGAACUUUUUUCAAUUCAAUGAACUUUUUUUUUUCAAAAUCCAUGCACUUUUUUUUGAAAUUUGAUGAACUUUUUUCGAAUUCAAUGAACUUUUCUUCGAAAACAGUGAACUUUUUUUCAAAUUUGUGAUUUUUUUUUUAAAUGGAUGAAGGUUUUUUCGAAAUUGAUGAUCUUUUUCCAUUUUUUACGAACUAUUUUUCAUAUUCGUGGUUUUUUUGUGAAUUUCUUUUUCAAAUAAUUAACUCUGGGUAUAUUAUAUAUCUGUAGAGGAAUGGUCAAAUCUUCCCCUUUCUGGUAGUUGACAAGAUAAGCACCUCGGUCUGGUGGUUUGGCCGUUAGGUUGCUAUUCCUUAGGUGAUGGGUUCGAGUUCCAGUUUUUGCAUCGUAGUCUUUUACUGUUUUUUCUCCUCGAUUGGGCCGGCCCGCUAGCUCCCGCUGUUAGCGCUAACCGACCCUUGCAGCGCCGACUAGGAGCUCCCUUUAUCGAUGGCUCUUUGCUUUGUUCGUUCGAUCUUGAUGGGCAACACCGCGAACGCCCUUUUUCUACGAGAGGUUCGCCAGUUAGUUCCUCCCAGUUCGAACGGGCUCUGAAAAGCUAUCCGCCCGUAAUGAGUGCUUUGGUGUUAAUAACAAUAAUGAUUAGGCGACUAACUAUGUUUUGAGUGUGCUUUCAGUAUAUGCAUUAUUGGAACGGAACAUAAAGUUGGUCAGCAACCCUCUAAGCUAAAGGACAAAAGAAGACGACACGUUCAAUUUUCUACCGACAAUUUCUCGUAAGAGGGGAUACAUCAUGGAUCGUGUGUGGAAUCAAUGAAAAUGAUAAGCCAAAAUUACCACCCAAAUCCCAAUGAGAGACGAGCCCAUGUUUCACUUGUUAUUUGACUCUAGGACAAGUUAGACUAUCUGUCUAAUAUCUGGCCAUUAUCUGACUUGGUAACAGAAGCCUAUGUAAAGUCAGAUAAUCGUUGGAUAUUACCCAAAUAAUCUUCUAGUUAGACUAUCUGACUUGAUGACAGUAGCCUCUCUAAAGUCACAUAAUCGUUGGAUAUUGCCUUGAUAAUCCGACUUUUGUCAGAAUGAACAUAACAGGCAGGAAAGGGGACGAACUCCAUUCCUCUUUCCUUCACUAAUUCAAAGCUUCAAUAUUUGAUUCCUCUGUCUCUAGCCAACCAUAUUUCAAACAGACAAGGAGGAACACCCGAUCUACCAAUCCAUAUAAAAAACUUGAGUGUGUUGAUUCGCAUGAGAUCCUAGCAAAUAUUGUUACUCUUGGGUUUGUGGGGAACCCUGGGCAGUUGGCGCUACUCGGGAGCUUCCAAGUCGUGUGGUUGUGCUCCGGGUUCAUUUGCGACGUUUUGGAGAUUGCCCCAAAGAGCUACCCCUAGUCGAAGGGAGCCAAAGCAUUCGUUUCUUGUGGUUCGGGGAGAAGAAGACGAGACACUUGUUUUCGUGGGAGCAUUCAAUGUUGUCCCCUCUCAAACGAAGAUUAGCACACUCCAAGUGUGUGAACUUUGGACUACAUCAUCAUCUUCACCGCUUUCGCUUGUCUCUUUACGCGAGCUUUACUUGUUGUUUAUACUUGCUUGUGUGUUGUCUUGUGUUGGUUACUAGCUUGUUGCAACGUAUCGUAUAGGGUUGUAUCACCUAGUUGCAUUUCUAGAGAACUUAUAUUUUCGCACUUUUGUGCAAAAGCAACUAAGAAAAGGAUUUAAUUUGGUAGUCGCCUACUCAACACCCCCCCCCCCCCCCCAAGGUGACAUUAUUGCCAUCUUAGAUCCUUCAAAAACGUUCAACGGAUCGGAUGACUCACGUUCAGCCAGUAUUGACAUUCAACAAUUAUAUGAAGUACAAAGCAACUCAAAUAUAANNNNNNNNNNUCUCUUUACGCGAGCUUUACUUGUUGUUUAUACUUGCUUGUGUGUUGUCUUGUGUUGGUUACUAGCUUGUUGCAACGUAUCGUAUAGGGUUGUAUCACCUAGUUGCAUUUCUAGAGAACUUAUAUUUUCGCACUUUUGUGCAAAAGCAACUAAGAAAAGGAUUUAAUUUGGUAGUCGCCUACUCAACACCCUCCCCCCCCCCCCAAGGUGACAUUAUUGCCAUCUUAGAUCCUUCAAAAACGUUCAACGGAUCGGAUGACUCACGUUCAGCCAGUAUUGACAUUCAACAAUUAUAUGAAGUACAAAGCAACUCAAAUAUAAAAAUUACAUUGAGGCCUCUAGACUACCGAACAACCACUACCAAUGCCAGAAUGAGCCAUCAACACGCCGCUCCCCUAUCUAAGCCGGUUUGACCUUGUCGCAAAGUUUUAAAUAGCCGGCUAUAGCUCCGUUAUAGCCCGCUAUAUAGCCUUUUUAGUAGGGUGCCGCUAAGUGGUCCCAUGUACAAAUACCCCGCUAUAGCCUGCUAUAGCCCGCUAUAACUCCGCUAUAACUGAUUUUGAGGUCCACCGCUAUUCGGCAAUAGCCGCUAUUUAAAACAUUGCUUUAUCGGUGAUAGCUGAGAAGUCUUCGUGCACAUGCUCCUAAGGACCAAUGCCUUAGAGCCGUAGUCGUCGCCGUGGAACCCUUGAAUAGACCUGAAGCAAUGGCAUCAAAUCUCACCAUUGAGGACACAUGACGAGAGACCCUAACCUCGCCGCCCCAAGGAGACGACAGGAAUAUAUGUCAGAGCUCCAUUGAUGAUGUACAUAUGGAUGAACUUGCAGAGGAUCGGGCCCAAAAGUCGGACUCGAAGAAGAAGCUCAGCCAUCCGCAUGGGUGCCGCACCUGUAAGGACUAAAAAACUCUAACCUAAACCACUAGCAGGAGCGAGGGCAUCGGGAUUCCACACCCACCACUAACUGAUGGAAUGACAUGCAAAGGAGAAGCGAAUCCACGAGCUCGAUGGUGAAGCCUCUAGGGUAUAGUUUGCCCUACUUGUUGGGAGAAAAUGGUGAAAAUGUUAUGAGAAGAGGUCUGGUUUGAUAGGACUUCAUCUCUGAGUUCUUCUCCCUCAAAGACAUUGUCCUAUGUGCGAUAGUAUGAGGUAAGUAUAUGUUUUUUUGUGGGGAAAACUUCUAAUAUAUUUAUCAAACAUCGAAAUUAUAUCCAUGUGCAUACGCCACCUAGCAACGACAACUACCUGGAGCGAGCUGAAGGCGUUUCGCCUUCAACGCCCCUCCCUUGCCCAAGCUUGGCAAACCUUGUUGUAGCAGAAAAUCGUGAAUUCACCGAGCUAAGGCCCCAAAGACUAGCAACCCAGAAAAACAAUCGUCUUUGAUGAAGAGAAGUGUAGAUUGGAAAGAUGCAAUCUUUAGAGACACAAAUACCUUUAGAGACACAAAUAUAGACAAACGAAGACCGGAUCCAAGAAGAGCCAUUGAAGACAAACACCGACAGAAUCCCGUUAGAUCCGCCGGAGACACAUCUUCAUACAUCCUCCUCUGACGCUAGACGCACCGUCGGGGCGAGGGCUGGGAGGGGAGAAUCUUACUCUAUCUUUAGAAUGUCGUCGCCACCGUAUCUUCCUGAGCAGGAUACAAACCUUAAACAAACUAAGAAACUGCACCUAAAAACAAUGCAGGAGCCAUCCCACCGCAAGCGGUAGUCGAGGCAAGGGCUGGCAGGGGCCUCGGCCCGGGCCAACAUGUAGACUUUCCCAUUAUAUCACAGAUGGCUUGCUGCUAAUAUUUGUAUUACUAGCACAAACGCCCGUGCGUUGCAUCGGGUGAAAAAAACCCACACUUCCCUAACCCAAUUGCUCAAGACCCCCUUUCAUUCCACGACACAACGCCAGGCAUGAUGGGAUGAAUAAACUCUUUGAAAUCGGCUGCCGUGAAAAUAUAUACUGUAGAAAAAUAUGCAUGUAUUUCGGUUUUCAGUUCAUUUGUAUUCACCCCACAGGUAUGUCACAAAAGCUUUAGUUGGUGCGGUGGCUAGCUGGUCGGGUGAAUAAAGUGGAGGUCCACAGUUUGAAUCCCAGACGGCUCGCUUUUUUCUUUUUAUGCAUUUGUCGCCCGACCUCUCGCGCGAGGUCAAAGAUUUAUUAUCAUUUGGCUAAUAUAGUAGGGAAAAAUCAAGUAGUUGUGUUGGAAACACCAUGAAAUUUGAGUCUGACUCCUCAUGCAUUGUGACUGGUGGCACUGGGCUGAGCGAGGCUGGCUUCUACGUGACGAUGUCUAGUAGAGGAGCAUGUCAGUGACCGGCAUCUGUUGUUCGACUCGGUCAUACCAAAGAGCAAUGGAGAAAAAAAAUCCCAAUACAGUCAUGGACAUAACUUUCUUCUUAAAGUUUGAACAUAUAUUCAUUCCCGGCAUUACGUCGGCGCUUUCAAUAUUAGGCCAUCACUUAAAUACAGUAGAAGAUUAGCCUCCACGUACGGAUAUCAUGGAAAUUUGGCACAAUUUUCCCUCAAUUCUGGUUCCUUCCUUGAAUAAUCCUUCCUGUAUUUCUCUAUUUUUUUGAGAGAUGCGGAGUCAUUGGACCGAUUUGUGUGCAUGAGUUUUCUCAUUACGGCAAUAUAAUCCAUCGAGCAGCCAGGUUCCACGUAGGUGCAGUUUUCACACACAUAUUUUAACUGAUGAUAUGAGAUGUACUAAAGCGAGGCGGUACUAAACAGAAACAUUGUCUAGCUCGAUUGGUUGCAGCCUUAGAAAUUUCCUAGGAGGCUAUGAGUUCGAUCCCCCUGGUAGCGACACAAUGCGCCACUGUUUUUGCCUUUCCGGAGGCAGGGAAAAGUGUGGUGGGCCGGCUUCAUGAGGCCCAAGCGGGUGCGCGGGGCGGAUGGGUGCAGGCCAAACAAACGCAACGCAGGGUGUACGCUCAACAGCGGAGGCAGGGGAAUAGUACCACCUCGUAGAACCGAUUAAAGAGGCCACGUACGGAAGAGUGAAAAAAAAAAGAGAAUGAUGGUGAACCCACACGGAAUAGUGAAAAAAAAGGAUGACGGUGAACCCGGAGACCCANNNNNNNNNNNNNNNNNNNNNNNNNNNNNNNNNNNNNNNNNNNNNNNNNNNNNNNNNNNNNNNNNNNNNNNNNNNNNNNNNNNNNNNNNNNNNNNNNNNNNNNNNNNNNNNNNNNNNNNNNNNNNNNNNNNNNNNNNNNNNNNNNNNNNNNNNNNNNNNNNNNNNNNNNNNNNNNNNNNNNNNNNNNNNNNNNNNNNNNNNNNNNNNNNNNNNNNNNNNNNNNNNNNNNNNNNNNNNNNNNNNNNNNNNNNNNNNNNNNNNNNNNNNNNNNNNNNNNNNNNNNNNNNNNNNNNNNNNNNNNNNNNNNNNNNNNNNNNNNNNNNNNNNNNNNNNNNNNNNNNNNNNNNNNNNNNNNNNNNNNNNNNNNNNNNNNNNNNNNNNNNNNNNNNNNNNNNNNNNNNNNNNNNNNNNNNNNNNNNNNNNNNNNNNNNNNUUAUUGUCAUUAGGUAUAACAAGUGGCCCCUGCUGCCUUGUAGCUUGCCAUAGGAGAUAGACUAUCUCACGAAUGUUGCCCGCAUAAGCCAAUCUUCACGCAUCAACGAGCAUGCGCAUACUUCUCGGUUGCUCAUGUGUUCUAUUCCAUCUCGUCCGGACGGCCAGCACCAACCAGUCGAGGCCUAGGCACAUCCUUGAGCCUGCGACACAUCGCGAGGAGGCGGGGAGAGACUUGGACAGGGUGUUCGUCGAUGUCGUUGACUGCAUGAACUCUGGCUCACCGGCCGCUGUCGUGGCAGACUGCUACGCUCUGGACAAACUCAACUGAUCGCCGGCGGCUGGUGGCAGAUCAUCUGAGUCGUUGGACGAGGAGCCGUGGUCGCCGUUGUUGUCAGAGGUGUCAGAGAGGAUGAUGAGUCCUUUCAACCGCCAGAUAUCCCGGUCCUGCUGCCGCUUGAGCUUCGCGAGCCAAGCCGCCUCCGCCGCUGCCUCCGCCGCCUCACACUCGGACUGUUCAAUGGCAAUACGGAAUGCCUUGGUGUUCUUCCGGAGGAGUUGCCGCGCAUCCGUCUUCGCGGCCAUAAGCGACGGACGGUAGACCCAUUCGAGGAGACGGGUGUCCAACAUGUUUCAGUCAAGAGCAAGUUGAUAAAUAAUUUGGAUGAUACUCUUUUGGACGAUUGCCUUGUCACAUUAUUGGGAUGGAUGCUUUUUUCCGAGGUGAAUGAUGAUGAUAUAGUGGAUACAUUCAUGGCUAUGCAAAAGCGUAGGCUGGAAACAUAGUUUUCUUUCACUUCUCAAGGUAUGUACUAUGUACUAUGUAAACUUAUUUUAUGCAAAAUUGAGACUUGAAUGAGAAUUUUAGUGUGUUUAUAAGGCCAUACUAAUCUAUUUAUGUGAUACAUGCAAUUAGUUAAAAUGUUUACAUGUCAUACUGUUUAAAAAAGAAGUUGAAGGCGGACCACCCUGCUGUCAAAUGCUAGCUCCGCCACUGGUCGAGGGUGACACCAACGCGAGGCGGCGAAACACUAAGCGUGGACUCGCUCUUGGUCGGAGCAAGAGGAAAACGUUUUGGGUAUAUAAGUAUAUAUGGUUUUAUAUUAUAGUAUUAACAAGAAGGUCUAGCUUUGGCCUAAACUUAUUCCCAAGUGAUCUCGGUUGUGUGUUUACUGUCGUUCGGUAGUGUGAAUCAUGCGGCGCCGAGUUUGAAAUAUGUCCCUUUCCCUAGGCUAAUCCGAUUCACUGAUAUUAUAUCUUACGGACGGAUAAAUGUACAUCUAACUUUUUUGAAGUCAAAGUUUUAAAAUGUUCACCAAUCUUUUAGAGAAAAGUACAAGCAUUUAGGGCAUCUUCAACGGCAACCCGUAAAUUUUCCCCGCGUCCAUCCGUGAACGGGGACCAAUCCGUGGACAUAGAUGUGGAAGAACACCACCCAACCAUAGCCGCAUACAUUUCAAACUCUUUUUUAACAAACCAGAUGAAAAUCAGACAAACAUGAUUGAAUUUCAAAUAAACAUGACAGAAUUCAUACAAACCUGACGAGAAUGGUUAAAUUUUGGACAUACUAACUUAUAAGGUAAAACUGUAUGCACAUACAAUCCACGGACCUCCACUCCCAUGAUAGAAUACACUACAGUAGUCUACGGCCAGGCACGACAGAUCCCUUUGUCUUCCCCAUGUCCGGCAGCCUGCUAACCGGACUGUCGGGAGCCCCGGAGACAUAAUCUUUGCCAGUAUCUUUCCUAUGUCUGGCUACGACGUUCGAAGUGGCAAAGAGGGUGCUUCAGCUGGAGGGGAAGGUGAUUUCGUGAAGCCCAGACGGGUGUGCCCACAAUGGUCUAAGAGAAAGACAGGACAGGUCACCGCUUGUACAGGUCGGCGACACGCCAGCCGUGGCCUCCAUGGGAUACAAGCGGCGGCGGCCUCCAACUCGUCGACAUCCGUGUAGCCGGCUUCUUUUUGUACGUGCAUGGGGCGGCCACGCGCGCGUCAACGACAGAUGAUGUGGUCGCAGGCACUGGUGGCGGCGAUGCCCGUGCCGCCGUGCUCCUCGUUGUGCCUGGAUGGAGCAACUCAACACGCCUCCGUGAGUUGUCUUCGAGCGGCAAUUUGCUGAACCACGCGCUGACUUGAGGAGGCAACUGGCUCCGUCAGGCUAGGCGAGUGAGGUGGAGCAGCGAGCUGCCUCGCUCAUAUCCGGCGGGCUCUGCGGGCCACCCACCCGGCUUUUAUGCCAGAGAACCGCUCUUUCGACUCGUCGGAUGCCAUCGGAAGAGUGGAGAAAAUAGUGAAGUGGAAAUGGGGAGCGGUGGAGUGGUGCUAUUCUUGCCCAGCGUCUGGCCUUAUUUAAAUACAGGACGAACGGGAGGUGCUUGACCGGUGCUGUGUUUAAUGCCGGCCCGUUCGUGAAUGGACGUGUAACCGGAUUAGAUAUCUCGGCUUCCAUGCGGGUUUAAAGAAGGCGUUUGAAUGUGGUAAGGAAGCGUGUUCAACCGAGCGUGCAGCGGGCAGCACCCUCGGCCGAUGCGCCGCUUCAAUUGCGGAGAUAGUGAGAGGUUGUGUCCGCCCUGAGCUGCCUUCAAUGUGGAGCGACGCGCUCUACAGCGGCAUGAAUGUGAGCAGCUAACGCCGGGUGGAAAACGGGCGAGAGAGGGAGGGGUUGGUGGACAAGGACGUUCAGAAACGGGCUUGGGAUUGGUCCGGACUCCCGCAAACCUCGCCGCGUUUGUUGUCGUGGUUCUAAGUCUGACAGUAAUGUAGGGGGUACUAAAGGAGAGGCAAGAUCCUAGCUAUGGAGUAGUUUUUCACGCAAGUGUUUUACGAGUUCAGGACCUUCUCGGAGGAAGUAACAGCCCUACGUCUCGGUGCCCGGAGGCGGUCGACUGGAUUAUAUGCGUGAGAGUUACCGGGGUGCGAACCCUUCUGCCUGUGGAGGGGGGUGGCUUAUAUAGAGUGCGCCAGGACCCUAGGCAGCCCACGUAGCAGAGAGUUCAAUGUACAUAAAGGCCAGGCGUUACUGGUAACGCCUUACAUAAAGUGAUAUCAUGGCCAUAAAGACUACUUAAUAACAGACCGUUUGGCCGUAGAGUGACCUUAGAUCUUCUGGUGGUUGAGUGAGUCUUCAUGGUCGACUGUUUUCGAGUCCGUCGAGUGGAAUCCUUCCAGGUCGACUGAAAGGUAGUUUCUUCUAGAGAUGUCCUUGGGUAGGGUACUUUGGUCAGGUCCGUGACCCUACCCUAGGUUCAUGGCUUCAUCAUUAGCCCCCGAAUGGAUCGAGGUUUGAGUGAGGAAGGAGUUGAGAAUUCUUCCGACCCCUCUUUUUGUGAUAUGAGUAUGUCUUGUUCUGGAUCAAUGACCUUAGGUGACGGCACCAACUUCUUUUUCAGUCACCUUGAUCCAUUCUUUAUAUUAGUCGAGUAACUUUUUUAUACUUGGAGAUCUCCGAGCGAUGGAUCAGAGGAAAUCUUCAGUCUGACAAGUUGCUCUGCUGUUCACGGAUUUAGCGGGAUCUGAAUUUCGGGAAGCGCGCGGGGCGGAGGAAGCCGCAGUACUCGGAUGGGAUAAGGCAGGGACGCCUCGAUUUCCGCGCCACCUUUUUCGCCACGUAUCGCGCGCGCGACUGUUGCGGGAUUUGACAGGAUCGCCCGAGCCUACCAGUCAACCACUCGGAAGAGACUUCAUAUAAGGCACCGGACGAGGGUUUUUCAAACAGUGCGCCCUCAAUCUCCUCUCCCUCUUCUUCGAACUCACCCGCUGCGCUCGCUUGCACCUCUGCCUCGCUGCUCCUUGCGCGCCUCGCCGGCGAUGAUGGUGAAGGAAAAGACGGCGGCUUUGGAGCGGGCGAAGAAGGCGACGGUGAAGGCGAAGGGGAGAGCGCCUAGUCGGGGCGGAUCUUCAUCGCGGUCUGGCCUGCCGCAGGGCUGGAUCCAGGGAGAUUGGAUCCGCUCGACCAUCACCCAGAAGGACCUCGACGACCUGGAAACGAAGGAUUGAUCCCCCAUGGGUCAGCAAGGCUUCCGGGGAAGGAGUGGCAGCCGCAGCCUCAGGAGGGUGAGUGCGUCCUCUUAGCCACCCAUGUAGAUCGCGGUUUUUCUCUGCCGCCGAAUCUUUUCUUCCGAGGGUUUCUGAACUUUUUUGGUGCACAACUCCACCAUUUCACACCCAACUCCAUUGCCUACCUCACCGCUUUCGUGUCUUUGUGCGAAAACUUCUUGGGUUGCCGGCCGCACUGGGGCCUUUUCAGACACAUUUUCACCUGUCGCUCUUAGACGGUGAAAAAGGCUAACCCGAAUGACGAGAGGACCCAAGUAAUCCAUAUGUGUGGGGGUCUUGGGGUUCAGAUGAGGAGUAAGAGUGCCUAUCCAGCCAUGACCCUUCCUGAGUCAGUUCGAGGGUGGCAGUCGACCUGGUUCUACUGCCAAGACCAGUCGACUGACCUCCCCCCGUUCUCCAUGGACCGAGUGAACAAGCCAUCUUCUCUGAAGGUGCUUCCGGAGGAGAAGGCUCAGGUUAGGAUGUUGAUGGAGCGCGUGGUCCAGCUCAUUCGCGACGGAGUGACGGGCAUGGAUCUUCUAGAGGUUUUCCUUCGACGACGCAUUCAGCCACUUCAGUACCGGGGCCAUCUGAUGUGGUUGUACUCUGGUACUGAAGACACCACUCGGGUCCACCCGGAGGAGGUCGACGAUGUCACCCUGGAGAGGUGGAUGACCGCCAUCACGGGGAACAGAGAUAAUCCUCGUGGAGCAAGGAGGAUCCCGCCACUCGACCAGUCCUACGAACCAGACAAGGUUUGACUACAUUUCUCUGACUUGUGAUUCUGUUUUCUUCAUUCUGCUUUGCUGCAGUUCGGUCGACUGACCUUUAUCUUGUUCGUUGUCUUCUAGGUCACAACCGAGAUGUACUCGAUGCCCAACGGGGCGCAAGAACAGGCCAAAGAAGAAGAAGGAAGUGGAGGUGAAAGUCAGGAGGAGUGGGAGUCGGAUGGCGACGAAGGUGAAGAAAAUGCCGGCUCUGAUGAGGAAGAGGAGGAGGCAGUCGAGCCUCCUCGUACUGAAAGAUGGUCCAAGCUCGCCCAUGAUCCUGCGGUCGAGCGAGGCAAGGGAGUCGUGCCUCCUGGGUAGUCGACCAAACGCCCUCGGACGACUUCUCCGGCGCCGACUGAGAAAGCGUCGAAGCAACCCCGAGCGGCACCGACAAAACCGGCGAAGGCUCUACCAAAGAUGAGGAUGGAGAUUCCGACUAUUUCUGGGUAACGGCAUAACCCAUGUUUUCUCUUUCAACCUGGAUAUAUUCUUGGUCGGCUCGAUUGUUGACUCACUGAAUUCUGAAAAUCACAGAGCUGCUACUUCUGAGACCUCAGCCAGGCAUGGAGAUCAAGAAAUGGAGGAUGCUGCUACUUCCAUUCCUGGUAUGAUCUGUGCAGUUUCACUUUUGGUCGAUCGGAUCUUCAUUUUUAACUUUGAACCUUUUGUGUAGCUCCACCUAGCAUUAUCAUUGAUCUCCCCGACGACGACGAUGAGGAGCCACUGAGGCAAAGGAAGAAUAGGAAAGCGUCUGCUGGCAAGACUGCUCAGGUUGCGUCAACGCCUGAGACAUUGGUUCCGGAGGGGGGCAACGUUGCUCGGGCUACCGUGUCCUUUGCGGUGCCAUUGACGAGUGUCCGCCCUCCGUCGUCGAGUGCUGAUCCACCUUCCCUCUUCUCCACACACCACGUCCCGGAGGACCAAGCAGGUGCUGCAAAGGAAGCCAUACGCCAGGCGGGGGUCAUGAUGGAGCAGGUGAAGGCGAUCCGAGACGCCAGCCAAGCAGCUUAUGAUGCAAGUUCAGCUCUCCAGAGCAAUGUCCAGGUUAGUUGACCACCGCCUGUUCUAUUAGGAUAUGAUACCUGACAAUUUUUCUUUCUAAACAUGUUAAUACUUGUCAUACACCCACUGGGUGUGUCGAUUGAAAAGUCUGGAUUAGUGGGGGCACGCUGAGUGCACCCACUGGGUGUAGUCCCCGAGACUACGGUGGACUGCUGGCAGUUGACUGUAGUCUUUAUGUCUUGAUUUUUUUUACUUUCUUCACUCGAUCUGGUCGAAUGGAAUCAUGAAACUAGUGGGGGCACACUGAGUGCACCCACUGGGUGUAGUCCCCGAGAUCGUGGUCGACUGCUGGUAGUCGGCUAUGGUAUGAAGAAUACUUUUGCUCUUUUUUUUGUCUAAUUGUCAGCAGUUAGCUACUUUCGGUCGACUGAUCGAUCCGAGCCGGUAGAAACAUUGGGGGCACGCUGAGUGCACCCACUGGGUGUAGUCCCCAAGGCUACAGUCGAAAUUUUUGGUUCAACUGCAGUCUUAGAAAUGCUAUGAUUUUUCUCUUAGUCACUCAGAAAUGACCUGUCUUUGAUGUCUGUCGACUGAUCCUUCGCAGAAAUCUUGCGAGCUUGUGGCUCGUUAUACUGAGUUGGAGAACAAGCAUAUCCAGCUCGAACUUGAUCUGAAGCUUGUCCAGGAGAAAUUCACGAAGGCGAAGGAGGAGGCAAAAGGUAUGUUUGGUGAGAACCUUGACGACUGCCCUUAUUUGUUGUCCAUUCCUGAGUCUGACCUCACUGUCAUUUCGUAGACAAACUAAGGGAUGCUCUGAAGAAGAGGACCUUGACCUCGCCGAGGCGCAGAAAGCGGCUUCGGACAAGACGAAACUCGCAGAAGAAAAGUUGGCUUCAAUCAGCAAACUUGAAGAAGAAAAUACCAAUCUGAAAGCUGCUCUCGACGUGACCAACAAGGAGGUCACUCGACUGAAGAAUGACAAGAUGGCCCUGAGUGACAAGGCUAGCGAACUGGUGGGAAAGAAGAACGACCUAGAAGCUUAUCUGGGAGGGCUCGCCAAGAAGUUACUCCUCAUGCUCGAAGGUAACCCCUUAUAUCCGACUGGUAAUCACUGACUUAUUGUGUGAACUUUAGCUUAUCCUUGGACCGUAUCCACAGAAUUCUGCCAAAACUUUAAAGAGGAGACUAGUCGAGUGGAGCUGGCUUAGAUCCCGUCAACUCUCCUGUGAAGGAUGAAGCCGCCAUGAACGUGCUCCGUCUCGAGUCUCGCAUUGCUGCUGUGGUCGACUACCUUGCGAGACUGAAGGUUGCAACAUCACGCAUCAACACAGCACUUUGGCCGGGAGAAACACUUCAAAACGAUCUCGAGUCUCUGAUGACUCGACUGAAAGAAGUUCCAAGUCGAGUGCAAGAAUGGAAAAAAUCUUCUGCCAGGUGUGGUGCCGACGUUGCUCUGUCUCUGGUGCGUGUUCACUGCAAGGACGCGCGAGAGGACAAGCUGGCGUCUCUCAAAGUGGCCAAUACCAAGAAGCACGACUUCUGAUCUUUCAUGGAGACCUUCAUUGUUGCUGCCACUCGGAUCGCAGAUGGAAUCGACCUGGACGAGUUCGUUGCACCUUCCAGUCCUCCGCAGGAGGAGUAAAAAACUUCUAUGCUCGAUGCUUUAAAUUUGCCUCGGAAUGCCGAGUGGUUUUUGUAACCGAUAAACUUUAACAGGCUUGGUGCCUGAGCACUUCUGGAUCCAUAAGACGUUAUCUGAACUUGGGUUUGCCGUUGAAUAUGUUUGCUUCUGCCUUUGAACGAUCAUUGUCCUUUGCUCGGAAUAUAUACUAGUGUUUGUGAUGAACUUUUGCAGGUAGGGACAAAGCACAAAUUGCAAUUGACUUGUACUCGUCAUGCUUAGGUGAGCACUGGGCCGUGGCUAAGCUCCCGAGUGGAAGGCUUGCUCGACACUCGGUAGGAUUUUCAAAAACUUAGGCGAGCACUGGGCUGCAGCUAAGCCCCCGAGUGGGAGGUUUGCUCACCACUCGGUAGGAUUUUCAAAAACUUAGGCGAGCACUGGGCUGCAGCUAAGCCCCCGAGUGGGAGGUUUGCUCUCCACUCGGUAGGAUUUUCAAAAACUUAGGCGAGCACUGGGCUGCAGCUAAGCCCCCGAGUGGGAGGUUUGCUCUCCACUUGGUAGGAUUUUCAUGGUGUACCUCCGAAGGAGAAGAUAGCAGUCAACCUGCGCUUCGUCCUCCUUGCGGAGCGCAUGUUGUAUUUAUGGCGUAGCUCGGAAGGAGAAGGCAGGAGUCGACCUACGCCUUGUCUUCCUUGCGGAGCGCACGUUGUAUUUAUGGCGUAGCUCGGAAGGAGAAGGCAGGAGUCGACCUGCGCCUCGUCCUCCUUGCGGAGCGCAUGUUGUAUUUUAUACUUAGGCGAACACUAGGUUGCAGCUAAGCCUCCGAGUGGGAGGCUGGUUCACCACCCGGCAGGAUUUGGUUUAAACUUAGGCGAGUACUUAGACUGCAGCUAAGCCUCCGAGUGGAAGGCUGGCUUACCACUCGGUAGGAUUUUGUUUAAACUUAGGCGAAACGGAUUCACAGCUAAGCCUCCGAGUGGAAGGUUGGCUUACCACUCGGUAGGAUUUUGUUUAAACUUAGGCGAAACGGAUUCGCAGCUAAGCCUCCGAGCGGGAGGCUUGCUCUCCACUCGGUAGGAUUUUUUUACAAACUUAGGCGAAACGGAUUCGCAGCUAAGCCACCCACAGGGGGACAGAUUUGUGUGAAAAAAAGUAACAACAAUCACUAGGAAAAUUAUAAAACUCUUGUCUUUGAUAAAUAAACUACAGAAGUACUUUUAUUACAACUUAUCCGAGUGAAUACUUAAGUAUAAAAGGGGCGGAGCAGAUCCGCAUUCCAAGCUCGUGGCUCGUCAAUCUGGCGAUCGACGUUGUAAAGAUGGUAUGCUCCGUUGUGGAGAACUUUGGUAACAAUGAAGGGGCCUUCCCAAGUAGGGGCGAGUUUGUGCGGCUUCUGUUGGUCCACUCAGAGGACCAAGUCUCCUUCCUGGAAGGCUCGACUCUUCACAUUUCUAGCGUAGAAUCGACGCAAGUCUUGCUGAUAGAUGGUCGACCGGAUCAUGGCCAUCUCUCUUUCUUCUUCUAGAAGGUCGACUGCGUCCUGCCGGGCUUGUUCUGUUUCGACUUCAGAGUAGAGCUCGACUCGUGGUGCAUUGUGAAGCAGGUCACUUGGCAGAACCGCUUCAGCUCCGUAGACCAGAAAGAACGGAGUUCUCCCAGUCGACCGAUUUGGAGUAGUCCUCAAUCCCCAAAGAACUGAUGGAAGUUCGUCGACCCACGCGCCUGCUGCGUGCUUGAGGUCACGCAUCAACCGGGGUUUCAGUCCCUUGAGAAUUAGGCCAUUUGCUCUUUCUGCUUGUCCAUUCGACUGGGGGUGGGCGACUGAAGCAUAGUCGACUCGAGUGCCUUGAGAAGCGCAGAAGGCUUUGAACUGAUCGGAAUCGAAGUUUGACCCAUUAUCAGUGAUGAUGCUAUGCAGAACUCCAUAUCUGAAUAUCAAUUCUCUGAUGAAGCUGAUGGCAGUGCCAGCAUCAAGAUUUUUAAUGGGCUUGGCUUUGAUCCACUUGGUGAACUUGUCGACUGCCACCGGUACAUGGGUAAAGCCGCUCCUGCCAGUUCUCAGUGGUCCAACCAUAUCUAACCCCCAAACAGCGAAAGGCCAGACGAUUGGAAUGGUCUUCAAGGCUGAGGCAGGCUUGUGUGACAUAUUGGAGUAGAACUGACAUCCUUCACACUUGUCGACUAUCUAUUUUGCCAUUUCAUUUGCUCUAGGCCAGUAAAAGCCUGCUCGGUAUGCUUUAGCCACGAUGGUCCGAGAGGACGCGUGAUGGCUACAGGUCCCCGAGUGGAUGUCGUUGAGAAUCAUUCGACCCUCUUCCGGUGUUAUGCAUUUCUGGCUGACUCCAGUCGCGCUUUCUCUGUACAACUGUCCCCUCAUGACAAUAAAGACAUUGGAUCGACGGACGAUCUGCCGAGCCUCUUCUUCAUUCUCUGGGAGCUCUUUCCUUAGGAUAUACGCGAUGUAAGGCACUGUCCAGUCGGGAGUGAUAACCAGAACUUCCAUGAUUAAGUCAACCACAGCUGGGACCUCAACUUCAGUCGGAUCUGUGGCACUUUCUGGCUGCGGGGCUUCUUCGGUGAAAGGAUCCUCUUGAACCGACGGUACGUGGACAUGUUCCAAAAUUACGCCACUAGGAAUGGCUUCUCUUUUGGAACCUAUCUUCGCCAAGUCAUCAGCUGCUUGAUUUUUCAGUCGGGGCACGUGAUGAAGCUCUAACCCCUCGAACUUCUUCUCAAGCUUUCUUACUGCGUUGCAGUAACCAGUCAUAGCUGGGCUUCUGACGUCCCACUCCUUCAUCACUUGGUUGACCACCAAAUCCGAGUCGCCGUAGACCAUGAGGCGACGGACGCCGAGUGAAAUGGCCAUACGCAACCCAUACAAAAGUGCUUCGUAUUCUGCUUCGUUGUUGGAGGAGUCAAAGUGAAUCUGGAGUACGUAUCUGAGCUUAUCUCCUCUGGGAGAAACCAACACUACCCCGGCACCGGAACCAUUCAGCAUUUUAGAGCCAUCAAAGAACAUAGUCCAGUGCUCCGAGUGAACUUGAGUCGGUAACUGCUGUUCAGUCCACUCGGCGAGGAAAUCUGCUAUUGCUUGGGACUUGAUAGCCUUCUUUGCCUCAAAUCUGAUAUCAAGGGGAAGGAGUUCAAUCGCCCAUUUUGCCACUCGACCAGUUGCAUCUCUGUUGUGCAGAAUCUCUGAUAAGGGGGCAUCGCUGACGACUGUGAUGGUAUGGUUAGAGAAGUAGUGAGCAACUUUCUUUGUGGUCAUAUAAAUCCCAUAUACAAGCUUCUGAUAAUGAGGGUAUUGUUGCUUUGAUGGGGUCAGGACUUCGGAAAUAUAGUAUACUGGGCGCUGAACUUUGAAGGUUUUCCCUUCUUCUUCCCGCUCGACCGUAAGUACUGUACUGACGACUUGUCCUGUGGCUGCAAUGUAAAGCAGCAAAGGCUCUUUGCUGAUCAGGGCAGCAAGCAUCGGCUGGGUGGAAAGCAGGGUUUUUAACUCUGCAAACGCUGCGUCAGCUUCAGGAGUCCACUCGAACUUGUCUGACUUCUUCAUCAGUCGGUAAAGAGGCAAUGCCUUCUCACCGAGACGAGAUAUGAAUCGACUUAAAGCGGCCAAGCAACCAGUAAGCUUCUGAACAUCAUGCACACGCACAGGUCGUUUCAUUCGGAGUAUAGUGCCCACUUUCUCUGGGUUUGCAUCGAUUCCUUGUUCGGAAACGAGAAAACCGAGUAACUUUCCGCCAGGAACUCCGAAUGUGCACUUGGAUGGAUUAAGCUUGAUAUCAUACCUCCUGAGGUUGGCAAAUGUUUCAGCAAGGUCAGUCAGCAGGUCGGAACCUUUCCGUGACUUGACCACAAUGUCAUCCAUGUAUGCUUCCACAUUCCGACUGAUUUGAGUGAGCAAACACUUUUGAAUCAUCCUCAUGAACGUGGCUCCGGCAUUCUUGAGGCCGAAUGGCAUGGUGACAUAACAGAAGCACCCAAAUGGGAUGAUGAAAGCUGUUUUGAUCUCAUCGGGUCCAUACAGACGGAUCUGAUGGUACCCGGAAUAGGCGUCUAAGAAAGACAGUCGCUCACAUCUCGCAGUCGAGUCGACUAUUUGAUCGAUGCGGGGAAGAGGAAAAUGAUCUUUCGGACAGGCCCGAUUGAUAUGUUUAAAUUCAAUGCACAUGCGAAGUGAGUUGUCCUUCUUGGGGACCAUGACAACAUUGGCGAGCCACUCGGAGUGGUAAAUCUCUCGGAUAAACUCUGCUGCUAAGAGUCGAGCCACCUCUUCGCCAAUAGCCUUCCUUUUCUGGACGGCGGACCGUCGCAGAUGUUCCUUGACAGGUUUUGCCUUUGAAUCGACUCGCAAACGAUGCUCAGCCAGCCCCCUGGGUACACCUGACAUGUCAGAAGGUUUCCAUGCAAAGAUGUCCCAGUUCUCACGGAGGAACUGGAUGAGCGCUUCUUCCUAUUUUGGGUCGAGUGUUGUGGAGAUGUGAGUCGGAGCAGCGUUGGGGUCGGUCGGGUGGAUGUGAACUGGUUUUGUCUCACCGGACGACUGAAACGUUGAUUCCGUAGCGGGCUUCUUGGCUCGCAAUAAAUCACUCGGGUCUACAUUCCUUUGGUGUUCCUGCCACUCUUCUGCCACCAUCUGAGCAUCGGCGAUCUUUGAGCCUUUUUGGAAGCACUCUUCUGCCUUCUUGUGAUUACCAGUAACGGUGAUCACGCCUUUAGGGCCAGGCAUCUUCAAUAUGAGGUACACGUAACAUGGUCGAGUCAUAAAACGUGCAUAAGCUGGCCUGCCCAAAUUAGCGUGGUAGGCACUCUGGAAAUCUACAACCUCAAAUGUCAGCUUUUCUUUGCGGAAGUUCUUGGAAUCACCAAAAACCACAUCGAGAGCAAUCUGGCCGAGUGAUGCGGCCUUCUUGCCAGGAAUGACUCCAUAGAAACUCAUGUUGCUUGUGCUGAGUCUGGACAUCGGAAUGCCCAUCCCUUUCAGCGUCUCAGCAUACAAUAUAUUCAAACUACUGUCGCCAUCCAUCAACACUUUAGUCAGUUGAGUGCCCUCAACGACUGGGUCGACCACCAGAGCUUGCCUCCCAGGGGUGGCUAUGUGCGUCGGGUGAUCGGACUGGUCGAAUGUGAUGGCCGUCUGAGACCACUUCAGAUAAUUGGGUGUCGCUGGAGCAACCAUAUUCACCUCUCGGUUUAUAACUUUCAGUUGACUUUUGCUCUCAACGUCAGCAAAAAUCACCACAGUAGAAUUGACCUGAGGGUAUUCCUCGUCACUAUCCCCCUUGUCCUCAGCUUUGUCUGACUCCUUUUCCUUAUCCUUGGGUUGUUUCCCCUGGAACUGCUGUAUUAGAAGUCGACACUGUCGAGUGGUAUGCUUCGGGUAAAUGAAAUUACCCUCUUCAUCUUUCUUCGUGUGGAUGUGACACGGCAAAUCCAUCACAUCAUUUCCCUCUUUAUCCUUCACUUUCUUGGGGUUCCAAGGUCCUUUGGGCUUUCCUUUGAACUUUCCUUGAGUCACGACCAAGGUUUCUCCAGGAGCAGCUGGCUCGGCUUUCCGCUUUUGCUUCUGACUAGAGUUCCCUCCUCCGGUUUCCUAGGCGACUGACUUGUGCUUGCUGCUCCGGAGCCGAUCCUCUUCCUCACCAUUGGCAUAUUUGGUGGCUAUCUCCAUCAUUCGACUCAGAGACAUGUCUCCGGUUCGACCGAAUUUCAGGCUUAGCUCUCUGUACUUAACGCCUUCCUUGAAGGCGCACACUGCUUGGUGAUCAGAUACAUUUUCUACUGUGUGAUGCAGUGUGAUCCAUCUCUGGAUGUAAUCUCUCAAAGUCUCAUUCGACUUCUGCACACAAGAUUGCAGCUCCGCCAGUCCUGCUGGUCGCUUGCAUGUUCCUUCAAACAUUCUGACAAACACUCGGGAGAGAUCUUCCCACGUGUAAAUGCUGCUGGGUGUCAACUGAUUCAGCCAUGCCCUGGCUGACCCCUCCAACAUAAGAGGCAGAUGUUUCAUGGACACCUCGUCAUUUCCGCCGCCGAUCUGGACAGCCACUCGGUAGUCCUCAAGCCAAGUAUCGGGCUUAGACUCACUGUUGAACUUACUGACUCCAGUCGCCAACCUGAAGUUGGGAGGAAUCACUGCGACUCUGAUGGCUCUGCUGAAACACUCUGGUCCAGAGACAUGCACUCGGCUGCUGGUGGGUACAUCUCUGUUGUGACCCUCUCUGUGAGCUCUGUUCCGGUCGACCAGACCUUGAACGAUGAUGGAUCUCGCAUCGAAGCCUGGUUCCCUGGGGUCAACUGGAAUUCUUCGCCCGCCAUUGUGCUGACGUCUAUCAUCCUGCUGUCGAGGUACGUAGGAUCCACCCCUAGGGGGAGGGGUGGGCACUCGACGUUGAUCAUCGCGAUCGAAUCGGUGAUCAUACUGCUCAUGGUUCCUGUACUGAUCAUGCCGGUCUCCACGCCCUUCACGCCUCGGGGGCGAUCUGGGGCUAUGAGCCGACUGGACCGUAUUCGCAGCCAUGGAUUUGCUGUGAAUCCUGUUCCGUGACUGUGAUACAGCUGAAUUUUGAUCUCCUGCUGCCCGGAACAAAUCUCUGAUCUGCAUCAAGCCUCUGCCAGCCUCUGACUGGGAAGGCUGAAUUGAUUCUGCUAUACAGGCUGCAGCUGCUAAAUUCUGAAUCGGAGUUCGAUAUACCUGAGUCUGAGGUGGGAAGAGUUGACGUCGACUGGAGUCAGGGACCCGUUGUCGCGCACGCUCAUCGAGUGCUCGCUGAAGGUUCUCCAGUCGAGUGCGCUCAGCCAGGUUGGCCAAGUGCGCGUCCUCCAAGGAGCGAGCCUCAGGGGUUUCUCCAACGAUAGGAGUAUGAAGGGCAUCCAUGUUCCGACGGCGAAGUUCUUCCCUCUGCAGCGAAUUGAGGGGCUCGGGAAGGUAUUCCUCAUGGGGAUGCGACGGAUCGCCUCCGCCGUUACCUCCGUCAGCGCCAGGAAAGCCGGGGGACCGUGUGGUCUGUUGACCAUCAGGACCUCCACCGCUGGAUCACUGCUGUCGCACUCGGAUGCAGUCUCUGCGGAGCCAGUCGACAGGUCGAACAGGCCGUAGAGAGAUUCGUCGGGCUCGAUUGCCGCGACUUGGGCGGUGGUCGACUGGCGAGCCACCGCGUGCCUCACCCAUCGCUGAAGCCUCAACCGACCGGAACGCUUGCGCCGGCGGGAAGCUGGGAGGGAGGAUGACACAAAAAACGGUCGAUACUGGGUCGACGGUUGCCGCAGGAGGACACCGCGGACGCACGCGCGAAAGUGCGUCGCUUCGCGGACUGGGAGCGCGUCGACGUCGAGCGGAGCCUCCUGAAGCCAGGCAGAGUCCUCGGCGAUGAACGUGAGCGCGCCGAGACGGAUGUCGCGGCCCUCGACCAAAACUCCGCCUGAAACCAUGAUGAAGGCGAUCGGAAAAAAUUGCAACUUCUCCAAUAAAUUGCUAAGACACCUGCCCCACGGUGGGCGCCAACUGUCGUGGUUCUAAGUCUGACAGUAAUGUAGGGGGUACUAAAGGAGAGGCAAGAUCCUAGCUAUGGAGUAGUUGUUCACGCAAGUGUUUUACGAGUUCAGGCCCUUCUCGGAGGAAGUAAUAGCCCUACGUCUCGGUGCCCGGAGGCGGUCGACUGGAUUAUAUGCGUGAGAGUUACAGGGGUGCGAACCCUUCUGCCUGUGGAGGGGGUGGCUUAUAUAGAGUGCGCCAGGACCCCAGCCAGCCCACGUAGCAGAGAGUUCAAUGUACAUAAAGGCCAGGCGUUACUGGUAACGCCUUACAUAAAGUGAUAUCAUGGCCAUAAAGACUACUUAAUAACAGACCGUUUGCCAUAGAGUGACCUUAGAUCUUCUGGUGGUUGAGUGAGUCUUCAUGGUCGACUGUCUUCGAGUCCAUCGAGUGGAAUCCUUCCAGGUCGACUGAAAGGUAGUUUCUUCUAGAGAUGUCCUUAGGUAGGGUACUUUGGUCAGGUCCGUGACCCUACCCUAGGUUCAUGGCUUCAUCAUUUGUCUCCGGUUUGUGGGACAAAACACGUCCAAACCGCGCCGCGGACCGAUACAUGACCGUGUUGUAUAGCUUCCACGGUUCGGACAGCACAGACCGGACGAUUGCGGAAGGUUUGAGAGUCGGCGUUGGAGAUGCUCUUAUGGCUCUAAAUUAACAUCACUAGAUCCGUUUUAAAAUGUACUUUCAUACUACGAAUUUGAUGUCAUAUAUGUUACUAUUAUUUUUUAUGAAGUUGAUUGAAGUUUUAAGACUUUGACUCGUAAAAAAAUAGAUGUACAAUAUACAGGGAAGGAGUAUAGAGUAUGUGAAAUUAUAUCUGUUGUCGUGGUCUAAAUUGGUGUGCACGUGAGCUGAUAUGAUGGACAUGAGUGAUAUUUUUCGAUAAAAGGUGGAUUUUAUUAGCUCAAAAUGAAGCAUCAAGGGGAUACAAACACAAUAAGCACACACCCGGCCUCUGCAUAACUAGGGUGCACACAGCCAACAUCAACAUACACAAAAAAACCACGCCAGCAAAUAGCAAAGUCAUCUAAGACCAAAGCUAUGCUUAGGCGAUGGGAAAAAGAAAUAAAAAAAACCUCGAACCGAUUAGAUCCGCAAUUGACAAACUAUUGACCAUAUCCGCACCAAUCAUCUCAUGACAACACACAUACGACGAGAUUCUUCAACAACAACGCCUUCAGGAAGGGAGCGAUGCUAAACCGCCGCCGUCGCCGGUUCCAACCACGCAAAGCCAGAAUGUAAGUUUUCACCCUGAAGAAACAGUCCGAGCAUAUCUGAGCAAUGCCUUCAACAAGGAAACGACAUAAAUAUAUCGCCAUUGCCAGGUAAAACCAAUGUAGUUCAGACCUAGGUUUUCACCCCAGAGCUCGAGACCGGGUGCUCGAGUAGCACCACCAUCAAGUUCGUUAUGGCUUGCCUCCACCACUUUUCCACGAUCCCAGCAGCUACAUGUGGUGUGGACCACAGUCACUGCACAAACAUUCCUUUGCGUCAAGCCAUUGUCGAUAAUUUGUAACUGCCCAUCAAAGUCAACCAUCAGAUCUGAAAGAAGAAAUCCUCACAGAGAUCUAUCGAUGGCCACUUCAUGAAGCUUCAAUGAAGCCUGGCUGUGAGGUCGCCCUGAAGGAGAAUGCUCCGGCUGGUGGGGGGGCAAAGAUUUGCUGCCGGACUCUGUUGGAGGGGCCGCGGCUUCUGGUGGGGCGAAGGGAACACCAUUCUCGGCGGUGUGCUCUAACCUACCAGCUCGCCAUGCCUCUCCUUCCCUCUCGGGCAUUGAAGAUUUACCCCCGGCUGGUCCCUUGGCCUCGAUAAAGAAGAAGAAGUCGUCGGUCAAGAAGUUCUCCGCUAAAAGCAGGGCGUCAGGUGACUCAAGGCAGUCUGCGGCUGGGCUCUGUCGUAGGCUGGAUGCUGAUUUGGGUACAGCCUCGGGCCCGUCUUCUGCUACGUCGUCUCCCUGCCGUGCUCGUCCUGCGCCAUUGCGCUCGCCGUCUUCCACGGCCCGCAAAAGCGGUCGCGUCUCCAACAAUGGCGAGCGAGUUGCUGAUCGGCUCGCUCGGCGCGAUGCGGCUAGGGAUCUGCCUCCUUCAGGUUCGCGUCCAUGCCCCCCGCUCUCCCAACCCCUCUGCUCAUUAUCUAGUGCGUUUAGUGCUUCAGUCUCAAUACGAUGAUCAUUUGCUUCGUAUUUUAGAAGAUGUUGGCAUUUCUUAUGAUGCUAGUUUGGGUACUCCUUCUUCCUUGCUUGGCAUUAUUAGGGCAAACAAAAUAGCUCAGGAUGACAUCGCUAAAGCCAAGGAGGCUAGGCUGGGAUCUACUGCCCCACUGGUUGUGGCUGGUGGGGAUGGGGAGGGAACUGAUAGGAGUCAGGAUCCCUCAGCUGUGUCUAAACGUGGGGCUGGUAAACGAGCUAAAUCCUGCAUGGCUCCUAGCAGGUCGAGCCUUCGCAUUAAAACCUCUCUUUUAGAUGAAGGCACUAUUCUGGAAUAUUACGGGUUUCGGCGCUAGGGGGCGCAGGGAUGAGCUGAAAGACUUGGUUCGUUCUGAAAAUAUUGAUAUCAUUGGCCUUGUUGAGACUCUCAAACCUACCUUCUCCCCAAAUGAGCUCUCUUUCGUCUCUGGGAUCGAUAGAUUUGAUUGGAAUUUUGUGGCUUCUGUUGGACAUUCGGGUGGUAUCCUCCUUGGCACAAAGAGAGACUUAUUCGAUUUUGUCGCUUUUGAUCAUGGGAUUUUUUGGGCUAGCACGGUGGUGUCUCAUCGUACCCUUAAUUCUUUACUAGAAAUCAUGGUGGUAUAUGGUGCGGCUGACCAUUCUAUGUCCUAUAUUUUUCUGGAUGAACCUCGAAAUAAAAUAGAUUCUUGUGACCUGCCGCUACUUAUUGGGGGAGACUUUAACCUGAUGCGCUACCCUUUGGAUAAGAGUUCCUCUAACUUCUCGUGGCCGCUGGCCGACGCGUUUAAUGCUUUCAUCAGAGACACGGCGAUAUGUGAAAUCCCUAGGGUUGGGGCCCGUUUCACCUGGACGAAUCGCCAAGCUUCUCCCAUUCGAUCUGUCCUUGAUAGGGUUUUCUUUUGUUCUAGAUGGGACUCGAUGUUCCCUCGCUCCAUUCUCAGAUCCCUAGCAAUAGUGGGCUCGGACCAUUCCCCUCUGAUUCUUGAUGAUGGCACUCAUUCGGUUUCCUUUCCGAGGUUUCAGUUUGAUGCUUCCUGGCUCCUAGUUGAGGGUUUUGCUAACUUGAUUGUGCAAAAUAUUUUGACUUUCCUGUCUUCUAACCGCUGAUCUUUUGGUCCAAUGGACCACUGGCAUCAGUGCUCCUACUUUCUCCGUAGAUUUCUCCGUGGUUGGUCUAAAAAUCACUUUGCUGAGUCAAGGCGUGAAAAAGUUAGGCUGGCUGCUCAAAUAGGCGCGCUUGAUGCCCGUGCAGAUGGCAUGGGCCUCUCCCCUGCCGAGUGGCAGAUUCGGUACGGCCUUGAAGAGGCCUUUUUGGAUAUCCAUCGUCAGGAGGAAGUGUAUUGGAAGCAAAGAGGCACUAUUAACUGGACUUUAAAGGGUGACUCGCCCACGUCCUAUUUCUUUGCUAUCGCGAAUGGUAGGCGUCGGCAAUGUCUAAUUGAUAGCCUCCUUAUCGAUGGUGUCAGGGUUUCUGAUCAAUCUGCUAUGAUGCAACAUGUGGUCCAUUUCUUCUCUACUCUCAUAUCCGCUAAACCCGAGGUGGGUUUUAGGUUGGCUUAUACCUUUUGGUCCCCACACGAGCAGAUUUUGAGCGAUGAGAACGAGGGAAUGAUGAUCCCUCUUUCUGAAUAGGAGAUCUUUGAAACGAUCUGAUCUGCUAACUCUAAUGCGGCCUCUGGGCCAGAUGGCUUCUCCAUUCCUUUCUUUAGGCAGUUCUGGCCUCAGUUAAAGGGACUCAUACAGGCGAUUAUCCAAGGUUUUUGGCUGGGAACUGUUGACAUCUCUAGAUUGAAUUACGCGGUGCUCACUCUCAUUCCUAAAGUCAAAGGGGCUGAACCGAUUUCCCAAUUUAGGCCCAGUGCCUUAAUCAACAAUUUUGCGAAGCUCUCGAAUAAGGGUCUGGCUACCAAGCUCUCUCCGAUCGCCCAUCGUGUCAUUAGUCCUUUCCAAUCUGCGUUUAUAAAGGGUAGAUUUAUUUUGGAUGGUGUUCUAUGCUUGCAUGAGAUUGUCCAUGACUUGCGAACCAAGGGAACUAAGGCAGUGGUUCUCAACCUUGACUUCGAGAAGGCUUACGACUCGGUGAGCUCGAACUUCCUUCGCCAAGUCCUUCUUGCUAAAGGUUUCGAGGGUGCAGUGGUUCAUCGUCUUAUGCAGCUGAUCUCAGGAGGCCAUACGGCUGUGUCGGUCAAUGGCCAGAUAAGUAAUUUCUUUGCCAAUGGCAGGGGCCUUAGGCAAGGAGACCCAGCUUCCCCCCUUCUCUUUAAUUUCGUAGCGGAGGCUCUCUCUCAUAUCCUUUCUCGGGCAACUCUUGCUGGACACAUUACGCCUGUUAGCUCUCACCUGAUUCCCAAUGGCAUCACUCAUCUUCAAUACGCGGACGACACUAUUAUUAUGGUUGAACUUAAUGAGGCUAGUCUCACGCAUCUGAAAUUCCUUCUUCUAUGCUUUGAAGCGCUAUCAGGUCUUAAAAUCAACUUUUCGAAGAGCAGAGUUAUUAUGACUGGGGUAACUGACUCUGAAGCUCAGAGAGUGACGCAUCUUCUGAACUGCUCUCUUGGUUCAUUCCCUUUCAAAUACCUGGGCCUCAUAGUCUCCCCUCUUAAGCUAUUGGCUAAAGACUUUGCCCCGACAGUGACCAAAGUAGGGAACAGGGUUUUGCCGUGGAGAGGCCGCUAUAAUUCCCAAGCGGGCAAGGUUGCCCUUACUAAUGCCUGCAUGUCUUCCCUUCCUAUGUUUCUAAUGGGCUCUUAUCUCCUGACCGGAGGGAUUCACGCUGGCUUUGACAAGAACAGGGGUGCUUUUUACUGGAAAUCCUCUGACAAUAAGCGCAAAUAUAGGAUGGUUAAGUGGGAUCUCAUCUGUAGGACUAAGAACAUGGGGGGCUUAGGUAUCAUUAAUACGAUGGUCGUGAACAAGUGCCUCAUGAUAAAAUGGUGGUGGAAAAUAAUGUCCCUCGAGGAUCGCCCCCUCUGGCUAUCUCUUCUCAAAGCUAAAUAUUUCCCUUCCUCGAGACCCAUGUUCGCUUCUUCCUCGGGUGGCUCUCAGUUUUGUGUCAGCAUGUUAAAGUUCGCCUGAUCUUUCAGUCCCUCGUUAAGUUUGUAGUUAGGAAUGAUAAGUCCACUCGCUUUUGUUUAGAUUGGUGGGUGGGAGACACCACUCUUGUGGUGGCCUUCCCGACCUUGUUUUCAUACUGCUCUGCUCCGGAGAUCAUUAUCUUUGAGCUCUCGUUUAAAACUGGGACCUUCACUUCCGGCGAUCCCUUUCUCCUGCGGAGUUGGAUGAUUGGCACCGUCUUACUGCAUGCUUCCCCUUGCUCUCGGAGGAAGACGACUCGGUUGUCUGGCCUCACUCUUCUUUUGGUCGUUUUUCAAUUAAGUCUGCGAAUGCCAAACUUAUCUUAGGCGCCCUUACAGUGAAAUCAACGAUAUUUGGUUGGCCCGUAUUCCUCCUAAGAUCAAAAUUUUCAUGUGGCAAACUUUCCAUCGUAAAUUACUUGCGGCUGAUCAAAUUAGGAAGAGGAACGGUCCGGGCUCUGAUAGAUGCGCAUUAUGUGGGGCAUUUGAAAACACCGAGCACAUAUUUUUUCAUUGCUCGCUGGCGAAAUUUCUUUGGAGCUGUAUUAGACAUUGGCUUUAUGUUAAUUGGAAUCCCUCUUCCUUCAAGGACAUGUGGCGUUGUGUUAGUACUUUAUCCGGUCAAACUAAGAGGCUGUUCUGGGUCGGUUGGGCAGCCAUCUGUUGGUCGUUGUGGACAACUAGGAACAAGUUCACUAUGGAGCACAUCUUUCUGACUAACCCUGUGAACUGCUUAUUUAAAGCUAAUGUCUUUUUGCAGCAGUGGAGAUUAUUGACUAAGGAGGUGGACCUAGAGGCAUUCGACGACAUGUUAUCUAAGAUGAGGUCUACGACUUCUUCUCUGCUGCGGCGAUCUAGGAGGAUUGCUUAGUCUCCUACUCCUUUGGUCUCAAGGCUGGCCUGCGUGCCAUGAUUGGCUAGGAUGCCAUGUAUUCAUACUUCUUAAUUGUUACUCUGCUUUUCUGAUGGUUGGAUGGUUGUGACGUGACUUUGCUUGUUGGCUUUAUUUAUAAAGUCGGGUGUAUGCCUUUUUUCUAAAAAAAAGUCGCCCAAAGCCCAGAAGUCGACACUCCUAAAGUGUUUACAUGGCCAUGCAACGGACUAGCAACACCUCCAGGCAGAACCAUCCGUAAGCUACGCUUCAAUACCACCAUUCAGGAGGGGAACAUGAUGUCACCCAACCAGAUGAGGAGGCACGAGGUGUUGCCCAUAGGCCAGAUCGAUCUUCAACACUAGAUCGGAGCCGGCCAGGGCAGAAGACUCAACACGAGGCAAAGAAUCGCAUGACCAACUCGUCCUGGCUGCCGCAGACUCCCAGCGUCGAUGUGUGCUAGGGCCGCACGCGUCUCAUGAUCAAGAGGAGCAGGCCCCGCCGUCACCGUGCUCGGCGGCAGUGGCGGCGGCGAGGAGUUACGGAGGUGCGGAGACCGACAGCUACGGCUGGGACACCCAGGUGUCGCCCACAAGCGACACGGGAGCGAGAUCCAGUUUUUUCGGGAGGGCAGUUUUCCGGCGGAUUGUCGAACAUGAGUGACAUAUACACUGAGACUAGCCACAGUGGAAGCAACUUCAGCAGUAACAUCGAGUCCAACUCAGCAAAUUUGCUUAUGUGGCAAUGAGUUAAUGAGGAGAGAGAUAGUUAUAGUAAGAGUCAAUUACACCAUACGUGUCUGAAGUCGGCGAGAAAAGUUAGUUUGGUGCUAAAACUUGUGGCGUACAUUGAACUGGUGACAAAACUUGGCUUCGAUAUGCAUCUACGGUGCAAAUCACGUUUAUAUACGCACAAGGUGCUGACGAGGCACGCCAAUGUGGCGUGGGACCCAGUUUCAGUGGCAGGUAGUUAGAGACAAGGGCGUGUGGUUCGAUUUUUGUGGAAAACACCUGAAUUUUUAUCAUCACGGAAAAGCCACUUGUUUUUUUCUUAGACAAAUCCCUAAAAUGUAGCUACAUCUCUAUGACAGUUGGGGCCCACCCUGCAGAAAACAGUACAAAGAGGAAACCAAUAUGCAAAAGUGACAGCGGGGAGUCAACCUGCGACCUUAAGUUAACAUGCGAACCAACCUGUGGUUGGAUGGUUAGAAGAACUGUGGUAUCCCCAGCCCACCAGGGUUCAAAUCCUGGUGCUCGCAUUUAUUCCUGGAUUUAUUUCAGGUUUCCAGCGAUGCACAUUCAGUGGGAGGAGACGUUUCCGUCGACGACGAGACGCCUACGAUGAUUUCGUAAAUCUCAAGAUGAUAUGCCGGCUCAGUCUUUCGGAGGUGCUCAUAGGGAUAGAAUGUGUGUGUACAUGAGCGCUUGUGUUUGUACUGAUGUUAAAAAAAAAGACUAAGUUAACAUGGCGUCCGUGCUAGCCACGCCUCCAAGUCUGGCUUCAUGUCUCAUUGGGAUAGACAAUCUUAAUUACCAAUAUGUGAGCACGAAAAUGGGGCUUAAAUAGGCAGCAGCCGGCGUGGACCAUUUUUCACAUGAUAUUUUGUUAGUUCAUAAAUACUAAUAAAUUUCCAUUUAUUAUUUAAAUUUUAUUUUUCCUUAAAUUCCGUAAAAAAUAUUAUAAAUAAUAAUAUGUCUGGUAAAGAGAAUACACGAAUAUUUUCGGUGAACGCAUUAAUAUAGCCUAAAAAUAAAUGAAUAUAUUUUGAAAUAAUAUUUUUAUAAUUUAUAAAUAUUGUUUUAAUUAUAUGUUUGUUUUAAAUAAUAUAUGAAUAUUUUUGGGAUAAAAUGAACAUUCUUUUAAAUAAGAAUAAUUUUUAUAAUUACAAUCUUUUUUUAAACCAGGCAUAACACCAUUCCAUUACUGUGACAUAACAGCAAUACAUCAGUCCAGAGAAAGAGACAGGAGAGGGGAGAGCGGGUUUGAGCAUCGUCGGGAAACCCACUGUGAGCACUCACCAUCGAGAUUACCCACUGUAGGACGAAAACCUGGCGACACCAUAUAUCAGUUUAACUGGGCACGACAGCCCCUACAUCCACCAUAAUCAAGAUGGGCUGCGGUGAACAUUUGUGUGNNNNNNNNNNNNNNNNNNNNNNNNNNNNNNNNNNNNNNNNNNNNNNNNNNNNNNNNNNNNNNNNNNNNNNNNNNNNNNNNNNNNNNNNNNNNNNNNNNNNNNNNNNNNNNNNNNNNNNNNNNNNNNNNNNNNNNNNNNNNNNNNNNNNNNNNNNNNNNNNNNNNNNNNNNNNNNNNNNNNNNNNNNNNNNNNNNNNNNNNNNNNNNNNNNNNNNNNNNNNNNNNNNNNNNNNNNNNNNNNNACUAACCCAUUUCACAUAUACUGCUAUGUGGUAGUAUAUAUACUACUUUAUCAUUUUUAUCUAUAUACCCAUGCUAAAAAAGCAAGGUAUGUUUCGCUAAUUUUUUCAUCCGUUCACCGUCAAUUUUUUUUCUAUCCAAGGUGGUACUAAAUUCUUAUGCGUUUGUCUGCUAGAAAAAGAAUUUUCAUACGUGGGCCGCGUGAUGUGGCCCAGUAAAGCCAGCCCACAUAUUUUUCUAUUCACGCAGCUGGUAAAAUAGUAUUUUUUGCACUGGGCAACAAAUAGUCGGAGUUUCGCACAGGACAACCAAUAAUGGGCUGGUCCUUUUUUCUUUCUUUCUGUGUUUUACUUCUAUUUUUAUUCUACUUUUCCUACUCUUUUUCCCUUCUAAGUUUAUUUUUUCUUUUCGAAUUUAUUUCCUAAAUUAAAAUUUCUCAAAAAACUUUCAGAAUUAAAAAAAUUUGGAAAAAAUUCGGAAUUCCAAAAUUUUGUUGCUACUUUGAUAAAUAUUCAGAACUUGCAAGAAAUUGCACAUUCUUUUAAAACAAAUUUUUUCAAAAUAUUUCGAGAUUUCUUAAAAUAAAAUGGCAUUUCAGAAAAUGCUCCAAAUUUAGAAAAUAUUCAUGUUUUAGUGAAAUUUUCAAAAUUUAAAAUAAAGUUCAUGUAUAAAAGAUACACAUUUUCUAAAAAUCUUAUGAAUUUACUACACAUGUUCCCCUUUGAAAAAAUGUUCACAAAUUCAGAUAAUGAUCAUGUUUUUAUAAAAAAUGGUGUUUUCUAAAAAUGUUUGUCAAUUUUAUAAUAUGUUCCCUUUCAUAUUUUGUUUGCGUUUUUUCGAAAGUGUACAUAAUUUUCAAAAAAAUUGUUCAUGUUUCCUAAAAUAUUCAGAAACUUCAUACCUUAAAAUCCCUCGAUUGAAAGAAUUGAAAGGAAGAGUAGAUUGAAUAACUCGUGGGUCUCCUCUGGCAUACGAUGAUGUAACAAAACUCUUAAAUGCCCUCGAUCAAUGAAUGGAAAAAUAGCAGAUUGAUUCCUUCAUGCGCAGUGAAACCGAGAAACUAAAUGUUCCUUUUUCGUGUGCACACAGUGUUUUGCUUGCAUAUAUAAUUUUCACUGACUUUAAAUGCAUACUCCCUCCGUCCGAAAAUACUUGUCAUCAAAAUGAACAAAAAGGAAUGUAUCUAAAACUAAAAUACAUCUAGAUACAUCCCCUUUUAUUUAUUUUGAUGACAAGUAUUUUCGAACGGAGGGAGUAUUAUUGUAUCUUCCGUUGCAACGCACGGGCAUAUGUGCUAGUUAUUAUUAAUUUAGAUAUGUUUACAGAAUUCUAGGAAAGGAAGAAAAACUAACAUCUGUAAUGGGCCGCGGUGACUGCUGCACACUUAAGCCGUAUGUGCAUGCUCGUUUAUAUUCAGCCCAUUAAGGAUACAAAUUGUAUUUUGACCGAAAGUGAUACUCGGUGUGGCAGCCAGGUUGUCCAACCAGAGGGGAACAUGUCAUGUAUUUGAUCGUGUGCGCAACAUUAUUUUGGUCCCAAUUUCCGCCCUGACUGGUGGGGCCCAAGUGCCAUUGUGACGUUUCAUUCGUUUUUUCAAGAAAGAAAUUUGAGUGUCAUUUUGUGAGUAAAAUAAGAUUCCAGGGUGUGUUUCACAAAAAACCGAGGCACACGCCUUGCAUGUGCCUUCCAGUCACUGACACUGGGUCCCAUGCCAUGUUGGCGCGCCUCGUCAUCACUCUAUGCGUAUACAAACACGAUUAGCACCGUAGAUGAACGCCCAAGCCAAGUUCUGUCACCGGUUCAAUGUAUGCCACAAGUUUUAGCACCAAACUGACUUUUCUCGCCAAGUUCAGACACCUGUGGUGUAAUUGACUCUUAUAGUAACUUAACUAGUUAGUGUAACAUCACAUGCCCAAAUGCAAUAUGAGUCAACCUAAUAAAUGAAGCUUUGCAUGUUACUAUACUUAUGUUACUACCCACUAUGAAGGUAGUAACAUAGUCUAGGGAUACGUGUAUGUUAUGCAUAGCAACAUACACAAAUCCUUAGACUAUGUUACUAUCUUCAUAGUGGGUUGUAACAUACUUCCUCCGUUUCUUUUUAGUCCGCAUAUAAGGUUUGGUCAAUGUCAAGCAUUAUAGAGUUUGAUUAACUUUAUAUUAAAAAAUAUAAACAUUCACAAUAUGAAAUCAAUAUAUUCAGAUGCACCAUGAAACAUAUUUUCAUACUAUAUAGUUUUAGUACUGUAGAUGUUCAUAAUUUUUUAUGUAAAUUUGGUCAAACUUUGUGUAGUUUGACUUUGACCAAAUCUUAUAUGCGGAGUAAAAAGAAAUAGAGGGAGUAAGUGUGGUAACAUGCAAAACUUCAUUUAUUAGGUUAUAGACUUGUAUUGCAUUGGGACAUGUGAUGUUACAGUAACUAGCUAAGUCACUGUAACUACCUCUCUCCUCAUUAACUCAUUGCCAUGUAAGCAAAUUUGCUGAGUUGAACUUGAUAUUACUGUUGAAGUUACUUCCACUGCAGCUAGUUUACUCAUCAUUGUGACUAGUCUGAUAUAUACAAUGCAUGUCAAACUAUCCACGCCGCCUAUAAAACAAAAAAGAAACGAGUCCAACUUUCCAAACCAGUAGUCAAACAUCUUUAUCUCCCCACCUAACCGAAUAAUAACGACCGCUAGCCUAGCAGCCCUAGCAGGAUUGUCAAUCAAGUUACGAAAUCGACGCCUAUAUAUCCGCAGCUUUAGCCAGCCACACCACUACAACAACAGAAAGCAUUCUACUCCUCCACACAAGUGAAGUGAGAGCUUUGCGCUGAAAGUUCAUCAGCAACUAUGAAGGGCACCAAGCUCGCGGCGAUCCUGAUCCUCCAGGCCGUCCUGGUCAUGGGAGUCCUCUCGCACGUCAACGGUAAGCUGCAGAUGCUGCUCAGCCAUUCUACAUGCUCCUCAACAAAGCUCGAUCGAUUGCCUUUUCGUGAUCGCGGUGAGGGAUCGAGGUCUGUGUUUAUGGGUGAUGCUAUCUGAUGCCGAUGUCUUUGCGUGCGUGCAGCCGACUUCUUCCCCAAGUGCUGCAACAACUGCAGGUCCUUCUCGGGGGUCGACGUCUGCGACGACGCCCACCCCAAGUGUCCCAAGGGCUGCUCGGCGUGCCGCGUGGUGUCGACGAGCCCCGAAAUGUGGCGCUGCGCGGAUAUGAAAUCCACCGUCGACGGCACCUGCGGUGGACCCUGCAAGAAGUACUGAUCGGUUCAUGCCGGCAUAUGAUAUGUUCCGCCUAAAAUUAAAUAAAAGCUCGGACGAGAUGAGCAGCGUCAUCGUGCCUAUGCGUGUGUGUGUGACCAACAAAUAUGUAUACCAGUAUGUCGUGUCUUCGUCGCUGUGUUUUCUCUCUCGAGAAAAAGUUGGUGUUGCUUGUUGUUCAGCUAUCCGGAAUAUCCUCCGUGAAUAAACACCUGUAGUGAUUGUGCGUGGCUGCCAAUAAUGUGAGUUCUCUUGUCCACGCAGUUACAUGUUUCCCGUUGUAUUUAUAUACUCUCCGAUAUGAUAUUUGUUGACGUGUUAAGCAGUAUCUUACUAGAUGCUUAGCUUAUUUUAUUUUGCCAGAAAAACUUUCAAUCUAUUCAUCAAACGUCACGGUAGUUCUAGCUUAGUUAUCACAUACUCACACGAACUGAUGGGCAGCUAUUUGAAAUUUACCUUACUAGUGUUUGGCACAUACAAUAACUAUCCUAUGCACUCCUUUUCCAUCUUACUACGGGCAUGCCACACCUUUCAUCCUGACAAAUAUUUUCGGAUGUUUCUAGACGGGAUAAGAAAUGUGUCUGCAAUCACACGUCUGACAAUUUUGUGUGCCUGUAUAAGAAGUAUGAUACAAACCAAACUUGUUGUUCAAAGAAGUUCUUGUAACGUAAUCUCAAAACAUCUAUGUUUGCUCGGUUCAACUUGAAUGCAAAUGGUAAAAGUUUCCAUAUUUGAUCUCAGUUUUUUCCUAAAGCAUAAUCAUGCUUCGAGGAACGGUUGUUCAGCAUAAGAUAGUUUUGAAAAAUGACAACAGAAUUCAUAAAAGCGGCCUCAUGGGAAUGUUAUAUUGUUGUACAAUGAGAUCAUGCAAUUAAGAAUUCUUCGUAACCUAUGAUAAUAUAUGUCGUGCAAAAGUCUUAUCCCAGGAGGAUUGCAACGAUGCCUUCAAUGGCACCAGUGUCAACUCUUGCCAUUACGCUUCCUUGCAAAGGAAGCGAUCGGCCAGGAUGUUUGAGUCAACUUUAUUAUUUUUCUUGUUUUGUUUCUUUACGCAUUUAUAGGCACUAGCUAGAGUACAUAAUAACCACUUGCAUUUCCAAAUGAUGAUGACGAUGAUGAUGAUGAUGAUGACGAUGAUGAUGAUGAUGAUGAUGAUGAUGAUGAUGAUGAUGAUAAUAAUAAUAAUAAUAAUAAUAAUAAUAAUAAUAAUAAUAAUAAUAAUAAUAAUAAUAAUAAUAAUUUCUGAGCCCAGGCUCAUCUGCACUCGGUCAAGAAACAAUUCACAAAAUAUAUAAAAAUUAAAAAAAAUCAUUUUUUUGCAUGGUAAAUAAUUUGGUGCAGGAGGUGCGCUUCAAAUUUCAGUUCAUUUCGACAUAUGUGUAGCUCUGAGAAAAAGAGACAAAUUGGGUCACAACAAUACAUGAACAAUAAACUUUUUUUAUAGACCCCAAAUUUGUCUUUUUCCCCGAGAGCUACACAGAUGUUCAAAUGAUCUGAAAUUUGGAGCGCACCUCACGCACGAAAUUAUCUACCAUGCAAAAAAAAAUAUUUUUUGAAUUUUUGUAGUAUUUGUUUUGAAUUUUUCUUCUUCUUUAUCUUAGGUGCAUAUGAGCCCGGGCACCGAAUUGCUGCUCUCAAUAAUAAUAAUAAUAAUAAUAAUAAUAAUAAUAAUAAUAAAGGAAAUAAUAAUAAUAAUAAUAAUAAUAAUAAUAAUAAUAAUAAUAAUAAUAAUAAGCACUUGCCUAUCCUUACUAGCUAGUAACAUCGCUUCUAAUCUUUCACAAGAGAUAAUUAAAAUACAAUGAAGAGAUUAGUAAAUAUCACUUGUGUUCUUCCUGCAAAUGAAAUAACGGUGUUCACAAUUAUGCGGGUGUAAUUACAUUUCUUCGCAAUACCUAGUUUGAAUAACAAUUCCAACAGAAAAUGGGAUUAGUUAGUUUUUAUGUAUACACUAAAAAGACGUGCACAAUUGUAUUUCAAAAAAUAAGCAACAAAAAAAAAACAAGCAUACAUGCCUAUGGAGUUCAUGCCGUGCAACUGCAGCCAUGAUAGGCUCAAUGAUCAAGUGGUUCGUCCUCAGCGACGAGAGGCUAGAUCUAACCAGAUGACAUGAUGGACCGCCGAUUGACAUACUACAGCAGUGUUUCACAUAGUAUGGCCAAACACGUGCCAAAUCAACUUCUGAGGCAUUUGGCACCAGUGCCUCCACUCCCUCACUACAAGAAAUAUGUCAACUUGUGACCACCACUAUUGGUUAUUGAAAGGUCAUAGUUUUUCAUUUGCGACCUUUUUGUGACCAAAAACAGAAGGUCAAAAGCUGGCGGUCGUAAACUGAAAUUAGUGACCUUCUUUGCGAUAUGUAAAAGGUCGUUGGAUUCCACGACCAAAUUUUUGGUCACAAGCAACCUUCCCAGACCACGUAGGCAUCUAGCAUGGCAAGCUGAUGUGGCACAAGAAUCAGCCCGGUCCGAUUCAGUGUUUGACAUGGGCCGAGCCCAACAAUUCAGCACAUUUAUAUUUUUUUGCUGCUAAUUUUGGUGAACUACACAUGCCAAGCCCUACAAUUUGGCCUUUUUUAUUUUCUGGGCCAUGGCCUUUUUGUACCAGCAGUUUUAGUUUUCUUUUUUUAUAAAAUGGGUCCAUUAGUCAAACAGGUCCCACUUGUCAGGUUCUGAUAAAUGGGUCCCAGCUAUUAGGCUCAGAUUCUUCAUGUUUCAAUUUGACAUCAUAUUUGAAUUUCGUAGUAAAAAAAUAAACAUUAUUUAAAUAGGCAAGCAGAAAACACACAUAAUUAUUCAAAUAACAAUAGCCAGAUUCACUACAAGCUCUACAAAUGACAUGUAAUAAAAGCUCUAACAUAUACAAUGCUUUACAAGCUCUACAAAUGCAAAGCUCUACAGUACUUUACAAGGUCUCCAAGUAAUGCUACAAGCUCUACAAGUGUUCUCUUCUUCAGCAUGGAGCUCCUUCAACAGUGAUCAAAUGUUAAACUCACGGACAGACAUAGUCAGGACUGGGCUGACAGAAAUACAACAUGCCUUCCACAGUCGCCCUGUUACAUGAAUCGGCUGAGAAGAAUCAGAAAAACUGGAGCCAAUAUAAUAUGAACAUUCCAUUCAAAAAAAGUAGUAAAGGAGUAAAGGACAAUUCUUUAUAUAAUGAUAAACAGAUUUCAGCUAGUACCAAGCUUUUUUAGCCGAGCUAGUUAAAAUGAGAUAUUCAUACAAGACAAUAGAGACUAUAUGAAUAUGCAUGGCACAAGUGCAGGUCCUGGUUACUGGCUACACAUGUAACACCAAUAAAUGGAUAGAACAAUAACAGGAACAACUCCAGAUUACACACAAAGCUCUAUCCAUAGUGCCAGCUAUGGAUAAAAUCAUGCACACUCCCAACAGAACUCAGUCACACAAUAUAAUUCUAACUAUAAUAUAACCAAGAACUAAAGAUUGUCACACGGUAUAAUUCUGACUAUAAUAUAACCAGAGAACUAAAGAUUCUACAUACUUAGAACUCAACUAAUAAGUGAGAAUGAUCUGAUUGUAUGCAAACAAUCUUUUUUUUAUUUUUUUAUUACAAAAACAGACAUAUCUUCCUUUAUGUGAAGAAGUCUGGUUCCUUCUUUAGUUAGUAGUAAUCGUUCCAUGAAAAUCAACCGUGUGUGUGUGCUUGAUCAUGGUCUGGAGAUUACACGCAUAGAGGAACAAAAUCCUAAACAAAAUAGUAUCAAAUAGCAGUGGGUGCUCAACCUAUUUGCCAUACACAAGCAACACUUAAAUCAUAGCAUGUGCAUAUACUUGUGUCACAUCAGGGGGUUCAGAAUGUACUCAACAUAAUCUAAUAAAAAGUAUUGGGAGGAGAGGGAGAGGGAGGUGGAGAUGGACGUGCUACCUGUUGCUGCGGUGGUGCCUCUUGGUGGCCGUGCUUGAGCUCCUCCUGAAGCUGCUCACUAACCUGCAAGACAAACAAGACCAUGGGUGAGCUGCAGCACAGGCACAUACAUUAAGUGAAGAUAAGGAGAACAACCUGGAAGAAGAGAGAUGCUCUGUCCUCCGUCCGCGCCCGUCCUUCUCCUCCAUGCCAAUGUCAAACAACCUCUGUUCGUCGCUUGCGAGCACCAUGCGUCUUGGUUGGCCAUGACGCCCUUGUCCUCUGUUGCACGGAUGAAAACCAAAGAAUCAGUACAACUACACUGGCACAUAAUACAAACAUGGUAAUCUGAUGGUUGAACAGCGAAUGACUUUGGCAAAAAUCAGUGGCUAGUUGAAUUGCUUAAUUUCAGAAUUGAAGCUAAUCUCUCAGCUAACCGAAUUGCUUACUGCUACUGUGGAUGAAAGAUUGCGGCAAGAGAGCAAGCAAGCAACUCAGCACAAACAGAUGCAACCUAACUAGUCUCAUGGCAAGUACUUAGUACCAAGCAGCAACAACAACCAAGCACGGCGCAGGGUGCAAAAACAUAAUGGUGCAGAGGACAUGCAAGGAGAAAAUAUGUGGAGAGAGGCCAAUCAAAUGCCACACCAUCCCGAACCACACACAACACAUCUAUGUGUAGCUUGUACCUCGUAUGUGAGUCCUUAAUUUCUACUAAUUACUACACUGAACUUAAUUUCUACAUCAUGUUGUUGUACAAAUUACUACAACAAAUUUCCAUGAAGUGUACUGUCAGCAAAGAACACUGCUAGAAUUACAACAACUACACUGAACCUAUUUCAAAAAGAAAGAAAAUCAACACAUAAAAAUAACACUAGAUAUACUCAUCUAUUUCCCUCAGUUUUUUUAAGAAAAGGACCAAAAAAGGGACAAAUAUGAACUGCAGCUACGGAUACGGUCUACUGACAAACAUGAACUGCAGAAAAAAGAAAAAUGAGAGGGAAGUGGUUAGGGUUCAAACCCAAUACAGAUCCACCCCCACCCCCAUCCCACGUAUCAAAAAAGCCCCAUUGAUCCCCACCAUCAAAAUCUGCCACUGAUCUAAAAACGCAAGCUGAUACAAAGUGACUACAGCCAGAAAAACAUCACAAACAUUUGCUUGAAGGGAGAAAAAAGGGAUCUAGCCACAUAAUCUACCCACCCCGCUGAACUUGCCAUUUUAAAAUCCCCACACAUUUGACAGAAUGUGCACCGGCCCUCCUCUCCUCUCAGGAGAAAAAAUAGGGUUGCUGAGAGCAAGCCGAAGGGGACUGAGCCACAAGGCCACAACCGAGACAAACACAUGCCCCCCGAGCAGCACCAACAAGCCAGCCCUAGCUCGUGAAAAAAACCCAACAAUGGCCUGCCCCAUCUCGAGUGGAAGUGGAAGUCACACAUGCGCAACUAGCGCACAAGGAUAAUAUCAAGUUGCACGGAUUUUAAAGGCAAAAAAAGAUUACUUAGAUGUGAGAGCAAAUCUGUAGAGCAUGCAUAUAUCAUUCACCUACUAGGAACAGGAAUAUCAAUAAACCUGGAGAGCAGCUAACCUGGGAUGGAGCAGGCCUUGUGAAAUAUUUGUUUCCUAGAGGAGAUAUUAGUUUUGAACCUCACAAUGUACAAAGAUCACACCUACACUCAUUGAUUUCAAAUGUACAAACAAAUCCAUAUCACUACACCAGUCAUGCUAAUAUUAUGCAAGCAAGAAAAACAAGAAAUAAGAUCAAUGCAGAGAUUCAGUCAUCUGCACUGCACCGUAGAUUCAGAUGAACAUUGUCCACACCUCCAACAUUGCCAUAUUUUCCCCAUCUUGGACCUCAAAGUAUUUCCCCCGUUCUUUAUCCAGGUAAUGUCGAUCUUUGAAGAACUAAAAAAAAAUGGAAGGGCACAAAUCAAAUGGAUGACAGAAUAAACCUAAACAAGAAGAAAAUUACACAAUCACAUACACUUGCAACGGAGGUUUACAAAUGGAAAUGGCAUGUCUCAUCAAGAUUAAAGAAUCAAAAAGCUCUGGAGAUCAUUGGAUGUAAUGUUCAGUAAGAGCUAUGGCAAGAUUCCAUUUUACUCUUGAGAUAUAUACCACAACCUGAAUACUGGUAAUCAAUUCAAUCAACAUAGAAGAAUGCUACAUGGCCAGAUUGUAAAUGCCAUUACCCGACAAAAACCAAUCCCCUUUAGGCAGCUCAGGAGUCGGGAGCACAAAUUAACAUGCACAUGGAACCGCUAGACCGCUUCAUGCAUGCAAAGCUAACCCUCGCCACUAACAUCAGGUUUAUGCCAUCAAAAUGCAAUGGUUAUCAACUUACCAACCUACUGCGACAAAUCGAAAUCAGCAAACUAGUGAACAGUCAAACAAUCGAUGACCCCCUAAUAAAUUUAGGCCACAAUGUGCUACCUCCAUAUAACAAGAGCCCCACCUCAACGAGACACACUAGCAGCAUCAGGAUACGAGAAUACAAGCAUAACUUCGAAAUAAACACCAACAUCAAGAUCAACUCAGCUGCUAAACCUGCAUUCCCAGAACCCUAAACUAGAUCGACUCCACAUAAGGCAUGAACAACAACAUUACGUCCUAAUCAAGCACGCCAAGCUCUAAAACCAGCCACAUAACAACAGGGAAGCUAUUAAUUACAUAGGGCACAAACAGAUCGAGCGCCACCUCACCUUUCUUAAGCACAGGGGAAGAACUUGUCGACAACCCGGACGACGGUCCGGCCGGAUCUGUCCGUGCCCUGCACGCGGACCACCUGGAGCUCCUCAAGGUCGGAGAAGUCAUCGCCGAGGUCGGGGACGCAGUCGUGCCACUCCUCGCGGUCGGCAGGGGAGGCGAGGAGCGCCGCGCUGGUAUCCACCACGAAGUCGGAGCCUAUCACCCUCACGGAGAAGUCGCUCCCCCCCUAAGCCGCUGCCGGAGCCCGAUGCGAGCGCCAUGGCCGCCCCUCCUGCUUCACGCGUCCCCUCAUGCAGAUGGAAGUCCAGAUCGAUGCCCUGGUGUGAUCCGCGUGAGAUCCCUCUUCUCUUCUGAUGGGAGGAGGAGAGGGAGGGGGCGGCGGGUGUGGGAGGGAAGAGACCGGGAGCGGCAAACGGUGACGAGGUCAGACAGGGCGGUGGGUGGUGGCGGCGAGGUCAGACGGGACGGUGGGUGGCGGCAGCGGUGAUGUGUGGGUGGGAGGGCACGGUCGAUGUGUGGGAUGUGCGCGUCGGAUCUUGUCCAAGGGGAGGAUGGAGCAGAAGGGAGGGCAUCGGGCGUCGUCGGAGGGUGCAGGAAUCGGGCGGUAGGAAUCCAAGGGGAGGAUGGAGCGGAGGGGAGGGAAUCGUGCAGGAAUCGGGCGUCGCGGUAGGUUGGUGACGAGGAGUGGUGCAGGGGAUGGGGAGUAGGUGGCGGUAGCGGCGAGGAGAUGGGGACGAGGGAGGAGGGGUGCGAUGGGGGGAUCUGAGCUAGCUAGGGUUUGGGCUGCGGGUCAAGGUAUGUCUUUUUCUUUUCUUUUUUCUGUAGAUAGAUGGAUGGACGGAUGUGGGAUGAAGAGAUGGAUGGAUGGAUGGAUGGGUGCCAUGUCAUCGAUCCGUGGGAAGGGUUCUGAUUGGUUCGGAAAAUCAGUGAUUUAAAAUAGUUUCCAAGUACUAAAAAUUGAGGUAUUUUAUGAAGAAGCUAUCAAAAAUAUUUGCAAAAGAGCACCACACAAAUUUUCACUAGAUUUAGACAACAUUUUAUGGAUGGGGACCAAUUUGUAUGCAUUUUUUUUAUCUUUCUAACUAUUUUAAAUCAUUUUCGAGUGCCCAAAAUGAGAGUUUUUUCUGAAGAACCUACCAAAUAAUUGUUGCAAAAUUGGACCAAUUCAUUUUUCUAAAAGGGAUAAUUAAUUUGGUGCCCUUAGUUGUGUCCCACUCGGCAGUUUUACCCCUAAUUUCAAAAAACCCUUGGUCUUGCCCAAGUGUGUUUGGUCCCCUUAUGCUUUUGCCCUUCCGUUUCAAUUCCGUCCAGUCAAAGGGGUUUGACCGUUAGUCAGACAUUUUUCUAGACCAUUUUGCCCCUCCUUACGUGUUGGCUCUGACCAGCGAAAUAGGGCAACUGGAUCAGUGGGUCCACCUGUCAUAGAGUGAAAAAGGCCUCUAUCCCAGCCCCAAUCCCUCGCUCCCUCCCAGAUAGCGCCGCCGCCAGAAGAGGAUGCGCGCCGCGCCAGCCGAUCCGGCGCCUGCCCAGGCCACUGCACCACUGGAUCACCGCCGGCGACGACAGCAGGACCCCGCCGCCCUUCUCCUUUCUUUUCUGUCAUGCCCAAUAUGCGACCCUAUCCAAAAGGAACUCGAAGGUCCCACCAAGGAUAGACCCGCAUAUUGAAACGCUUUUGCAAGGUGGAUAUCAUUACAUCAACAUUACAUAAUAGAUGGGGAUACAUACAAGAGGCAUACAAUGCCACUCGAAUACAACAUCAUCAUACAUAAGAUCAUCAUCCGACUACGGAUGAAACACAAACAGAAGCUCAAACGACAUCCACCCUGCUAGCCCAGGCUGCCGACCUGGAACCUAUCCCUAAUCGAAGAAGAAGCAGAAGAAGAACUCCAAAACAAGAAAACAUUGCUCUCGCGUCAUGAUCAUCGCAAAACCUGUACCUGCAACUGUUGUUGUAGUAAUCUGUGAGCCACGAGGACUCAGCAAUCCCAUUACCAUGGGUAUCAAGACUAGCAAAGCUUAAUGGGAAAGGAAGGGGUAAAGUGGUGAGGUUGCAGCAGCGACUGAGAAUAUAUGGUGGCUAACAUACGCAAAUAAGAGCGAGAAGAGAGCAAAAGGAACGGUCGUGAAGCUAGCAAUGAUCAAGAAGUGAUCCUGAACUCCUACUUACGUCAAACAUAACCCAAAAACCGUGUUCACUUCCCGGACUCCGCCGAGAAGAGACCAUCACGGCUACACACGCGGUUGAUGCGUUUUAAUUCGGAUCUGGUGUCAAGUUAUCUACAACCGAACAUUAACAAAUUCCCAUCUGCCUAUAACCGCAGGCACGGCUUUCGAAAGAUUAUACCCUGCAGGGGUGUACCAACUUAGCCCAUGAUAAGCUCUCGCGAUCAACGAAGGAUAUACCUUCUCCCAGGAAGACCCGAUCAGACUCGAAAUCCCGAUUUACAAGACAUUUCGAUAAUGGUAAAACAAGACCCGCAAAGCCUCCCAAAUGUGCCGACAAAUCCUGAUAGGAGCUGCACAUAUCUCGUUCUCAGGGCACACCGGAUUGUCCAAACUUCCGGUAGGCCAGCCCAGAGUUGCCCCUGGUGGCCACCGGCGGCUGACAAGUUGGACCAACACUAACGACGAGCACUGGCCUGGGGGGGGAUAAUAUAAAGAUGACCCUCGAGAGCGCGACUCCCAAGGGAAAAAGGGCUAGGUGAGGCAAAUGUAAAAUCAAGGUUGGGCCUUGCUGGAGGAGUUUUAUUCAAAGCAGACUGUCAAGGGGGUCCCAUAAAUCACCCGACCGCGUAAGGAACGCAAAAUCUGGGAAUAUAACACCGGUGUGACGGAAACUAGGGCGGAAAGAGUGGAACAAAACACCAGGCAAAAGGCCGAGUCUUCCACCCUUUACCAAGUAUAUAGAUGCAUUAAUAAUAUAAGAGAUAUUGUGAUAUCCCAACCAAAAUCCUGUCCACCAUGGAGAAUUCUUCAACUUCACCUGCAACUAGCAACGCUAUAAGAGGGCUGAGCAAAGCGGUAACAUAGCCAAACAACGGUUUGCAUAGAAAAGGUGUCAAAGGUUAGAGGUUCAUGGCAAUAUGGGAGGCUUGAUGAGCAAAAGAUAGGUAACGCAGCAUAGCGAUAGAACGAAGCAACUAGCAUAGCAAUGAUAGUAGUGAGAUCCAGGGUAGCGGUCAUCUUGCCUGAAAUCCCGCAAGGAAGAAGAACGAGUCCAUGAGGAAGACGAACGGAUGAAGCCGAACCAAGCGUAGACGAACGAAUCCUCACGAUCGCAACGAAACAGGAACUAUCGAAAAGAAGCACACAACAUGGUAAACACACCACACAUGAACAAGGCAUGAUGCACAACAAGCAUGAUGCAUGACAAAACUACAUGAAGCUACUCAUGGCCAGAGAUGCUGCAAACAAGAGCAACACACUAAGGCAAGUUUAAAUGAGGCCGGGAAUAACAUAUAACAAUUCCGGUAAGUCCUCAUAUGCAUAUUUCAAAAUUGGUCCAGAUCUGAUUAAACCUUAUGUUCAAAUUGUUAAACAUCAAGUUAAGAUGCACAAGGAUGAUCUACAUGAAAUUCUAGUCAAGUUACAUAUUAAGUUCAUUUAGUUCGGAGCUACGGCCUAGAAGAUAUGAGCAAAACAAGAUAAACAUGGCAUUGAUGCAAAAUGCACCCAAACAUCAAGCAAACACCUCAAAACAAGGAUGCAACAUGAUAAUAUGAAGCUACAUGCAAAAUCAAGUAAGUUUCAUAUAGAUCACACUCAAAACGGAGCAACGGUUCAACACACGCACUCUACACAAGUUCAAAGGACAAGCUGUCCAAAACAGCAACUAGGCAUAUUGCAAGCAUCAAAACAAUACGCUACAGCACCCCAACAUGAUAAUAAAAGGCCUGGACAUGAUGUACAGGUAAAGCAUAACAAAACAUGAACACUGAGCUAUCUCCAGAAACUACUAGAACAUGCUCAAACACACAUGGAAAGAUUGCAAAUAAUAACAAUUCCAGACUUUGCAGAAAAUAACAUCAUGUUGCAAUGUUUAGAGCUAUCAAACAACAUGUUACAGGAACUUAUCAUGGCAAACAAAGGCAUGGCAUGAACCUACUAAAUGCAUAGAUCAAACGUUCUUUACUGACCAUAAGCCAAAAAGGAUCAGAAAAUAUGAUGGCUCCCACGUAAACAUGGCAAGUUAUAUUACAGAUUCAUACAUGGCAGGAACAGAAUUAUGAAGGCAUGUUGGUGAGCUUGUGCAACUCACUACAGAGCAAAACAUGGCAUGACAAGGCAACCAACAGUAAGAAGGCAUGUUUGUGAAGCUAAGCAUGGCAAUAGCAAGUUCAUAUGGUACAAGGAUCAACUACAACAACCUUGGCCAAAUUGAAUAACAUGUAAACAAUCUGUCAGGAAAUAUUUUGAAGCAAAAGUAGAGCACGAAAAUGACAUGCUAGACGACUCCAUAAUUGCAACCAAGGGCAUGAAUGGAUAGAGGAAAACCAUAUGUCCAAAACAUCCUUACUGAAGUAUCUCAAAAUAUGCAUGGAUCUCUCUGUAGCAUCAAGUUUACAUGUCAUAAAAAUAAUAGCAGAACAGGGACUAAAAUCAGCAACAUUAUGAUGCCUAGUUUGCAUGCUUGUGCUAGUCACCAUAUUGAUCACAAAAAUACAUGGUAAGCACCUCUGUAAAGAAGACAUAGCAUAGAUCAAAACACAUGUAGACAUCGACCUCAUGGGAUGCACACGUCAAUCAUGGAAAAAAUGAUAAAAGAGCUCGUUCUGUUAACAGACAACAGAAAACAUCAUGAAGCACUCUUAAAACGAUGACUCAGGCAUCAAGAUGACCUCAAAUGAAUAUGAUGCAAUGGAAUGAAGUGAUGUACUCGUUGAGAAGAACAACUUAACAUAUUACACGCACAAAAUGGAGCUACGGAUGCAGAGAUAUGAUGCGAUGAACAUGGCAAUAAAAUAUGACAGGAAAAGGACUUGGUGGAAUUUCUCACCCUCUGGAAAAGUCAACGGGACGGAGGGAUCUGGGACGACGCGGUACAGGAUGGGGACGAGGGCGCGUUUGGAUGGCCGGGCGGGUGGAUCUCAUCCCACCCGCCGGAUCUGGCCAGGCGGAUCUCCGGCGAGCGGCGCGGUGCUCCGGCGAGGAAGGGGCGGCGGCCAAGGCGGCGGACGGCGGCGGUGGCGCAGGGGCGGCGNNNNNNNNNNNNNNNNNNNNNNNNNNNNNNNNNNNNNNNNNNNNNNNNNNNNNNNNNNNNNNNNNNNNNNNNNNNNNNNNNNNNNNNNNNNNNNNNNNNNNNNNNNNNNNNNNNNNNNNNNNNNNNNNNNNNNNNNNNNNNNNNNNNNNNNNNNNNNNNNNNNNNNNNNNNNNNNNNNNNNNNNNNNNNNNNNNNNNNNNNNNNNNNNNNNNNNNNNNNNNNNNNNNNNNNNNNNNNNNNNNNNNNNNNNNNNNNNNNNNNNNNNNNNNNNNNNNNNNNNNNNNNNNNNNNNNNNNNNNNNNNNNNNNNNNNNNNNNNNNNNNNNNNNNNGGCGCGGGCCUGGGUGGGCCCGACCCGGGCCCGGCGGGCCACGGCGGCGGGAGGAGAGAGAGGGCCGGCGAGGACAGGUGUCGGCGCGGGAUUUGGCCGGGGAAGGCCCGGGCGGAGGCGCGCGGGGCGGAGAGGGACAGGUGGCGGCUGGCGAUUCGACGGGGCGAGCGGGGCGGACGUGUCCGGCCCGGGCGGACGCGUCCGGUGGCGGCGGAGGGCGAUUUUGCUAGGGUUAGGGUAGAAUGAUCCGAAAAUUUCGGGGGAGGUCUAGUUUUAUAGGUAGAGGGAGCUAGGAGAGUCCAAAUGAGACAUGGUUUUCGGCCACGCGAUCGUGAUCGAACGACCGAGAUCAUGGAGGGGAGUUAGAUGGGUUUUGGGCCACUUUGGAAGGGGUGUUGGGCUGCAAAGAGAGAGGGGCUUUACGGUUACCCGGUUAACCGUUGGAGUACCAAACGACCUCCGAAUGGCACGAAACUUGACAGGCGGUCUACCGGUGGUAUACCAAGGCCGCUUGGCAAACCUCGGGCCAUUCCGAGAAAGUUUAACACCCGCUCAUGAAGAGAGGCAGAAGGGGAAAGCCGGAGGGCAUAGGAGUGCCGGAUUGCAAAACGGACAACGGGGAAAAUACUCAGAUGCAUGAGACAAACAUGUAUGCAAAAUGAAAUGCACAUGAUGACAUGAUAAAAUGCAACACGCAAGCAAAAUGACAUGGCAAUGACAGCGAAUAACUGAAGGACACCUGGCGCAUCAAAUUCGGGGCGUUACAUUUUCCCCCUCUAUUUCUUCUCGUCUGAGCGCGCCGCCGUUCUCCCGCAGGUUCAAGGCACCAUGGCCAUGGCGCUCUGAGCCCCAGGACGAAAACAAUUGCCCAUCUGCCUUGCCGCCGGUCGCGAGCACCUCCCCGGCCUCCGUCCCGGCCGGAUCCGGUCCAUCCCGAGCCUCCCGCGGCCGGAUCCACUCUUCUCUCCACCGCGCCCGCAUGCCCCAUGCCGAUCCGGGCCUCCCGUGCAUCUGUCGCCGCCGAUAGCGAGCACCUCCCCGACCUCCGUCCCGGCCGGAUCCGGUCCAUCCCGAGCCUCUUGCGGCCGGAUCCACCCUUCUCUCUACCGCGUCCGCAUGCCCGAUGCAUAUUCCGGCUUCCCCUGCAUCUAUCGCCGCCCCUUGUAGUUGACCUCGCCCGACACCGCCUCGUGCCCUCCGGCGGAGCUCGCCAACUCGCUGGCCUGCCCCGACUUUCCGACGGCAAUUGCUCGCCGUCGCUGCUAUUGUUUGCCCGGCGGCAGAGAGAGGAGACGGGAGAGGAGAGAGAGACUAAUUUUCCUAUUUGGCUUUUUUCUUUUCUAUGUGGCUCGGACCCACUUGUAAGCGUCAUGUUUUUUCUCUUUAUCUUUUCAUUGGACUUGUAAGGAGGGGCAAAAUGGUCCAGAGAAAUAUCUCUCUAACGGUCAAACGCCUUUGACCAAACGGAAUUGGGACGGAAGGGCAAAAGCAUAAGAGAACCAAACGCACUUGGGCUAGACCAAGGGUUUUUGAAAACUAGGGGCAAAACUGCCGAGUGUGACCCAACUAGGGGUAUAAAAUCAAUUAUCCCUUUCUAAAAUACUAGGCCAUAUUUAUUGCACAACUGACCACAUGGUUGGGUGUAAAAACUUUUGAUCCAUCUCUGGUGAAAAAGACAAAUUUCCACUGUUUCAGUUGGAAGCGGGUCAAAUUUGAACUGCAGCUCCCUCAUAGUUUGCUCUUUAUUUUUUCAAAAAAUUAUUUCUAGGUACAUAUGUAUCUAUUUAAUCAGGGAAACACCAAAAAAAUAGAAGAUUCAACCACUAGCUAGGAACGGUCAUUCCCGCCGUUUUGAUCGCAUUUUGAAACGGGCAUAAAAAAAUAAAAAAAAUUCAAAAAAUUGGAAAACCUUCGCAUUGUGUCAUUAUGUAUGACCGAGUUUUCAGGAAAAAUAAUAAACUUGUAAUACUGAAAUUAUUUUAAAAAAUGUUCUCAGAAAUGAGCUAUCAUGCAUGAAGAUUCAUGGCUUUCAAGCCAAAUGAUCAAUCUUAUGGCCACAUUCAUGGCAUAGUUUGUUCAAAUGAUCUCAUAUUGUACACAAGGGUGCAUCUUGGAAUUCCAAACAAUGUUGAUUUGGGGAGUUUUCACUUUCAUUGCACAAAAGAGCCAUUUUCCAUUUUUCGAGUGCCCCAAAUGAGGUUUUUUUGUGAAGAACCUACCAAAUAAUUAUUGCAAAAUUGGACCAAAUCAUUUUUAUAAAAUACUAGGCCAUAUUUAAUGAACAAUUGACCAAAUGGUUGGGUGUAAAAAAAAUUUGAUCCACCUCUGGUGAAAAAGACAAAUUUCUGCCGAUUCAGUUGGAAGCGGGUCAAAUUUGAACUGCAGCUACCUCAUAGUUUGCUCUUUAUUUUUUCCAAAAAUCAUUUCUAGGUACAUAAGUAUCUAUUUAAUUAGAUAAAUAUCAAAAGUUUUCCAAGAUUCAACCACUAGCUAGGAACGGUCAAGCCCGUCGUUUUGACCGCAUUUUGAAACGGGCAUAAAAAUAAAAUAAAAUAAAAAAAUUGGAAGACCUUCGCAUUGUGUCAUUAUAGAUGACCAAGUUUCCAAGAAAAAUAAUAAACUUGUAAUACGGAAAUUAUUUUAAAAAAGUGUUAUCAGAAAUGAGCUAUCAUGCGUGAAGAUUCAUGGCUUUCAAGCCAAAUGAUCAAUCUUAUGGCCACAUUCAUGGCAUAGUUUGUUCAAAUGAUCUCAUAUUGUGCAAAAGGGUGCAUCUUGGAAUUCCAAACAAUGUUUCCUAAGGGAGUUUUCAUUUUCUUUGCACGUAAAAUUCAUUUUCCCUUUUCCGAGUGCCCGAAAUGAGUUCUUUUGUGAAGGACCUACCAUAUAUUUGUUACAAAAUUGGACCUAAUCAAUUUUAUAAAAUACUAGGCCAUAUUUAAUGCACAAUUGACAAAAUGGUUGGGUGUCCAAAUUUUUGAUCCACCUCUGGUGAAAAAGACAAAUUCUCGCCGAUUCAGCUCGAAGCGGGUCAAAUUUGAACUACAGCUGCCUCAUAGUUUGCUAUUUAUUUUUUCUAAAAAUCAUUUCUAGUUACAUAAGUACCUAUUUAAUCAUAAAUACAUGGUUUGGUGGCGAUACGUCGAGGUUUGGAUGGUGGCCGAGGACCCUAACUCUAGAGCGCGUAAACUCGCAUGCCCGCCGCAUGGUCACCGCAUGACCGUGGCGGUGCCAUGUGUUCUGGGCUGCCUAGGCAUGUCUAGUGGGUUGGGCACUCCCCAGGUAGGUGCUAGGAAGAAAAUCACAACAUAAGAUUCUCACGAGGAGACCGAUCGAUGCUCAAAAAUGAAUAAGCAGCCAAGUGUUUGAUUAGCGGUACGGGAAAUGCACAUGGCUAAUGGGUGUGAGUUUUGGUUGAGGAUGAUCAGUUACUAAGAAGACCGUCUUCACAAAUUUUGAGCUCAAAAGGAGGAGCCUAGGUGGUACUCGCUUUGCAAAGUACCACACUGGACAUAAAUACGAAUGUUGAAGCCAGGCUCAAAAUAAUGAAUGGAUUGAGCUAGCAUUUGGUGGAGGAUGGUUAUUUGAGUAGAGGAAAGCACUGUAGAAAAUGGAUACCAUUUGGACAUGCCAAAGUGGUACUUUCUUCACAAAGUGUUUUUCUGAACAGAAUAGGAAAAUGAAUAUUUUUGAAUUAUUUUUGAACUAUACAAGGAAGGUUUUUUACAUAUUUGACGAAGAUAUGACCCAAAGAAUUUAUGAGAUUUUUUUGGGAAUUUUGGGAAUGACAGAAAUAUAGGUUGCUUCACAACCUAGGGCAAAAACUGCCACAUGGACAUGACACAUAGGCAAAACUGAUGAGAUGGCGCCUAGUCAUAGCAACCCACCACAUUUUACAAGGUUAUGACCAUCUAUAUUGGUCAUGAUCAGCUAGAAAUAAGGCAGCGGAGCAGUGCUAUCUGCUUUAUGACCAUUUCGUGUAAGGAAAUUACGACCUUUCUGACCAAAAUGCUUGUUAUAGUUUAGGGUUUGGAGCCCCCCGAAUAGCUUUUGACCAAUUGGUCAGAAAUGGUCAUAGAUUUAUGACCAAUUCUUCCAGGGUCACUGAUAGAAGGUCACUAGUUGCCAUAUUUCUUGUAGUGCCUAGGCAACGCCAUAGGAAAAAAUUAGGGAACUGGAGCACCAGGGCCUCUUUGGUUGGUUGCAUAUUGCUCCUUCCUAGGUUCUACUUUGGCAUGUUUGGAUGCUUGGUCUGCAUUCGGAUUUUGGCAUGAACGUAACUUAAAACACCUCUCAGCGGUGGAACGUCGAGCCGGUGAUGGCUCUCCUUCCUCCCCUCUGCCCCCUCCCACCUUUGGCAUCGUCGGCGUCGGGCUCACUCCCCCCUUCGUCAUCUCCGGCGUCCUCCCGCCGCCUCCGCACGGCAUUGUCCUCUGCCUACUCUCCGCCACCAUAUCCUCGCUCUGUUCUUCACGCCCCUUUCCCCACCAACAGAUUUUGGGCGCUUGGCGAUGAGUCUUCGGAUUCUGAUUCUGAUUCCCCGUCCCCUCCCCGUUCGACGCCAUAGUGCGGCCUGCCCGUGGCCUCGGCUCCGUGUCAGCACCGUAAGUUCGCGCCUGGUGGGCGCGGUCGCCCUGCCCCUGCUGUGUUGGCCGAGGAUGGUUGGACGCAUGUGUCCCGUAGGUGCCGCCGUGCUCCUGCUCCGUCUCCGGCUCAUGGCAUUCUUGAUCCUGGCCGGUGUGUCGCGCCGGCGCCGGUCCCGCUCUCCCCUCCCUCCUCCUCGACGUCUUCUCCGGUCAGGGCUCCGUUCGUUGGCUUGUCGGUGCCCUCGUCGGCGGCGGCUGGGGCGCCUGUAAUCCUAGAUCUGGCGCUGGCUCCUGUGGGGGCGCUAGCUCCUGGGCUGCGGGCCUCAGUUCCGUCUGGUGGCCCUGGUGGGCCGGGGCCCCGCCCCCCUUGCUAGUGUGUCACUCUUUCCCCCUCCCUCUUGUGGCUCUUGGUCCGCGGGUGGCCCAGGCACACUCUCUCGCUCCCCCUUCAGCCCAGCCUGUCGGGCCCGGCCUGGCGCGGUCAGGGUAUAUAUGGGUGCGGAAGGGCUCACUCCCCCCCUUGCUUAGGGUUUCCAGCCUCCUCCUCUGACCUGCGCCGUCAUUGCUUCCCCAUCCGUGUUUUCUCCAAAUCUUCUCCUCCUCCUCCUCUUUCUCUCAACUUCGCGGCAGUCAGAUCGAUGGACCACUCGUGCGGGUCCUCCAGUGAGGUCCUCUCUGUCCAAAAGCGGCGGCAGGAGGGCUCAAUGGAGGGAGAGGCUGAUCUGGAGUAUGAGGCGGCGCUCCGCUCCAAGCUCCACGCUGAUUGAGCCUGGGCGGAGGGGGCGACGAAGGAGCUUGGCGGUCCUCCUUCUCAUGGGUCUGGCUCGGUGGCGGCCGGUCCCUCGGCGCCUCUGGGUGGCGCUGCAUUGCAUGUUGUGGAUCCGUGGGAGGUGGCGACUGCAGCUAGUAGGGCUGGAUAUGCUAGCUCGACUCUGCGGCCCACUCUUCCGUGCAAUACCGCGCCCCCGGCGGGGGCUCCGGUGCGGACUCCAGCGGCUCCUGGGGGGCUCUGCUCGGUCCGUGCCUCGUGGCUCCGUAGGGGCGCCGGACCACCGACCCGCCUCUUGUGGGUGGGGAUCUGGCUCUGCUUCCGGAUCUGCUGGUGAUGGUAUCUUUCCUGCGCCUCCCCCAAGCUCGGCGCGUAUCCCUCCUCCUUCCCAUGUGGCCAACCCCACCCUCACCUGCUUCGCUUGCCACUGUCCUAGCCAUUUCCAAUCUCGAUGCCAAAAUCCCCCCUUCUGUCUCAUCUGCAGAGAGGACGGCCAUCUUACGGUCGAUUGCCAGAAUCGCACUAAACCCCCAACCUUUGUUCAAUAUGGUUUUGGUCUUCCUGGAUGUUCCUUGUUCGCUCUCGACCGUGAGGUUCCUGUAGUGGUUCCCAUUCCUGCUCUCUCAAACUCUGGUAUCAUUACCGUCAAGGACAAGCUUAUCUCCCCCCAGAUUCUUCUCGACGAACUUCGCCUAUGGGACGAUGGAGGUUGGGAUUGGCAGAUUCGCCAGCUUUCAGAGUUUGAGUUCGCUGCUUUGUUACCCUUCAAAGAAAGUUUGCGUAUGAUUCCUUCAUGCUCCAGUUUCACUCUCCCCCUCAACCAUCUGGUUGUAUCUGUCAAUGAGACCUCCAAUGGAUCGAAAGCAAACUCCUUCUUGACUGAAGUUUGGGUCCUAGUCGAUGAUGUCCCACCUUCGCUUUGUUCCGCUGCUUUCAUCAUGGCUUUUGGUGUUCUCAUUGGAAAACCUAUCGAGGUCGAUCCGGAAUCCCUGGCUGUCUUGGGCCCUGUGCGUCUGCGCCUGUGGUGUGUGGAUCCUCUCUGCAUUCGCGGCUCCAUCGAUGUUUUCCCCUCUGCUGGUGGUUUUUGUCUCAGGGUCCGGGUCGAGGGUGACGUGGCUCCGGUGUCGCCCCCGCCCCCGCCCCCCCCCCCGCCCAGCCUUAGGUAACGAUGACAAGGGCAAGGAUGAUGAUGGCCUUCCGGAUGAUUCUCUCCAUGGCAAUGAGCAUCGCUUUACCCAGUCGGAGUGGGAUGGCCUAUCCCUGAAGAUCGUGACUUGCUCAAGGAGAAUGCCCUGGUGGGUGGAAACAAGGACUCGCUGCUCGGCGCCAGUGGGGGACUACGGCCUCUGGUGGAGCUAGGGGUACCCCAUUCUCUGGUGGGUGCUCCAACCGCCCAGCCCGAACCUCCUCCCGUUCCCUCUCUGGUAUUGCAGAUAUGCCCCCAUCUGGUUCCUUGGCCACGAGAAAGAAGAAGAAGUCGUCUGUUAAGAAGUUCUCCGCGUGCAGUAGGGCUUCUGGUGAUUCCAAGCAGUCUGUGGCAGGACUUUGUGGUAGGAUUGAUGCUGAUCUAGGUGCGGCAUCGGGUCCUUCGGCGGCGGCAGCUUUCCCGAGCUAGUCCCGCCCCACGCUGUUGCGUUCACCUACUUCCACUGCCCGCAAGAGCGGCCGCGUCUCCAACAGCGGCGAGCGGGUUGCUGAUCGGGCGGCGCUGCACGCUGCGGCUAGUGCUUUGCCCCCCUCGGGUACUCCCCCAUGCUCCCCUCCCCCUUUUGUUCCUGCUUCUUCCCAUGUUCGUCUAGUGCUUCUGUCGCAGUCCAACGAUCACCUUUUGCAUAUCUUAGAGGACGUAGGCAUAUCUUGUGACCCAAGUUUCGGUUCUCCUUCUUCUUUAUUGGACAUUAUCUGGGCUAAUGAAGUGGCUCAGCCGAAUAUUGCUAGGGCCAAGGAGGAUGCCUCAGGGGCUAUCGCCCCACUGGUUGUGGCCGGUGGGGUCGAGGAGGGACCUGAUAGGGAUCAGGUGCUCUCUGUUGUGCCUCGGCGCGGGGCUGGCAAACAUUCUAAACCCUACAUCGCCCCAAGCAGGUCGAGUCUUCGCAUUAGAAACCUAUCUCAUCGAUGAAGGCCUUGUUUUGGAAUAUUAGGGGUUUCGGUGCUAUGGGCGCCGGGACCAGAUAAAAGACCUUGUCCGCGCUGAGAAUAUUGAUAUCAUUGGCCUUGUUGAAACUCUGAAACCUUCCUUUUCCCCGAAUGAACUGUUGUUGCUGGGAUCGAUGGGUUUGACUGGAAUCAUGUGGCAUCGUGUGGGCACUCAGGCGGUAUUCUUAUUGGCACCAAAAGAGAUUUGUUUGAUUUUGUUGCUUUCGCUCAUGGCAUCUUUUGGGCUAGUACUGUGGUUUCUCUUCACUCCCUCAAUUCUCUGUUGGAAGUUAUGGUUGUUUAUGGUCCGGCUGACCACUCCCUCUCUCUUAUAUCUUCUUGGAUGAAAUUCAGAAUAAAAUUGAGUCUUGUGACCUCCCUUUGCUUAUUGGAGGAGACUUUAAAUUGAUGCGCUCCCCUCUGGAUAAAAACUCGCCUAACUUUUCUUGUCCGCUUGCUAACGCGUUUAAUGUGUUCAUUUGGGACACUGCUAUCCGCGAAAUACCUAGGGUUGGUGCCCGGUAUACAUGGAUGAAUCGCCAAUCGGCUUCCAUUCGAUCUGUUCUCGAUCGUGUCUUCAUUUGCCCCAGGUGGGACUCCCUGCUUCCUCGGGCUUCCCUCCGGGCUCUGCCCAUCGUGGGGUCUGAUCACUCGCCUCUGAUUCUUGAUGACGGGACUGAUUCUGUCUCCUUCCUACGUUUUCAGUUCGAUGCUUCUUGGAUCCUGGUAGAGGGUUUUGUCGACCUAAUAGCGAAUAAGAUCUCAUCUUUUUUAUCUUCUGCUCAUCGCUCUUUCGGGCCGACGGAUGACUGGCACAAAUGCUCUUAUUUCCUUCAUAAAUUUCUUUGUGGAUGGGCUAAGAACCACGCUACUGAGUCCAGGCAUGACAAGGCUCGGCUUGCUGCCCAAAUUGGUCUCCUCGAUGCUCGCACCGAUAGCUCUGGGCUUUCCCCCUCUGAUUGGCAGGCUCACUAUGAUCUAGAAGCAGCCCUUUUGGCCCUGCAUCGUCAGGAGGAAAUGUAUUGUAGACAAAGGGGUGCCAUAAAUUGGACUUUAAAAGGCGAUUCUCCUACUGCGUACUUCUUCGCCAUCGCCAAUGGUAGGCGUCGCCGCUGCCUGAUCGAUAGCUUGCUUAUCAAUGGUGUCAGGGUCUCCGACCAAUCCGAGAUUAUGUCGGACAUGGUCAAUUUAUUCUCUUCUCUCCUCGUUGCUAAACCUGAGGUGGGUUUUAGUCUGGCCAAUUCCUUCUGGACCUCUCAGGACCAAAUUGCAAUCAAUGAUAAUGAAGCCUUGUUGAUCCCCCUCUCUGACGAGGAGAUUUUCGAUUCGAUUCGCUCUGCCAACUCUAAUGCGGCUUCAGGUCUUGAUGGUUUCUCCUUCCUCUUCUUUAAGCUAUUUUGGCCCUAGUUGAGGGGCCUUGUUCAGGCAAUCAUUCAAGGAUUUUGGUUGCUACCGUUGAUAUUUCUGAGUUGAACUAUGCGGUGCUCACUCUUAUUCUUAAAGUCAAAGGGGCGGACCUGAUCACUCAAUUUAGACCUAUUGCCUUGAUCAACAACUUUGCAAAGUUACCAUCUAAAGGCUUUGCCACUAGACUCUCCCCUAUCACUCAUCGCUCUAUUAGCCCUUUUCAACCGGCUUUCAUAAAGGGCAGGUUCAUUCUGGAUGGUGUUCUAUGUCUCCAUGAGAUCGCCCAUGACUUGCGAGUUCGGGGCACCAAGGCAGUGAUUCUCAAACUUGACUUUGAAAAAUCUUAUGACUCAGUCAGUUGGAAGUUUCUCCAGCAAGUGCUUCUUGCUAAGGGUUUUGAUGGCACAAUGGUCCACAAGCUUAUGCAGUUGGUCACGGGUGGCCACACUACUGUGUCGGUUAAUGGAUAGAUUAGUAAUUUCUUCACCAACGGCAAUGGCCUAAGGCAGGGUGAUCCGGCCUCUCCCCUUCUUUUCAACUUUGUCGCUGAUGCUCUCUCUCAUAUUCUAUCCCGGGCAGUUGUAGCUGGCCACAUCAAACCUGUUAGCUCUCAGCUUGUUCCGAAUGGCAUCUCUCACCUUCAAUAUGCGGAUGACACUAUCAUUAUGUUCGAACUAAAUGAGGCUAGCAUUACCCAUCUGAAAUUCCUACUCCUGUGUUUUGAAGCUUUCUUUAGCCUUAAAAUCAAUUUUGCUCAAAGCGAAGUCAUUGUUAUUGGGGCUUCGAACGUCGAGGCUCAAAGAGUUGCUCAUUUCCUCAACCGUUCCCUAGGCUCCUUUCCUUUUCAAUAUCUUGGCCUUCCGAUCUCUCCCAACAAAUUGCUGGCUAAAGACUUUGCCCUGGCUGUCACUAAGGUGGGAAACCGGGUCUUGCCGUGGAGAGGCCGUUAUAACACCCAAGCGGGCAAGGUUGCCCUCACCAAUGCUUGUUUGUCUUCUCUCCCCAUGCUCCCGAUGGGUUUUUUCCUUCUAUCUGGAGGGAUCCACGGUGGCUUUGACAAGCAUAGGGGGUGCUUUUUACUGGAAUUCUGCCGACAAUAGGCGCAAAUACAGGAUGGUGAAAUGGAAAUUCAUAUGUUGGCCCAAGAACAUGGGAGGUUUAGGUAUCAUUAAUAUGUCUGUCACGAACAAGUGCCUCAUUCUAAAGUGGUGGUGGAAGAUCAUGUCUUCUGUGGAGUGCCCUCUGUGGCUAUCCAUUCUCAAGACUAAAUACUUCCCGGACUCGAGCCCCAUGUUUGCUUCCUCCUCUAGUGGCUCCCAGUUCUGGCUCCAGCUCGUUAACGUUCGUGCGGUUUUUCAAUCCUUGGUCAAGUUUGUAGUUAGGAAUGGUAAGUCUACUCGCUUCUGGUUAGAUUGGUGGUGCGGGGACUCCACCCUCACAGUGGCGUUCCCGGUCUUAUUUUCUUAUUGCUCUGAUCCGGAGAUCUCUAUCUUUGAGCUCUCGCUAAAUAACUGGGAUCUAGACCUCCGUAGAACUCUUUCUCCGGAAGAGUUGGAAGACUGGCAUCGCCUUACUGCUUGCUUCCCCAUGCUCUCGGACGAAGAAGACUUGGUUGUCUGGCCCCACUCCUCUUUUGGUUGCUUUUCGGUUAAGUCCACCUACACUAAACUUAUAUCUCGCUCCCCUACGUCCAAGUUCAAGUGCAUCUGGAGUGCCCGUAUUCCCCCUAAGAUCAAAAUCUUCAUGUGGAAAUCUUUCCGUGGGAAACUUCCCGCGACUGAUCAAAUUCGGAAAAGGAACGGUCCGGGUUCUGAGAGAUGCACUUUAUGUGGGGCCAUUGAAAACACUGAGCAUAUUUUCUUUAUUGCUCUUUGGCUAAGUUUGUUUGGUGAUGCAUCCAUUUUUUGCUCCAAGUUAAUUGGAAUCCUUCGUGCUUCGAGGACUUGCGGCGUAUGUCUAGUGGCUUAUCUGAAGUGUCUAAAAUGGUAUUCUGGGUCGGGUUUGCAGCGAUUUGUUGGUCGUUGUGGACUACUAGAAACAAGUUUACUAUUGUAUCUACCUUCCCGGCUAACCCUGUGAGCUGCUUAUUUAAAUCUGGUGUAUUUCUGCAGUAGUGGAGAUUAUUGAUUAAGGAAGCGAACCUCGAGGCUUUUGACGCAAUGGUAUCCAAGAUUCGAUCUAUGACUUCCUCCUUGUAUCGACGAUAUCGGGCGGCGCCUUAAUUAAUUCCCUUCUCCAUGUCUUUCCCGAGAUGGCCUGUGUGCCAUGAUUGGCUAGAUAGCCAUGUAUGUGAACCUUCUUAGCUGUUUCUUUGCUACUUUGUUGGCUUGGUGUUUGGUUGUGUUACUCUGCCUGGUGGCUUUAUUUAUAAAGUCGGGCAUAUGCCUUUUUUCUAAAAAAACAUCUCUCAGCUAGGCCCCUAGGAAUGGAUCAAUCAGGCAUUUCCUCUCAACCAGGCUCUCAGCAUUCAGGGGAGGGAAACGCAACGGUGAGCACAUGUGACCUCGCACGCAUCCCAAUAUAAUUAUAGGAGGAAUUGGAUCACCUCCUGCCAAUUUAGUCACCCUAUUUACUCCCCGCUCGCUCACUGCUGAAACCCCGCCACCAUUUCCUCCUCUUCACGCUCUCCAUCUCGGGCAGAUUCUUCACCAAUGAGCAGUUAUAAGCGCAUCUUCUCAGGUCCGCGGUGGUCCGCGACAUCAAUCGUUCUUCCUCCUCUUCCCCGAGCUAUUGCGUGCCUUCCUCCUUGCUCCAUUGAUGGAUGUAAGUUAAAUCACUCCCUACCUAUUGUACCUUAGAUAUGUGAGCAUGUUGUAGGAGUAGUUUUGAAGGUAGUAUGAUAGGCCUUAUAUAUGUGAUCAUGUGAUGAUGUGGUAGAACAGAUGAUAGUGUUGUCGAUUUGCUGGCAUGCUAGGUUUUGCUUCUCAACAUUUUUGAUGUUCAUGUUAUUGUGGUAGAUGUGGCAAUAUAUUCACCUGGAUGAUAGGAUGUGCAGUAUAGUUGUAUGGUAGAUAGGUAGAUGUGGUAGUGUGUUGAACUUCAUUUUCAGUCAAUGCUAGUUUGCUCCAUGUGUAAUAUGCAUUGUCUUUAUUCAGUGGUCCUGAUGCUAACCGCUGUAGGACAUUAACAGUGCAAUACACUGGGGGUGGCUUGCCUAGAGGAAGCCUAACAAGAGGCCCAUCAUGGGGCCCGUAUGGCUCGAAGAGAGCUCAAUAACAGGAGAGAUCCCGGAGGCCUUGCUGGAGCUCAAUGAUCAUCUUGGAGUGCAAGCCAAGCAAGGCGGCGGCUGGAGGAUUAGCCAGAGGGACCUACUCAUAUAGAAACAUACUCUUGAUAGCCAUAAAUCAUCCUCCGUUGUGACCCUCACACGAGGUACUCCACCUUGAGUACAAACUAGAAGCAGGACGUAGGGUGUCCUCCAGGAGGGGGGGCUUGAACAUGGGUAACUAACUCGUGUGACCUCUGUUUUGGCAGUUCUAGUCGUGUUAUCCACCCUAUCGAGGGUACUGAUGGUUCUACAUACCGUCUGAUGGCACGCCAAGCAGUGGCUACGCUGGUUGGAGAACAAACCAAGACUGGAUCUUUGUUCAUCCCAAACGACUACAUGUCGAGCCAAACCUUCACUUUCGGCUCCUUCGGGCUCGAAGUCGACGACGACCAUGGACUGCACUACAAUGUUCCCAUCGGUGUCAUGCACUUUGGAAAACUCGAAUUCCACUUCGAUCGACAAGGCGAUAUAGUAUGCCUCCGUGCUCCUCCUAUUGGGAAACAUAGCAUGCAAUUUCAGAAAAUUUCCUACGCUCACGCAAGAUCUAUCUAGGAGAUGCAUAGCCCCUUAGGGAGCAUGUCUCUUCUCCUCUUUCCUUCCCCCUCUAUUUUGGCCUACAUGGGGCGCACCAGCCCCUUAGGGGCUGGUCUGUCACACUCUUGUCCCAUUAGGCCCAUGUAGUUGUCGGGGGGAUGCCCGGAACCCCUUCCGAUGACCCGAUACGUAACCGGUACCCCUGGAACACUUCCAGUGUCCGAAUACUAUCGUCCUAUAUCUCAACCUUUACCUCUCGACAAUUUCAAGACUCCUCGUCAUGUCUGUGAUCUCAUCCGGGACUCUGAACAACAUUCGGUCACCAAAUCACAUAACUCAUAUAAUACAAAUCGUCAUUGAACGUUAAGCGUUUCGGACCCUACGGGUUCGAGAACUAUGUAGACAUGACCGAGACACCUCUCCGGUCAAUAACCAAUAGUGGAAUCUAGAUGUUCAUAUUAGCUCCCUCAUAUUGUAUGAAGAUCUUUAUCAGUCGGACCAUUAUGACAACAUACGUUAUUCCCUUUGUCAUUGGUAUGUUACUUGCCCGAGAUUCGAUCAUCGGUAUCUUCAUACCUAGUUCAAUCUUGUUACUAGAAAGUCUCUUUACUCAUUCUGUAAUGCAUCAUCCCGCAACUAACUCAUUAGUCACAUUUCUUGCAAGGCUUCUUAUGAUGUGUGUUAACGAGAGAGCCCAGAGAUACCUCUCCGAUACUCGGAGUGACAAAUCCUAAUCUCGAUCUAUGCAAACGCAACAAACACCUUCGGAGAUACCUGUAGAGCAUCUUUAUAAUCACCUAGUUAUGUUGUGACGUUUGAUAGCCCACAAGGCAUUCCUCCGGUAUCCGUAGUUGCAUAGUCUCAUAGUUGGAGGAAUAUGUAUUUGACAUGAAGAAAGCAGUAGCAAUAAACUGAACAAUCAUUAUGCUAAGCUAACAAAUGGGUCUUGUCCAUCACAUCAUUCUCCUAAUGAUGUGAUCCCAUUCAUCAAAUUACAACACAUGUCUAUGGUUAGGAAACUUAACCAUCUUUGAUUAACGAACUAGUCAAGUAGAGGCAUACUAGGGACAUGGUGUUUUGUCUAUGUAUCCACACAUGUAUCAAGUUUUUGGUUAAUAUAAUUCUAGCAUGAAUAAUAGACAUUUAUCAUGAUAUGAGGAAAUAUAAAAUAACAACUUUAUUAUUGCCUCUAGGGCAUAUUUCCUUGAGUCUCCCACUUGCACUAUAGUCAAUAAUCUAGUUCACAUCGCCAUGUAAUUUAACACCAAAAGUUCACAUCUGUAUGUGAUUAACACACAUAGUUCACAUCGCCAUGUGACUAAUACCCAAAUGGUUUACUAGAGUCAAUAAUCUAGUUCACAUCGCUAUGUGAUUAACACCCAAAGAGUACUAAGGUGUGAUCAUGUUUUUCUUGUGAGAAGUUUUGUCAAUGGGUCUGCCACAUUCAGAGUCGUAUUUAUUUUGCAAAUUUUCUAUGUCUACAAUGCUCUGCAUGGAGCUACUCUAGCUAAUUGCUUCCACUUUCAAUAUGUAUCCAGAUUGAGAUUCAGAGUCAUCCGUAUCGGUGUAAAAGUUUGCAUCGACGUAACUCUUUAUGACGAACACUUUAUCACCUCCAUAACCGAGAAAUAUUUCCUUAGUCCUCUUAGGUAACUCAGGAUAACUUUGAGCGUUGUCCAGUGAUCCACUCCUGGAUCACUAUUGUACCCCCUUGCCAAACUCAUGAUAAGGUACACAAUAGGUCUGGUACACAACAUAUCAUACUUUAUAGAACCUAUGGAUGAGGCAUAGGGAAUGACUUUCAUUCUCUUUCUAUUUUCUGCUAUAGUCGGGUUUUGAGUCUUACUCAACUUUACACCUUGCAACAUAGGAAAGAACUCCUUCUUUGACUAUUCCAUAUUGAACUACUUCAAAAUCUUGUCAAGGUACAUACUCAUUGAAAAAUCUUAUCAAGCGUCUUGAUCUAUCUCUAUAGAUAUUUAUGCCCAAUAUGUAAGCAGCUUUACCGAGGUCUUUCUUUGAAAAACUCCUUUCAAACUCUCCUUUAUGCUUUCCAGAAAAUUCUAUCAUUUCCGAUCAACCAUAUGUCAUUCACAUAUAAUUAUCAGAAAGGUUAUAGUGCUCCCACACACUUUCUUGUAAAUACAGGCUUCACAAGUCUGUAUAAAACUAUAUGCUUUGAUGAACUCAUCAAAGCGUAUAUUCCAACUUCGAGGUGCUUGCACCAGUCCAUAGAUGGAUCGCUGGACCUUGAACAUUUUGUUAGCACCUUUAGGAUUGACAAAACCUUCUGGUUGCAUAAUAUACAACUCUUUUUAAUAAAUCCAUUAAUGAAUGCAGUUUUGAUAUUCAUUUGCCAGAUUUCAUAAAAUGUGGCAAUUGCUAACAUGAUUCGGAUAGACUUAAGCAUUGAUAUGAUUGAGAAAAUCUCAUCGUAGUCAACACCUUGAACUUGUCGAAAACCUUUUGCGACAAUUCGAGCAUUGUAGAUAGUAACACUACCAUCACCAUCCGUCUUCCUCUUGAAGAUCCAUUUAUUUUCUAUGGCUCGCCGAUCAUCGGGCAAGUAAACCAAAGUCCACACUUUGUUCUUAUACAUGGAUCCUAUCUCAGAUUUCAUGUCCUCAAGCCAUUUAUUGGAACCCGGGCUCAUCAUCGCUUCUUCAUAGUUCAUAGGUUCAUCAUGGUCUAGUAACAUGACUUCCAAAACAGGAUUACCGUACCACUAUGGUGCGGAACGUGCUCUGGUUGACCUACGAGGUUUAGUACUAACUUGAUCUGAAGUUUCAUGAUCAUUAUCAUUAGUUUCCUCUCUAGUUGGUUUAGGCAUCACGGGAACGGUUUUCUGUGAUGACCUACUUUCCAAUUCGAGAGAAGGUAUAAUUACCUCAUCAAGUUCUACUUUCCUCCCACUCACUUCUUUUGAGAGAAACUCCUUCUCUAGAAAGGUUCCAUUCUUGGCAACAAAGAUCUUGCCUUCGGAUCUAUGAUAGAAGGUGUACCCAACUGUUUCCUUAUGGUAUCCUAUGAAGACACACUUCUCUGAUUUGGGUUUGAGCUUGUCAGGCUGAAGCCUUUUGACAUAAGCAUCGCUACCCCAAACUUUAAGAAAUGACAACUUAGGUUUAUUGCCAAACCACAAUUCAUACGGUGUCGUCUCAACUGAUUUUGACGGUACCCUAUUUAACAUGAAUGCAGCUGUCUCUAAUGCAUAACCCCAAAACAAUAGUGGUAAAUCGUUAAGAGACAUCAUAGAUCUCACCAUAUCUAAUAAAGUACAGUUACGAUGUUCAGACACACCAUUACGCUAUGGUGUUUCAGGUGGCGUGAGUUAUGAAACUAUUCCACGUUGUUUUAAAUGAAGGCCAAACUCGUAACUCAAAUAUUCGCCUCCACGAUCAGAUCGUAGAAACUUUAUUUGUUGUUUCGAUGAUUCUCCACUUCACUAUGAAAUUGUUUGAACUUUUCAAAUGUUUCAGACUUGUGUUUCAUUAAGUAGAUAUAUCUGCUUAAAUCAUCUGUGAAGGUCAAAAAAUAACGAUACCCACCACAUGUCUCAACACUCAUAGGACCACAUACAUUGGUAUGUAUUAUUUCCAAUAAGUCAUUGGUUCGCUCCAUUGUUCCGGAGAAUGUAGUUUUACUCAUGUUCCCAUGAGGCAUGGUUCGCAAGUAUCAAAUGAUUCAUAAUCAAGUGAUUCCAAAAUCCCAUCAGCAUGUAGUUUCUUCAUGCGCUUUACACCAAUAUGACCUAAGCGGCAGUGCCACAAAUAUGUUGCACUAUCAUUAUAAACUUUGCAUCUUUUGGCAUCAAUAUUACGAAUAUGUGUAUCACUAUGAUCGAGAUUUAAUAGACCAUUAAUAUUGGGUGUAUGACCAUAGAAGGUUUUAUUCAUGUAAACAUAAUAACAAUUAUUCUCUGUUUUAGAUGAAUAAUAGUCUUGCAAUAAACACAAUCCUAUCAAGUUCAUGCUCAACGCAAACACCAAAUAACAUUUAUUUAGGUUCAACACUAAUCCCGAAAGUAUAGGGAGUGUGUGACGAUGAUCAUAUCAAUCUUGGAACCACUUCCAACACACAUCGUCACUACACCCUCAACUAGUCUCCAUUUAUUCUGUAACUCUUUUUUUGAGUUACUAAUCUUAACAACCGAACAUGUAUCAAAUACCCAGGGGCUACUACGAGCACUAGUAAGGUACACAUCAAUAACAUGUAUAUACAAUAUACCUUUAUUCACUUUGCCAUCCUUCUUAUCCGCCAAAUAUUUGGGGUAGUUCCGCUUCUAGUGACCAUUCCCUUUGCAGUAGAGGCACUCAGUUUCAGUCUUAGGUCUGGCUUUGGGCUUCUUCACGGGAGUGACAACUUGCUUUCCAUUCUUCUUGAAGUUCCCUUUCUUUCCCUUUGCCCUUUUCUUGAAACUAGUGGUCUUGUUAACCAUCAUCACUUGAUGCUCUUUCUUGAUUUCUACCUUCGCCGACUUUAGCAUCAUGAAGAGCUUAGGAAUCUUUUUCGUUAUCCCUUGCACAUUAUAGUUCAUCAGAAAGUUUUAGUAGCUUGGUGAUAGUGACUAGAGAACUCUGUCAAUCACUAUCUUAUCUAGAAGAUUAACUCCCACUUGAUUCAAGCGAUUGUAGUGUCCAGACAUUAUGAGCACAAGCUCACUAGCUGAGCUAUUCUCCUCCAUCUUGUAGGCAAAGUACUUGUUAGAGGUCUCAUACCUCUCGACACGGGUGUCGGUGUUCUGGAGAUGGGGGUUCCUAGACUUGCCUGCCUGCGGCCCACUGCAUGGCUCCAUCGACGGCCUGGUACGGCCCAGCUUCAGCAUCAACAAACUCAAGACCCUCGCGAGGCAGACAACCCCAAGACCUCUAAGGGGAUCGGCCUCCUUAGGCUGGCUCCAAAGGAGCGAAGACUUCUAUGCAAGGUGCACCUCGCGAGGCUCAGCUGACGUGAGCCAUGACAACCAAGGCCAGGCGGGCGCCAGCGGGCGCCGAGUACUAGUUUCCUCUUUGGUGCAAGGGAGCCAAGAAGCAGGCAGUGAGUCCUGAGGAAUCAGCCAAAGGUUUCUAUUCUGGUGCAACGAGACCAAGACCGCCAGGAUGGCAGGACGGAGGUCAUCGCCAAGCCCACAGCAGCGUCACAACCAGGGGCUUUUGUAGGCGAAGACCGCUUUAGUCAGGAUAGGGUGUACUUGUGCCCCUUCAUAUCUGGCCAUUGUGGGAUCCCUUCCCGCCAACAUUUGGGAAGAGGACCAAGGCCACUAUAAUAGGACUUAGCCACCACCAUAGAGGGGAUCAAAUCCAUUCUAAUCUGACCACCUCACCAGCUCUCUCGAGCUCAAGAACACCUCACCUCCUGAGGUUGUUCAUCCACUGUACUAGUUCAUCCUCAGCCCCUCGAGUCAAUCCACCAAAAAGCUGGAGUAGGGUAUUACACGGCAAGGUGGCCCAAACCAGGAUAAACUGUUGUGUCUCUCUAUCCCUUUGAGCUCGACGCGCUAGGCUGUGAGGAUCGCGAGUUGGCAUGCUUGGUAGGUUGAGAUAUCUGCACACUCCCCAGAGUUUGAACCUCUCAAGGUUUUUGGAACCCGAAAUCCGACAUUUGGUGUGCCAGGUAGGUGUGCAUCAGAUCUUCUCUUCUAUCGACCGGUCCUCCGCUGCUCCACCGACACCCUGGCCGAGGCCCCGAGAGCCCACGUUGAGCACUAGGUUGUCAGGGCUUCUUCAACAGCAACUACCGACAAGGAAGACCUCCACUCCGCGCUGCUCGCAGCCUGCACUCUGUCUGGGGGCGACCACCGUGGGAGGCGAGGACCGCACCCCCCUCCUCUAGCGCCGCGUCGCAGCCGCCCCGCCACGCGAUCUUCAAGCGACGCAACCGCAACAGCACCUCACACUUGCCGGGAGCAGGCGAACAUGUUGGCUGCAGUCAACGUGGCUCGAGAACUGCUAAGGUGGAGGCUGGCAGAAAGCGGCUGUGACGCCCUGCUGGAGCGAUUUGCCGGGUUGCUGGAUGCAGCAUGCAGGGUCGCAACACCAUUCUACACCCUGCCCACGUCGCAAGGUGUGGCGGGGGAGCGCGCUCACCCUCGCCACACCCGCGCACCCAGUGGCGGAGCCAGGAAAUAUGUAUUAGGGGGGCCAAGUGCUGCUAAAAUAAGUUAGGGAGGGCCAAACUAUAGCAAAAUAGAUUUUCAGCAGCAAAAGAUUACUAAUGAUGUCACUGUUCAUAGCAGAUUAGCAGCAAAAUCCAGAUGUUAGGGGGGGCCAAGGCCCCUACUGGUCCCCCUGUCUCCGACACUGCGCGAGCCCCCUCCCAUGCCCCCUGAAGAGCCUCUCGGCGCCGGCCUACCUCACGGCGCAGCCCGCACUGCUUCGACCAUGCCACCUAGGUGCGGGGCGACUCCGAGCAACCUCCCCUGGGGCUGUGCUGGGGCACCAGCCCUCAGUCACCAGAAUGUGACGACGAUCGCAGGGGCUGGAAGUGCGAGACAAGCGGGCAGAGACUCAGGCAUGGCCAGCCCGGAAGCAUAUGUGCCCAUCGCAAUGGACCUGAGGUAUGCGCCGGGAGAAGGCCCCAGUCGAUCUCCCAGGCCAGGCUGGGCGCUGGAGAUAUACGAAGUCGAGGCUCUUUGCGAGCCGCUGCAAGGCUCCAGCAACAUAUUCGACAGCAACAACUACUGGGUACAACUAACGCCUCAGGAGCACGCUUGUGAUAACCAUGGAUCGCAGGUGAACCAGGGCACAGCCAUCGCCAAGGCUCCCAGGGCAGCGGCCCAGCCACAGGAACAUGAAGGGCCUUGGGAGCAGCGUGGGGGAGCCCAGGGCCAGGGCCUCCCCCACGCUGUGUGGAGCAAGACGCUGCUCGGAGGUAGGUCCCCCGCCGGGGAAGGUGCUGGCAAGCCUUUCCCCCAGCGGAGGGCCUACGGUCACCGAGGGCGCCGCCAGCGUCCCCCUUGCCCCUUUGUCUCGUCCUAGUUUCCAGACUCCCCAACGGUGGUCGUGGGUGGCGCAGGGUGGGGUCCUCGUCGGGCGACAUGAAGCAAGGCUCCAACCUGUGAAGGUCUCUGCUCAUGACACUCUCACAUAAUAAUGAGUGGGGUUGUACAUGCCCCGGAGUCUCCUGAGUGUCGCCCUGGGGCCUCAUGGGGGCUCCCACCCAUGUCCAAGUGGAAGCACCAUGCUCCGCACUGGUCAUCAACACUGUCCCCCAAUGACUAUGCCCACGCCCAGAGGAAGCACUUAGCUCCGCGCUAGUGAGAAGACCUAAAGACUAGCUAGACGCCAGACGUGGCCGUUUGCUUUCGCCUCUCUUUUUGUACCCAAUUCACUCGCUUUUUGGAAUGAACUUGGCUCUUGUGCAUUUACCAAAAGAAAAAUGGGGGGAAGUUUUCUUGUCUUGCGUCAUUCUCUCGCUUUCUGGUUUCAUGUUUUUGAGCGAGGCUCGUGCCUGCUGCCCCUCCCCCAAGUACCUCGUGAGCGGGGGUUGGGUGCAGUGCGCGCGCGUCGAGCAUGAUCAGACCGGCCCCGAGCAUACAAAGGCUACCCCCGGGGACCAGUGAUGCGGCCACCACAUGCGUACCUAGCCGUGGUCCGGCAGUUAGUCCCUCGCGAGGCACUCUAGGACAGGUCAGCAGGCUCCUCGGGGGGGCCAGACCCUCGCGAGCCUACGACAGGCUCUCCGCGAGGAGACAAGUGUUUCUACGGCAUUAGGGCUCACACGAGACCCACGGAGCGAAAGAUAAGUCAUAACAACCACCCUGCCUGAGGCUGCAGACCUGAAGGGUCGCACCACAGGCGCUACUUCAAAAGCAUUUCAUAAUCAUAUACAUCGCAAGGGGGCCCCGCUUUCGAAAUGCUCUCACUAGGAGGUGUUCAAGUUUUGGUCAUACAGGUUAAAGCAAAAAAGAAGUACGGGCCUAACUGAGUGUGCCCUCUUCAUCACCUCCAUCCGCGCCGCAUGCACUACCCGCGUUGUCACGGCCAUUCUCUUCAUCAUCGCUGCAUGUGGCACCUACUCUGGCCGCAAGCACAACCGUGUCAUCCUCAGGAGCAAACUCUUCCACCAGGGCGUCCACAUGGUCAUCCACCCACCUAGCUAGUCUGUCCUGAGUAGCCGCGGGCACGGGGGCUAGCACAACACUGAAGUCGAAGUGGGAAUCGCGGCUGAGGAGGUUGCUGAAGACACACAAGAACGCGUGCUCAAGAAGGCCCUCGCUCCUCUCCCAAACAAGCUUGUGAGCCCUCGUGGCCCGGUCCACCAGGCGGGUCACAAUGUCGAUGAAGAAGUUGAGGUGGCUGGCAUAGUCCUUCUCGUGCGGAUGAGGAGCGCUCUUGUCACAGAUGGUGCCCAAGGUGCGGUUAGCUCUGGCUCAGAGAUCCUGGAGAAUCAGCCAUGCUCGCCUUGCAGCGUGAGGCGACGGUUCGCUUUGUUCGCAGUCCUCUCCACAAGGAAUGCAGUAUCCUUGACCUGCUGCUGAAGGGAGGAUAACUCGGCGCGGGCAGAGGCCAAGGUGGAUUCAGAAGAAGCCAGAGCCUCCUUGGCGGCAUUCUCACGGUGUUCCGCAGAUUCCAACUUCACCUUCAGGGUGGUGGUCCUGCCCUCAAGCUUGGCUUUGAGCAGCUCCAGCUCCAGGUGGUGCCCUUCAGCCAGGUCCGCGCGUGCCUUCGUCACCUUCUCCUCAACCUCCACUUGGAACCGGGCUUCUCAGGCAGCGACAGCGUCCUCAUCCGUGGCCGCCUGGCGCUCCCUCACCUCCAGUCGCUCCGACACCGGGCUAUGCUCCGCAGCCUCCAGUGCCAGGUUAUCUUGGCGCCUCAGAAGUUCCGCCUCAACGAGAGGUGCUUCACCCGGUGAAGCGGCCAGGAGGGCACGCCGCACCUCGAUCUCCUGCCCAAGGGCGGCGUUUGAAGACAGGAGCUCCCGCUCUCGCUCCUCGACUGCCUCACAAUGGCGGUUGGCAGCUUUGGCAUCCUCCAGGGCGCGGGCGCAAGCAUCACGAGAAGUGGCGAGGGAGGCUGCCGCACGCACGUCGGCCUGAUCGCGCCGAAGCUGCCCAAGGUUGAUGGCGACCUUCAGCUAGUGCCAUUCACAUGCCAACUGUUGGUUAUCUACCUCGAGCCGAGUGUCGAUGUCGGCCAGCUCUCCACCAAGCCGGAUACUUGCGUGCAUCGCCUCAUCGAAGAACUCGAAGCGGACAGCACUGCGCUCGUGUGUGACUGCCAGCACGCGGCCAAGCCCUUCUUCAGCCCCAGGAGCCAUCGAAGGGGCGUGGGAUGUCUCGCCUACCUCCGGCCAGGGGCUGGCCGAUGCAGCUCCACAACCCGAGGACGAAGACUGCUUAAGGGGCACCCAACCGCCAGCAAUGACCAGUGGGAGAGCCGUCGGCGCACCCCACGCCUCCCAGGUCGAGUUGCGGAAGAAAGAGUUAGGAGGCUCGGGUCCGGGGCCCCCUUGCAGUGCCCCAGCAGCCAGUGUCGGCCCCGUGCCUUGGGCGGAGCCUGGGCAUGGGUGAUGUGCGUCGGGAUCGAGCCAGGAUCCUCAGAAGGACGCCUCUCCUAAGGCUUCGCCAUCACAAGGACCCUGCUAGGCCCUAGUCAGAAAAAGCAUGGUGCGCGGGGAAUCACAAAAUGAGGUACUUACUCAUCCACAACCAUGAACUUCCUUAGCUUCAGCGGUCGGCGGGCAUCACCACUAUAGGUCGGAGAUCCCUUCCUCUUGUGGAGCGCUUCAAGAUCCAGGCAAAGCUGGCCGGGCCUCGAGGGGCGGUCUGUGACAGCCUGGAUUUUGCCUUCUUUGGUUUUCAGUUGAGUUGGUUUUGAAUUUGGAGUUUUGAAUCUUUUCAUUUGGACUUAACCACUUGGGUACCCCUUGAAUUUCACUCAAGUGCUCCCUCUCCUCCUCAAAACCAUCAUUUCACCUCUGGAUCAACUCAAAAUAUUGCUUCAAAUAUUUUUCUUAAAUGAAUAAUAUUCAUUUUGCCCUCCAAAACCCCAGCUAGCCCUUUGUGCUCCAAAGCAACCCUAAUUUUUCUUGCCCCAAAAAUACUGAGAAAAAUCCCAAUUAUUCUUUGAACCCUAGGGCACCUUUCUGAGCAAAAAUAUUUCAUCACUCUUUGGAAUAUUUUGGCUACAGAAAAUAAAUACAUUUCUGGACAGAAAUGGUAGUUUCUACAGCAACUACCAUUUUACUAGCUCCAUUGUAGCCGGUUUUCUUGUGCCUAUUUACCUUAGUAAGUGUAAGCAAGCCUCCAAAGCUCAGCCCUUAACUCCCAGUGGUUUGACCACAGUAAACCUCCAAAGUUACUGUCCAGAAACUUGCUAGCAGUACAAAUCCAUUUCUAUUGCACCUGGAUCCAAGCCCAACCGUGGUAACACUCCAAACUACCAAGGACUACAUGCCAGACAUCAAGUUAGUGCAUAGGGUGGCCUGAUGUCACGGUUCACGCGAUAACCGCGUUCGUUCGGGCAUGCCGGCAUGCAAAACACGCGCUCUGCGUGCCGCCUAGCACUCUGUUGAGUGCGUGCUCGCUGCCCAGCAUGCCCGAGCAUGCCAAGCCUCGCCACCAUCCCCGUCUCCACUCCCUUAACUCCCCCUAGCACUCGUUGACACUGGAGCUUGCCGCAAUGGGCACAGGCACGGUUCGGCCAACGACAUAGUGCGUGGCGCACUGUGCUCGUCGUCUUCUCCCUCGUCCAUGUGCUCGUCAGCACCCACCAAUAGUUUCUGCGCGACCUACGUCGUCUUCCCCCUCUCUCGCUGGCGCCGUUCGUCACCGGGCGCCAUGGACAGGUGUCCUCCGGCGGAGCCCAAACCCCUCUCGCCGCCCGCCUAUAAAUGUCGCCACCCCCAGCCUCCUUGAGCACCCGCAACUACUCCCACACCCUCCACAAACUAGUAGAAGCCGCAGCCCGGCCGGGCAGGCCGCCGGCUGCCGUCCCGAAGCCCGAGCUCGUCGGCGAUCCCCUUCGGAUCGUCCCCGCAGCUCCAGCCCCUCCCAGGCUAGGGCAACCCUGCCACGGCCUCCGCCAAUCUUCGGUGAGGGUGUUCCGCCCUGUUAGAGCCCCUAGAGCUGCCCCGAGCCGCCGUCGUCUUCUCCGGCGACCGCUGCCCUCUGCCUCCGCUGGAGAAGCCGCUUCCAACGCCACCCGGUCACCUCUAGCCAUGCUACGCAUAUGGGCAGGUGCGCCAUCUUAUUCUCCUUCGAUCCCGCCUCUCGUUUGACCCCAAGAACCCUCGUCGCCGGUGUGUGCUCCGACGAAGCUCCGCCUCCCUCUGUUUCCCUCCCCCUCCUUCUGGCUUGACUAGCGGGGCCCGGUAGUCAGCCACUCAGUACACGCGUGAAGCAGUAUGAGUGGAGGUGCCCCGGGCGUUUACGCCUUCGACGUCACCCCCCCAGUCUAUUUUCUUUUUAAAUCAAAUUCAUUUAAAUCCAGGAAACUUCAAACAGCCACAACUUUUUAUCUAUACGUCCAAGUGCAUUGAUUCUUUUUGCGUUGUGUUCUUUGUCCAGAAAUCUAACGGCACCCAAGAGAUGGGAUUUUUCCUUGCUGUCUAGAUUUUCUGGUAAUUUUCAAAAGGUUUCUUGAUGUUUUCUUUUUGUCGUUUUAUUUAUUUUCAGAAGAGCAAGCUUGUCUUGAGGAUCACCAGUAGAUUUGUGAACCUCAGCAGCACUAAGGCAAGCCACAACAACAUUUUCAUAGUGCCACUUCAAUAUUUGUGAUUUUCCUACUUGAACUUAUGAUUAUUCAUGCAUUUAAAUAAUUAUUAUGAUAAUUAUAUUCUGUUAGAUUCUUGUCAUUUUAAGUGUGUUUGAUUUAUAGAAAGUUUGAAAUGAAUCUUGCUGAUAAGCUAACAAGAACUUAGAUAUGAGUAAUAAUAAAAGGAUAUUGUCAUGAAGGUUAAUGAUUAGUUUAAUUAUUAUUCUUGCAUGAUGAAAAAUGAUGAGAUUGCUAGAAAUGGUUCUGGUUUAAGUGAGGUUUGAUCUUAACCCGAGAAGUAUCUUGAGUUGGUGAUGGCUCCGUGGGAGCGUAGUUGAUUUAGUUAUUUUCUUGGUUAUUUGAUGCAAGUGUUAGUGAUGCAUAGCAUGACAUUAUGACACCGGUUACUUUCACUUUAAGUUGAACCUGAUCAAUCACUCAACUUGAAUAUGUUGUUGACCGGGUCAUGGUGCCGCUGAAACGAGUUUUUCCCAGUGCAACCACAUUUGCCGGUAUGGGAUGGCCUUAAUGCGUUUCAUUGUCGUGCCUCUGUUCGGUGCCUCCAUCUAGGGAAGGUUAUGGGCGUGCUGUACCCUAGCCCGGUAAGCAGGCAUAACCUUGUGUGCCAGUUGAUGAGUUAAGUGUUUGGGUCCCAGAGUGGAUCGUUGCCACGAUGGUGGUUUGAGGUGUCUUGAAGUAGACAUGGGGCCACCCAGGACUAGCCCGAUGGGGAUUUAGUUGGAGUGGCCGGGAGAGUGUCAUGACAAUGAAGUGGUUUCGUCGGAAUGCCGUUGGUCCACCCGAAUGGGAGUGCGAGGCCAUGGGUUCCGUAGUGUGGGUCCAGUGCGCUACCUCUAUAGAAUGUAUUAAUCUAUCGAUAGUCGAGUCCACGGUUACGGACACGCUCGAAAGUAGGGUACACCAUGGGUCAACACUUAAUAAAUUUGCACACUAAGAUUUGCACUAAGGUAAUGGCAGCGAGGCCAUCGGGUUGUGUUAGACCAGGUGUGGUCUGGUUGUGAUUACCGUAAGGAUCACGAGGUUGUCGUUGGGUUCUUCAUGUUUGUGGACUGGAAAUUAUCACGUUCGGUAAGCCAGUCCAUGGGACGAGUAUCACUUGAGUAUAAUCACAGCAUGUUGGAUAUGUAUAUUGUUGCAUUGUCAUUAAUUGGUUAAAUAUCAUGAUAUUGCUUGUCAUUAUGUUUAUACUUGUUGUGAGCUUGCAAGUAUAUUCAAUGUACUAACCUAGCGUGUCAUGCCAGAUUUCAGGAAAGUCUCGUUGGAAAGGAGAGUUGUCCGAGUCUAGAUCGUGUCCACAUUGGUGUCCCUGUGCUAUGGAGUCCCACUACGACGUUGUUCCGCUGCCGCGUAGUUGUCAUGAUCGAGGCCCCUUUAUGUUUACUAAAUAAUGUACAUAUUGUUCAGCCACACCGUGUGUGCCGCUUGGCCUCGCUAACUGUUGUAAUAUGAACUAUGCUCUGCUAGCAUGAAUAAAGCGGUUGUUUUUCUGUACCAAGUUGUUGUGUGUUGCCAGAAGACAUGGUCUCUGGGCUGGCAAUGCAGGGUAAACCGGUCGCUCUGAGCCAGGGUGCCAUAACGCUUGGUAUCAGAGCCACACUGAUUGUGGGCCAUGCUAGACUACGCCAAGUUAACUGGACAUUAAAUACGAGUUGUAGUUAAGUGCCGAUAGCCUAUUGUAGCUGGUUGUUGCAUUGCAUGCACUGGUUUUUAUUUUUAUGCUAAAAUGCUAAUGGUUGUGAGUGUAGAUGGCUCCGGUGCUGUAUCCAUGCCAGUUGCAGCUGAUGCCGUACACGUCGCUGCAUCUCCUUCAUAACGUGUGGCAUCGGCUGUACCCUCAUGGUGACGAUCUAGUCUAUCAUGUGUACCGGGAGCGUCUAGCUGACUCAGUGUAUGAGUAUCACGCCGUGGUUACUCUGCGUACCAGUUCUGAUUCCAGCUCUUACACUCCUACUUCUCGAAGCGGCUACGCUUCUACCGCUUCUUAGGCUGUCCAGUUUGCUGCAUUCGAGGUACUCAUUGAGCUCCGUUAUAAUGAGGUCCGAAUACAGAACCACCCAGGUUUCCACUACUAUCCUUCUCUCCACGAUAAUGGUCGUGUCGGUUUCCCUGUCAUUGAUCCGGAGUCUGGUAGUGUAGCUAGCCACCUUUCUCGCUAUAUCACUGCUAGCUAUCUUCUCAUCUACGAGCUGGCUCGUGAGUUGAGUCGUGCCCGUACUGCUUUAGCCUAUGCUUUAGUCUCUGCUAGCUCAGCUACUACUCCACCAUAUGUAGGAUUUACUCCCUAUAUUCCUGCCAGUUCUAGAUCCCCUGUUUCCCCGAUUACUCCUCCGAGUAGCUCGGGCACCGCGACUGUGAGUCCACUUCGUGCUCCUGCUGAGUGGGUUUCACUCCUUGCCACUCCUAUAGCCCCGAUAAUUCACCCUCCACCUGCCCCGGAGGGAGAGCCCUCGAGGCAGCGUCGUCAUGUCACUUUUAACCCGGAGGUCUCAGUUAACCCCGUCAGUUUAGGAUUCGAGUCUGCUUCAGGAGAGGACACCGCAGCACCAGCCGAGCAGUAGAGAUUCCGAGUAUUCACAGUCGUCAGGAUGGAGUAUGGAUGUAGUCGUACGAGUCAUAAUGUUUCGUUUCAUGUAUGAGGGUAGUUGGACCUGGCAUGUUGUUAUCAUUCAUGUAUGAGUCUAUGUAUAAUUAUGUUGGACUUUAUUUUAUUCACCGUAUUUUCUUCGCCAUUUCGGUUUUACUCGGAUUUUGUUGCUGGCUUCUCCCCAACUUAUUUUGAAUGCUUCUCAUCUCAGUUGCGUUGCCUUGGAAAAAUAACCAUAUUAGGAUGACGUGGGGAGGCUGCAGUAGCAAUGUUCGCGAGGGUUCUCCUUUUCAUCGUUCCGCACGACAGGCGGGACACUCACCCGAGCCGUACGUUCCACCACCGCCUCCACCGCCAAAUCCGCCCUCCACUGAGCAAAUUCUGCGUAUGUUUGAGGAAAGACAAAAUAAUGAUCUGACGGAAAUAUUCAUAAGUAUUCAAGCUGUGGUUGGACAGAAUGGAAAUCAGCCUGGUCAUCACUCCAAGCUAUCUGAUUUUCAAAGGACUAAGCCUCCCAGUUUCGGUCAGGCCAUUGAUCCCUUGGAUGCAGAUGAUUGGUUGAGAACUAUGGAAAAGAAGCCUGAGGUUGCUCGAACUGAUGAAGGGGAUAAAGUUCCAUUUGUAACACAUUAUCUUGAAGGCGCUGCUCCCAUAUGGUGGGAAAAUGAAAAAGCCAUGUGGACUGCUAAUGAAGAAAUUACCUGGUCAAGAUUCAAGGAACGAUUCUGGAAAUAUCACAUCCCAACAGGAAUUAUGAAGACUAAGCAGCAUGAAUUUCUUGCGCUCCUCCAAGGAAGUCAGUCCGUGGGAGAAUAUUUGCAGAAAUUCAAUCAACUGUCAAGUUACUCUCAAUAUGACGUGGCUAGUGAGGAAAGAAAGAUGGACAGGUUUCUUGGCGGGUUAAAACCGCAACUUCGUUGUACUCUCAGCAUGUUUGAUUCCCCGGACUUCCAGACUCUAGUGAACAAGGCUUUCAUUGCUGAAAGGGAACACAAGCUUGUAUCAGACGCUAAGCCUGCCAACAAUGAUCACAAGUGCAAGUUUGAGCCAGGAAAAGAAAUGCAACCAGUGCAGAAGGUUCGUACCCGGUAGCCGACUCAGGUAGCAUACAAGCCCAAUUGGGAGCAAAAUGUUAACAAGACCACCACCCAAGUCAAGAAUGACAUGCUCAACAAAGUUCUAGAGAAUCGUUUGCGCAGCAAUUCCUGUUUCAAUUGUGGUCAAACCAGACAUUAUGCCAAACAGUGUCCCACGAACAAUCGGGCAAAUACUACAUUCAAGCCACAAGUCCAUUAUAUGGAGGCAUGCCCAGAUCAGCACGACUUCAUGGGAUAUAUUCAUCACCUUUCCGCCGACGAAGCCCAAGAGAACCCCGAAGUCGUCAUUGGUAUGUUCCCUGUUAAUAACAUACCUGGAGUAAUUUUAUUUGACUCUGGGCUUCCCACUCUUUCAUUUAUCGGAGUUUGGUUGCCCAAAACAAAUUUCCUUGUUCACUUUUGGGCAAGAAUAUGCUGGUACAAACCCCGGGAUCUCUAAUCAGAAGCAAUAUAGUCUGCCGUAAUUUGGAAGUCAAUAUCAAUAGAGUCUGUUUUCCAACUUCUUUGAUACUUAUUGAAUUCGAUAAGUUGGAUGUUAUCUUGGGUAUGAAUUGGCUGACUCAGUAUCAACUAUGCAUUAAUUGUGCAACCCGAGAUGUCAACUUGACCGACCAAGAGGGACAAACUACAAAAUUAUUGCUCGUAGGAGCAUACCCUCCAAGGAAAUAGUCUUUACAGCAAUGGCUGAAAUGGAAUUAAUUCCGGUGGUCAGCGAGCUUCCUGAUAUAUUCCCAGAAGAACUGCCAGGCAUGCCAACUGAUCGAGAGCUUGAUUUUGCGAUAGAUCUUGUGCCCGGAACCACACCAAUACACAAGAAGUAUUAUUGAAUGCCGUCAUCAGAAUUAUUGGAGCUAAAAAACAGCUUGAUGAAAUGCUCCAGAAAGGGUAUAUCCGCCCCAGCUCCUCACCAUGGGGAUCACCUGCUAUUUUCAUGGACAAGAAAGAUGGUAGCCUCCACAUGUGUGUAGAUUACCGUCAGCUGAAUGAUAUCACAAUAAAAAACAAAUACCCUCUAUCAAGAAUUGAUGAUUUGUUUGAUCAGCUUAGUGGGGCCAAGGUAUUCUCCAAGAUCAAUUUACGGACUGGGUAUUAUCAGCUCAAAAUUAAAAAGGAGGAUAUUCCCAAGACCGCAUUCACCACUCGCUAUGGUCUCUAUGAAUAUACAGUCAUGUCUUCUGGCCUCACCAACGACCCCGCCUUCUUCAUGCAUAUGAUGAAUAAGGUAUUCAUGGACUUUCUCGAUAAGUUUGUGGUUGUCUUCAUCGAUGAUAUACUCAUUUACUCAAGAAUUGAAGAAGAGCAUAAGGCACACCUUCGAGCAGUGUUACAACGACUCCGUGAGCAUCAUUUAUACGCCAAAUUCAGUAAAUGUGAGUUUUGGCUCAAGCAAGUUGGAUUCCUCGGGCAUGUGUUAUCCGCUGAAGGUAUAGCCGUGGACCCAAGCAAGGUAAAGGAUGUGCUCGACUAGUUGCCACCCGCAACCGUAUCUCAGAUCCGGAGUUUUCUUGGAUUAGCCGGAUAUUACCGCCGUUUCAUUGAAGGGUUUUUCAAGAUUGCUAAACCCAUGACAGAGCUGCUCAAAAAGGAUAAGAAGUUUGAAUGGACUAAGGACUGUGAGAAAAGUUUCACUGAGUUAAAGAAACGAUUGACAACUGCACCAGUAUUAACACUCCCAAAUAUCUACCGCAGCUUUGAUGUGUACUACAACGCUUCCAGGCAAGGACUGGAAUGCGUACUUAUGCAAGAUGGCAAGGUAGUAGCUUACGCCUCACGACAGCUACGACCCCACGAGGGGAAUUACCCCACUCAUGAUUUGGAAAUGGCUGCGGUGGUUCAUACUUUGAAAAUUUGGAGACACUACCUCAUCGGGAAAAGAUGCCAAAUUUUCACCGAUCACAAAAGCCUCAAAUAUAUAUUUACUCAGCCAUAUUUAAAUCUCCGUCAACAAAGAUGGCUUGAGUUGGUCAAGGAUUAUGACCUUGGAAUAAAUUACCAUCCGGGUAAGGCCAACGUGGUUGUCGAUGUGCUUAGUCGAAAGCCCGUCCGUUUAAAUGUCCUAUUGGAAUCCUUGCCUCCUGAACUUAAAGAAGAGAUUGCUCAGCUCAACCUGGUCAUAGUUGAGGCUAGCCUUGCCAAUAUUCUGGAAGUUACCCCUACUCUUGAGGAAGAAAUCCGCAAGGCCCAGCCAGGCGACACCAAUAUGCAAAAAUGUGUCAAGCAUUCCGAUUUCUUGAAGGAUCAGUACGGUACCCUCCGAUUUAGGGGAAGGAUUUGUGUGCCCAAUCAAGCGGAUUUAAAGCAGAAGAUCCUAUCAGAAGCCCAUGAAUCCUCAUAUUCCAUUCAUCCUGGAGGUACAAAAAUGUACGGAGACCUUCGACAAAUAUUCUGGUGGGAUGGAAUGAAGAAAGACAUUGCUUAUUUCGUGGCAUGUUGCGACAUAUGCAACAAAGUAAAGGCAGAACAUCAAAAGCCAGCUGGACUUCUCCAACCGUUACCAGUGUCACAAUGGAAAUGGGAUGAUGUCUGUAUGGAUUUUAUCACCAGACUACCUAAGACCCGACGGGGCAAUGAUGCAAUCUGGGUCAUAGUGGACACGUUAACCAAGGUAGCCCAUUUCCUCCCGAUCAGGACCUCAUAUCUAGCAUAUGAGCUUGCACAAUUGUAUGUGUCUAGAAUAGUCAGUCUGCAUGGAGUCCCCCGAACCAUUACUUCUGACUGAGGUUCACUUUUUACCUCUGCUUUUUGGUCCCGUCUCCAUCGAGCCUUAGGGACGGAAUUGAAGUACAGUACCGCUUAUCACCCUCAGACUGAUGGGCAGACAGAAUGAGUAAACCAAAUACUCGAGGAUAUGCUGCGAGCCUGUGUUUUGGCCCAAGGUCCAAAAUGGGAAGACUGCUUGUCGUACGCCGAGUUCUCAUAUAAAAAUAGCUUCCAGACCAGUUUAAAGACGUCCCCGUAUGAAGCUUUGUAUGGCCGUAAGUGCCGCACUCCAUUAAAUUGGUCUCAAACUAGAGAUAGCCAUAUUUUUGGAACGGAUCUCAUACUGGAAGCCGAAAAGCAAGUUAGGGAAAUUAGAGACAGACUUUGAACCCGGAAAAGUUAUUAUGAUGCAAAGCACCGUCAGAUCAGCUUUGAACCCGGAGAACAUGUCUAUCUUCGAGUCACGCCUAUGAAAGGUAUCAAGAGGUUUCAGACUCGUGGAAAAUUGGCACCCAGAUUUAUUGGUCCAUUUCCUGUUAUGACGCGAGUGGGUGCUGUGGCAUAUCAGUUGGAGUUGCCCCCUGAAUUGUCAUACGUGCACAAUGUAUUUCAUGUUUCACAAUUGCAACGGUGCAUAUCGCUGCCUGAGAAAAAGACUGAUUUGACAGAAACAGAGCUGGCAAAGGACUUAACAUAUGAAGAAAGGCAGGUGAAAAUCUUGGAUCAGAUGGAAAGAGUCACACGCAGUAAAGCAUGGAAGUUUUACAAAGUCCAAUGGAAGCAUCAUACCGAGUCAGAAUCAACAUGGGAAUCAGAAGAAUUUCUAAGGACAUGUUAUCCAGAAUGGUUUUCCCAAGCAACCGAAUCUCGAGGACGAGAUUCAUUCUAAGUGGGGGAGGUUUGUGACAGCCUGGUUUUUGCCCUCUUUGGUUUUCAGUUGAGUUGGUUUUAAAUUUGGAGUUUUGAAUCUCUUCAUUUGGACUUAACCACUUGGGUACCCCUUGACUUUCACCCAAGUGCUCUCUCUCCUCCUCAAAACCAUCAUUUCACCUCUGGAUCAACUCAAAAUAUUGCUUGGAAACAUAUUCAUUUUGCCCUCCAAAACCCUAGCUAGCCCUUUGUGCUCCAAAGCAACCCUAAUUUUUCUUGCCCCAAAAAUCCUGAGAAAAAUCCCAAUUAUUCUUUGAACCCUAGGGCACCUUUCUGAGCAAAAAAUAUUUCAUCACUCUUUGGAAUAUUUUAGCUACGGAAAAUAAAUUCAUUUCUGGAUAGAAAUGGUAGUUUCUACAGCAACUACCAUUUUACUAGCUCCAUUGUAGCUGGUUUUUCUUGUGCCUAUUUACCUUAGUAAGUGUAAGCAAGCUUCCAAAGCUCAGCCCUUAACUCCCAGUGGUUUGACCACAGUAAACCUCCAAAGUUACUGUCCAGAAACUUGUUAGCAGUACAAAUCCAUUUCUACUGCACCUGGAUCCAAGCCCAACGGUGGUAACACUCCAAACUACCAAGGACUACACGCCAGACAUCACGUUAGCGCUUAGGGUGGCCUGAUGUCACGGUUCGCGCGGUGACCGCAUUCGUCCGGGCAUGCUGGCAUGCAAAACACGCGCUCUGUGUGCCGCCUAGCACUCUGUUGAGCGCGUGCUUGCUCCCAGCCUGCCCGAGAAUGCCAAGCUUCGCCACCUUCCCCGUCUCCACUGCCUUAACUCCCCCUGGCACUCGACGAUGCCGGAGCUCGCCGCAGCGGGCACGGGCACGGUCCGACCAACGACACAGUGCGCGUAGUCUUCUCCCUCGUCCCUGUGCUCGUCCACGCCCGCCAAUAGUUUCCGCGUGACCUCUGUCGUCUUCCUCCUCUCUUGCUGGAGCCGUUCGUCACCGGGCGCCAUGGACAGGUGUCCUCCGGUGGAGCCCGAACCCCUCUCGUCGCCCGCCUACAAAUGCCGCCACCCCCAGCCUCCUUGAGCACCUGCAGCUACUCCCACACCCUCCACAAACUAGUAGAAGCCGCAGCCCGGCCGGGCAGGCCGCCAGCUGCCGUCCCGAAGCCCGAGCUCGUCGGCGAUCCCCUUCGGAUCGUCCCCGCAGCUCCAGCCCCUCCCAGGCCAGGGCGACCCUGCCAGGGCCUCCGCCACUCUUCGGUGAGGGUGUUCCGCCCUAUUGGAGCCCCUGGAGCCGCCCCGAGCCGCCGUUGCCUUCGUCUCCGGCGACCGCUGUCAUCUGCCUCCGCUAGAGAGGCCGCUUUCGACGCUGUUUGGUCACCUCUAUCCACGCUACAGGUACGGGCAGGUGCGCCAUCUUCUUUUCCUUCAAUCCCCCUCUCGUUUGACCCCAAGAACCCUCGUCGCAGGCGUGUGCUCCGGCGAAGCUCCGCCUCCCUCUGCUUCUCUCUCCCCCUCCUUCUGGCUUGACUAGCGGGGCCUGCUAGUCAGCCACUUAGUACGCGCGUGAAGCGGUACAAGUGGAGGCGCCCCAGGCGUUUACGCCUUUGAUGUCACCCCCUCCCUAGUCUGUUUUCUUUUUAAAUCAAAUUCAUUUAAAUCCAGUAAACUUCAAACAGCCACAACUUUUUAUUUAUAAGUCCAAAUGCAUUGAUUCUUUUUGCAUUGUGUUCUUUGUCUAGAAAUCUAACAGCACCCAAGAGAUGGGAUUUUUCCUUGUUGUCUAGAUUUUCUGGAAAUUUUCAGAAGGUUUCUUGAUGUUUUCUUUUUGUGGUUUUGUUUAUUUUCAGAAGAGCAAGCUUGUCUUGAGGAUCACCAGGAGAUUUGUGAACCUCGGCAGCACUAAGGCAAGCCACAACAACAUUUUCAUAGUGUCACUUCAAUAUUUGUGAUUUUCCUACUUAAACUUAUGAUUAUUCAUGCAUUUAAAUAAUUAUUACGAUAAUUAUAUUCUAUUAGAUUCUUGUCAUGUUAAGUGUGUUUGAUUUACAGAAAGUUUGAAAUGAAUCUUGCUGAUAAGCUAACAAGAACUUAGAUAUGAGUAAUAAUAAAAGGAUAUGGUCAUGUAGGUUAAUGAUUAGUUUAAUUAUUAUUCUUGCAUGAUGAAAAAUGAUGAGAUUGCUAGAAAUGGUUCUAGUUUAAGUGAGGUUUGAUCUUAACCAGAGAAGUAUCUUGAGUUGGUGAUGGCUCCGUGGGAGCAUAGUUGAUUUAGUUAUUUUCAUGAUUAUUUGAUGCAAAUGUUAGUGAUGCAUAGCAUGGCAUUAUGACACCGGUUACUUUCACUUUAAGUUGAACCUGAUAAAUCACUCAACUUGAAUAUGUUGUUGACCGGGUCAUGGUGCCGCUGAAACGAGUUUUUUCCAGUGCAACCACAUUUGCCGGCAUGGGACGGCCUUAAUGUGUUUCAUUGUCGUGCCUCUGUUCGGUGCCUCCAUCUAGGGAAGGUUAUGGGUGUGCUGUACCCUGGCCCGGGGAGCAGGCAUAACCUUGUGUGCUAGUUGAUGAGUUAAGUGUUUGGGUCCCAGAGUGGAUCGUUGCCACGAGGUGGUUUGAGUUGUCUUGAGGUAGACACGAGGCCACCCAGGACUAGCCCGAUGGGGAUUUAGUCAGAGUGCCCGGGAGAGUGUCAUGACAAUGAAGUGGUUUCGUCGGAAUGUCGUUUGUCCACCCGAAUGGGAGUGCGAGGCCAUGGGUUCCAUAGUGUGGGUCUAGUGCGCUACCUCUGCAGAGUGUAUUAAUCUAUCGAUAGCCGAGUCCAUGGUUACGAACACGCUCAAAAGUAGGGUACACCAUGGGUCAACACUUAAUAAAUUUGCACACUUCGUCGGAAUGCCGUUUGUCCACCCGAAUGGGAGUGCGAGGCCAUGGGUUCCAUAGUGUGGGUCCAGUGUGCUACCUCUGCAGAGUGUAUUAAUCUAUCAAUAGCCGAGUCCAUGGUUACAGACACGCUCGAAAGUAGGGUACACCAUGGGUCAACACUUAAUAAAUUUGCACACUAAGAUUUGCACUAAGGUAAUGGCAGUAAGGCCAUCGGGUUGAGUUAGACCAGCUGUGGUCUGGUUGUGAUCGCCGUAAGGAUCACGAGGUUGUCGUUGGGUUCUUCAUGUUUGUGGUCUGGAAAUGAUCACAUUCGGUAAGCCAGUCCAUGGGACGAGUAUCACUUGAGUAUAGUCACAGCAUGUUGGAUAUGUAUAUUGUUGCAUUGUCAUUAAUUGGUUAAAUAUCAUGAUAUUGUUUGUCAUUAUGUUUAUGCUUGUUGUGAGCUUGCAAGUACAUUCAAUGUACUGACCUGGCGUGUCAUGCCAGAUUUCAGGAAAGUCUCGUUGGAAAGGAGAGUUGUCCGAGUCUAGAUCAUGUCCACAUCAGUGUCCCUGUGCUAUGGAGUCCCGCUACGACGUUGUUCCGCUGCCGCGUAGUUGUCAUGAUCGAGGCCCCUUUAUGUUUACUAAAUAAUGUACAUAUUGUUCAGCCGCACCGUGUGUGCCGCUUGGCCUCACUAACUGUUGUAAUAUGAACUAUGCUCCGCUAGCAUGAAUAAAGCGGUUGUUUUUCUAUACCAAGUUGUUGUGUGUUGCCAGAUGACAUGGUCUCUGGGCUGGCAAUGCCGGGUAAACCGGUCGCUCUGAGCCGGGGUGCCACACGGUCCCUAGGAGCAGGAGCGCUCGGCAGGGCGCCCUGGGCGGCAGCCUCUGGAGUAGGAGAGCUCGGUGGGGCACCCUGGGCGGUAGCCUCUAGAGCGGGAGCGAUUGGCAGUGACCCCUGGGCGGCAGCCUCAGGGGCAUCAGGAGGCGCCUCCCCAUCAGCAGCCACCUCGGAGCCAUCACCCCGAGCCUCAGGAGCCUCUGCCUCUGGAGCAUCGGGUUGUGCUGACCCCGCGGUGGUCCCUUCCUGGGUCCCAGGAGUCUCGGCCUCAGGAGCGCUGGAUGGCGCAGGACCUCCGGAGGUCUCCUCGGCAGUAGCUGGCGGCGUGCACCUCCCCGCUACCACACUUGGGGCGCGUGCCGCAGGAUCAAGUAGCAGGGGAGCCACGAGGAUGGGAUUCUCGCGAGGCCCCUCGAGGCCCUCCGGGAGUAACCCUCACUCAUCGAAGAGGGGCAUCUGCUCUAUGAAGGCCACCUUGUUCGAGCAUUGGUAGAGGAGGCAGUCAUUUCUUGGAAGAUCGGCGGGCUUGGAGUCGCCCGUCAGAAGCUCAAACACCUUGCUCAGGGUCUUGGAAGGCAGUGUCGGCUCCUAGAGCCUCAUGGAGUCCUCGGCGCCGGUGAAGGUCAACAUCGGGCAGGAAUGGCGCCGAAGUGGGGCGAUGCGCCACCAGACGAAUUCCUUCACCACCAUUGGCGCUAUCACCCCCAGCAUCUGCAUCAUGUCCAGCCUCUUCCAGACACGGGUAAGCUGACGGUUGACAAGCUUCACAUGGCCCCAGCCGGAGCUGGGCUCCGCAGGCACCCGAGGGGUCAGAAGCAGGGGGUUGCACGUCCCAGCGUCUAUGAACAACCGCUGCUUCCGCAAACCCUUUGUGUCAAGCGACAGCUUGAAGCCGAUCUCUAAGACGGCAGUUGCUGCAACCGGUUCGAAGGUCACGCACCCUGAGUGUUGGCGGGCGUCGACCAGACGGAGCAAGAAGAAGUGGCAAAACAGGGCCACAGAAGGAGCAAUGCCGACCAUGGCCUUGCAAAGGAAGGCAAAGAUAGCAAGGAGGAUGAUGGAGCGGGGAUCCAGGUGCAGCAGGUGGAUCUGGUAGUGCGAGAUUAUGGCGUUGAAGAAAGGAGAGAAAGGGGGAAUCAGGCCCGCGAAGAGACCGUGAAGAUAGAUGGGAAUCUCAGCGGCACUCAUAUCAUCCACAAGCCAAGACGCGGGCCGAGUGGCCAUAGCCUUCCACUCGUUGAAAUCGGCUGCAAGAGCAGGGCGGACCUUUUUCAGCCCCUCCCGAUUUGAUCACCGUCGACUGCUCGAGAGCCGGCUCCAAGGCCGACAGGGGUCCAGCCGGGGCGCACGACCUCCCCUUCUUCUUCCUCUGCUGUGGAGCCAUGGCGGAAGCUAGGAAGGGGGAGCGGUGCUGGCACUAGAUUCGCGCGAAGAAUUGCAAGCCUAGGAUGAGAAAUAAUGAGGGCCAAGCGCGACAAUCGACAGGGGAAAACUGCUCUGGCAACGGGCGGCCGCCAGGCUUGGCGGAUUUCAAGGCAGGAUGGGGUAAUGGAGACUCCCAUGUCCCAUCAAUCGUCACGCGUCGUUCAAGGCCGCACGCUGUUAGGGCCCGCGGCGCUUCGCACUUGCCCCUUGGCUUCACCUAGAAGCCAAGUCCGAGCGCACCUUGGGCCCGGGGGCUACUGUCGGUGUUCUGGAUACGGGGGUACCCAGACUUUCCUGCCUGCGGCCCACUGCGUGGCUCCAUCGACGGCCUGGUACGGUCCAGCUUCAGCAUCAACAAACUCAAUACCCUCGCGAGGGGCCAAGCCUCGCGAGGCAGACGACACCAAGACCUCUAAGGGGAUCGGCCUCCUCGGGUUGGCUCCCAAGGAGCGGAGACUUCUAUGCAAGGUGCACCUUGCGAGGCUCAGCUGACGUGAGCCAUGAUGACCAAGGCCAGGCGGGUGCCAGCGGGCGUAAAGUACCAGUUUCCUCUUUGGUCCAAGGGAGGCAAGCAGCAGGCGCGGAGUCCUGAGGAAUCAGCCAAAGGUUUCCAUUCUGGUGCAACGAGACCAAGACCGCCAGGACAGCAGGUCAGAGGUCAUCGCCGAGCCCACCAAAGCGUCACGACCAGGGGAUUUUGCAGGUGAAGACCGCUUUAUUCAUGAUAGGGUGUACUUCUUGUCCGCCUUCAAAUCUGGCCAUUGUGGGAUCCCUUCCUGCCAACAUUUGGGAAGAGGACCAAGGCCACUUUAAAUAGGACUUAGCCACCACCAUAGAGGGGAUCAGAUCCAUUCUAAUCUGACCACCUCACCAUCUCUCUCGAGCUCAAGAACACCUCACCUCCUGAGGUUGUUCAUCCACUGUACUAGUUCAUCCUCAGCCCCUCGAGGCAAUCCACCAAAAAGAUGGAGUAGGGUAUUACACCGCAAGGUGGCCCGAACCAGGAUAAACUGAUGUGUCUCUCUGUCCCUUUGAGCUCGACAUGCUAGGCUGUGAGGAUCGCAAGUAGGCAGGAGGUUGAGAUAUCCGCACGCACCUCAGAGUUCAAACCUCUCAAAGGUUUGCGGAACACGAAAUCCGACAACGGGCAUGAGUUUGAAAUACAAAUUUCAGCUCUUGGAACAUCUCAUAUGCUCUGUGGCAUUCAAAAUGUCUUUGAAGCCCCGAUUCUAAGCAGUAAAGCAUGGUGCACUUAACUAUCAAGUAGUCAUGAUAUCGAGCUUGCCAAACGUUCAUAACGUCUGCAUCUACUCCUGCAAUAGGUUUGUCACCUAGCGGUGCAUCAAGGACGUAAUUCUUCUGUGCAGCAAUGAGGAUAAUCCUCAGAUCACGGACCCAGUCCGCAUCAUUGCUACUCUCAUCUUUCAACUUAUUUUUCUCUAGGAACAUAUCAAAAAACAUAGGGGAGCUUCAACGCGAGCUAUUGAUCUUCAACAUAGAAACGCAAAUACUAUCAGGAGUAAGUUCAUGAUAAAUUAAAGUUCAAUUAAUCAAAUUACUUAAGAACUCCCACUAAAGCAGACAUACAUCAAGUCAUCUAAGUGUAACGUGAUCCAAAUCAACUAACCCAUGUCCGAUCAUCACGUGAGAUGGGGUAGUCUUCAAUGGUGAACAUCUCUAUGUUGAUCAUAUCUACUAUAUGAUUCACAUUCGACCUUUCGGUCUCCAGUGUUCUGAGGCCAUGUCUGUACAUGCUAGGCUCGUCAAGUUUAACCCGAGUAUUAUGCAUGUGCAAAACUGGCUUCCACCCGUUGUAUGUGAGCGUAGAGCCUAUCACACCCGAUCAUCACAUCGUGUCUCAACACGAAGAACUUUCGCAACGGUGCAUACUCGGGGAGAACACUUAUACCUUGAAAUUUAGUCAAGGGGUCAUCUUAUAAUGCUACCGCCGUACUAAGCAAAAUAAGAUGCAUAAAGAUAAACAUGACAUGCAAUCAAAAUAUGUGACAUGAUAUGGCAAUCAUCAUCUUGUGCUUUUGAUCUCCAUCUCCAAAGCAACGUCAUGAUCUCCAUCGUCACCGGAUUGACACCUUGAUCUCCAUCGUAGCGUCGUGGUCGUCUCACCAACUAUUGCUUCUACAACUAUCGCUACCGCUUAGUGAUAAAGUAAAGCAACUGUAUGGCGUUUGCAUUUCAUACAAUAAAGUGACAACAAUAAGGCUCCUGCCAGUUGUCGAUAACUUUUACAAAACAUGAUCAUCUCAUACAAUAAUGUAUACCACAUCAUGUCUUGACCAUAUCACAUCACAACAUGCCCUGCAAAAACAAGUUAGACAUCCUCUACUUUGUUGUUGCAAGUUUUAUGUGGCUGCUACGGGCUUCUAGCAAGAAACGUUCUUACCUACGGCACAAAACCACAUCGGUGAUUUAUCAAGUUUGAUGUAUUAACCUUCAACAGGGACCAGCCGCAGUCAAAUUCGAUUCAACUAAAGUUAGAGAAACAAACACUUGCCAGCCACCUUUAUGCAAAACUAGUUGCACGUCUAUCAGUGGAACCUGUCUCAUGAACGUGGUCAUGUAAGGUUGGUUUGGGUCGCCUCAUCCAACAAUACCGCUGAAUCAGCAUAAGACAUUGGUGGUAAGCAGUAUGACAAUCACAUCCCACAACUCUUUGUGUUCUACUCAUGCAUAUCAUCUACGCAUAGACCUGGCUCGGAUGCCACUGUUGGGAAACGUAGCAUGCAAUUUCAAAUAACUUCCUACGCUCACGCAAGAUAUAUCUAGGAGAUGCAUAGCAAUGAGAGGGGGAGAGUGUAUCCACGUACCCUCGUAGACCGAAAGCGGAAGCGUUUGUUAACACGAUUGAUGUAGUCGAACUUCUUCCCGUUUCGACCGAUCAAGUACCGAACGUACGGCACCUCCGAUUUCUACACACGUUCAUCUCGAUGACGUCCCUCGAACUCAUGAUCCACCAAAGUGUCGAGGGAGAGUUGCCUCAGAACGACGGCGUGGUGACGAUGAUGCUGAAGUGAUCCACGCAGGGCUUCGCCUAAGCACUACGUGAAUAUAACCGGAGGCAUAAAUUGUGGAGGGGGCGCUGCACACGGCUAGGAAUCAAUAUUGUGUGUUCUAGGCGCCUCCCCCCUUCAUAUAUAUAGGUGGGAGGGAGAGAGGACAACCAAGAGGGCGCCCAAGUAGGAGCAAUCCUACUUGGGGCCCUAAUCCUAUUCGCCCCCCCCCCUACCAUAAUUCCCCAAGGGGGAAGGAAGGAGGAAGGGGGAGGUCGAAUCCCUCCCCUUCCUUUCUCUCUUAUCCUCUCCCCUCCCUCUAUUUCGGCCUACAUGGGGCGCACCAGCCCCUUAGGGGCUGGUCUGUCCCACUCUUGGCCCAUUAGGCCCAUGUAGUUGCCGGGGGGAUGCGUGGAACCCCUUCCGGUGACCUGAUACAUACCCGGUACCCCCGGAACACUUCUGGUGUCCGAAUACUAUCAUCCUAUAAAUCAAUCUUUACCUCUCAACCAUUUCGAGACCCCUAGUCAUGUCCGUGAUCUCAUCCGGGACUCCGAACAACAUUUGGUCACCAAAUCACAUAACUCACAUAAUACAAAUCAUCAUCAAACGUUAAGCGUGCGGACCCUACGGUUUCGAGAACUAUGUAAACAUGACUGAGGCACCUCUCCGGUCAAUAACAAAUAGCAGAACCUGGAUGCUCAUAUUGGCUCCCACAUAUUCUAUGAAGAUCUUUAUCAGUCGAACCGUUAUGACAACAUACGUUAUUCCCUUUGUCAUCGGUAUGUUACUUUCCUCAGAUUCGAUCGUCGGUAUCUUCAUACCUAGUUCAAUCUCGUUACGGGAAAGUCUCUUGACUCGUUCCGUAAUGCGUCAUCCCACAACUAACUCAUUAGUCACAUUGAUUGCAAGGCUUCUUAUGAUGUGCAUUACCAAGAGGGCCCAGGGAUACCUCUCCGAUACUCGGAGUGACAAAUCCUAAUCUCGAUCUAUGCCAACCCAACAAACACCUUCGGAGAUACCUGUAGAGCAUCUUUAUAAUCACCUAGUUACGUUGUGACGUUUGAUAGCACACAAGGCAUUCCUCCGGUAUACGGGAGUCGCAUAAUCUCAUAGUCGGAGGAAUAUGUAUUUGACAUGAAGAAAGCAGUAGCAAUAAAACUGAAUGAUCAUUAUGCUAAGCUAACGAAUGGGUCUUGUCCAUCACAUCAUUCUCCUAAUGAUGUGAUUCCGUUCAUCAAAUGACAACACAUGUCUAUGGUUAGGAAACUUAACCAUCUUUGGCUAACGAGCUAGUCAAGUAGAGGCAUACUAGGGACACGGUGUUUUUGUCUAUGUAUCCACACAUGUAUGAAGUUUCUGGUUAAUACAAUUCUAGUAUGAAUAAUAGACAUUUAUCAUGAUAUAAGGAAAUAUAAAAUAACAUCUUUAUUAUUGACUCUAGGGCAUAUUUCCUUCACCUCUAUCACCUUUCGCGCGCGGGGCACCACUUGUCGCGACCAAACGCAUGCCUCAACAUGAUCUUCCAGGCCAUAGAUACACGCCAGGCCCAGAAGAUCACCUGACGUGCAGUUUACGCAGUCGCGCCGACCCCAACAAAGCUCAUGGAGUGGUCCGAUUCCAUGGCACCAUCUGUCGUAUCGACCGUCCGGCCUAUGUUUCGUAUCCAGGCAAGUUCGCCCUACUUGUAGAUCCGAUUUUUGGGGGAUUCCGCCUCGCUCAAGUCCCAAUGGACAGCGACAGUGGCGUGAACAUCAUCUUCCCCGACACCUUGGCCAAGAUGGCGAUAUCCCGAUCCCACCUGCAGUCCUCGCCCAUCGCCUUCCAGUUUUGCACUUGGCAGGCAGGUGCACCCCCUCGGACAGCUCGACCUAGAGGUCGUCUUUGGGGACGAGGAUGACUUUAGAUCGAAAAAAUAUGAUUUGAGGUCACGCCAUUUCAAACCGGCUACAGCGCCGUCCUAGACAGGUCGGCCUACGUCAAAUUUAUGGCGAUAUCUCCUACACAUACCUCCAACUCAAGAUGCCAAGUCUGAGUGGCACAAUAACAAUCCACGGCAGCCCCGAGAGGGCUCUUGAAGCAGAACCCACGAACGUAGAGCUCGCCGAGGCAGCACUGGCUUCCACAGAGCUUGAGCACAUCAAGAAGUCUGUUGACACAUCUACAAUAAUACUACCAACCAAGCCCCGGCCGUGGUCAGCUUCCAUCUAGCGAAGGAGACCAAAAAAUUUCAAGUCCACCGAGAAGACCGGCAAAAACGAUAAUCAUUGGACUAGACCUACCAAAAGAAUGGGAGGCCACGCUCCUGCAAUUCCUCUGAAGCAACUGAGAUAUCUUUGACUGGAGGCCCGCAGACAUGCCCGGGGUUCCCGUAAAGAUUGCACAACACAACCUGGACGUUCGGAAGGACGCCAGGCCAGUCAAACAAGCCCUAUGUCCCUUCGCCACAUAGAAACGACAGGUGUGAGGAGAUCCCCCGACUUCUAGCCGCCAGAUUCAUCAGGGAAGUCACGCACUCGGAGUGGCUGGCCAAUCCCGUCAUGGUGCGGAAAAAGAACAUGUUCUGCCGCAUGUGUGUUGACUAAACUGACCUCAACAAAGUAUGUCCAAAGGACUUAUUUCCGCCACCUCUCAUCGACCAAGUUAUAUAUUCAACAUUGGGAUGUGAACCCAUGUGCUUCUUGGAUGCUUACUCUGGCUAUCAUUUAAUACGCAUGAAGGACGUCCGACAAGGAGAAGACCUCCUUCAUCACACCUUUCCGGCCCUUUUGCAAGAUCACCAUGCCCUUUGGGCUCAAGAAUGCCGGGGUGACAUAUCAGCGAAUGAUGCAGAAAUACCUCCACGACCAGAUUGGGGCCAACGUGGAGGCCUACAUCAACAACGUUGUCAUCAAGUCCAGACGCCGCUCCAAUCUCCUCUCUGACGUCGAAAAAACAUUCACAAACUUGCAAAAUAUUCUUGUGUCAUAUAUUUUUACUAAAAAUUAAAUAUUUUAUAAGUAAAAUUUGUAGUCAAAGACGUGUAUUGGAGACUGAAAAGUUAAACACAUCUUGUAUUUCGAAAUGAAGGGCUUGGCUAGGUACACUGAAGUAGCGUGCACAUAGAACAUUUGACGAUUCUGUCGAUCCACCGCUCCGGCGCGAAUAGAAAGAGUUCUUUUCAUACAUAACCGACUGAUCAUGAGGAAAUAAGUGUGCUGAUGCGCUGGACAUGGAAGAUGGAGAUGUGCCUAACACGUCUAAGCCGCCUUUAAAGAAAAAGGAAACGAGUCCAAGCUAGCAAGGAGUCAAACAAGAUUAUCCCAAACCUCAAUAACAAAAAACAAUUCAUAGCUGACGCAUCAAAUUGGCAUGCUUCAAGAACGGACAUCUAUAUAUAGAGUUGCUUGUAGCUUUGGCCAGGCACAACCACAACAUAAAUCAUCCUACACCUCAGUUGGAUGGCGUUUGAGUCGGGCGGUGUGGAGGGCGACGCGGAGGGCGACGCGUCUGGGCUGCGCGAGGCGAAGGGAGACGCAGCGAGCGCCGCGGCGGAGGUGGUUGGCUGGACGGUGGUGCGGCCUGCCGCGGGGCGGCCGCGGCGGGGCGCGCUGCCAGAGGGGCGGCCCCCUGCUCCGCCUUUCUCGGCAGCCGGUUCUAGGCGCUAGAGGGGAUUGACUCCGACAUCGACGCCGACGAGGCAGGUCCUCAGGUGAGUUUAGGUAGUUCCGGUGGUUCGCCGAGGCCCAAGGCUGGGUGCUCGGUGGGCGAUUUCAUCGCCCGCGCGGAGGAGCUUGGGGGCUCCUUCGUGGCUGGUCGGCGGCGUGCUUUUGCUCCCGGAGGGCAGGGAGGCCGCCGCCUGGCGGCGCGGAUCUGGUGGCCGCCAAAGGGGGUGGAUGCGGGCCCAGAAGGCCGCUCGUGCGUCAUCCCGGAGGCGGACCACAGAGAUCCGGUGCUGGCGGAGCCCCCUCGGGCUCCUUCGUGCCUGCCGGAGCCGGCAGGGGCUGGCGACGGCGGUGGCGGGGCUGGCCGGGCAGAGGCUGCACGGAACCCGGCUAGGGUUUCAGGGGCACCGACGGCUGGGCCUGUUCCAGUGUUGGGCCAAAGUGACUGGCCCAGCCUGCCAGGGGGUGGGCUGGGAGACCCUGCGUUGGACCAGCAGGCUUCAGCGCCUGUGGGGCGGGUGGGCUCAGUGUCGCUCUCCACCGUGACUGGGCCGGGAGGGGGGCAGGGGCUCCUCACCGAGUCGGGGCUAGUCCAAUCAGGCCGAGUGGCCGGAUGCGAGCCUGCGCCUCGGCCCGGGCCCAGCGUGACGGAGAAGCCGAGGCCGUCUCCUCCUAUUAAUAGGUGGAUGUGGGUGCCGAAAGGAACCCUAGAUCUUUCGCUAGGGUUUCCUGCCUCUCCCUCGCAGGUGCGGCGUUUCGGACAUCUCGCGCGCCGUCUGCACCGAUCCGCCCCUCCCCCCCCCCCUUCGUGCUCAUACGCCACUGCGGUGCGGAUGGGGUCCCGCCGGAGUGACAAGCCCCCCAUGUCUCCACCGAUCCCGGCNNNNNNNNNNNNNNNNNNNNNNNNNNNNNNNNNNNNNNNNNNNNNNNNNNNNNNNNNNNNNNNNNNNNNNNNNNNNNNNNNNNNNNNNNNNNNNNNNNNNNNNNNNNNNNNNNNNNNNNNNNNNNNNNNNNNNNNNNNNNNNNNNNNNNNNNNNNNNNNNNNNNNNNNNNNNNNNNNNNNCCCCUUUCGUGCUCAUACGCCACUGCGGUGCGGAUGGGGUCCCGCCGGAGUGACAAGCCCCCCAUGUCUCCACCGAUCCCGGCGACGGAGCGCCAGCGUGAAAAGGAUCUGCGGGCGAAGGCGCUCGCCAAGGUGCCAGCGUCGCCAGCGGAGGAUGGGGGCUGGGGGCCGCCGCCUCCAUGGUGGAUCGCGGAGCAGGAGCGGAAGAAGGACGAGGAGCGCGAGCGAAAGAAGAGGAAGAAGGAGGAGUACCGGCGGCGGGGACUUGAGCAGAAGAAGGAGCUCAAGCGGAAGGAGUCCCAACUCCCUCCGGGCGGCGAGCGGGCCGGGGUUCCGCAGGCCAAGAAGCCGAAGCAUAAAGGGGGCGGCUCGGCGCCGCUGCAGUUGGCGACUGGCCCCGAGGCGUCUAAGGGAUCGGCGGACGCCCCGAUCCCCGUGGAAGAGGCCGACGGGCCGGAGUGUUUCAAGUGCGGCAGGGUGGGGCACUACCAGAACAUGUGCUCCUUCAAACCCCUGUGUGUCGUCUGCCACGAGGAAGGACAUGCGUCUGCCUACUGUCCCACGAGGGGGAGGCCCCUGGCGCUGCAGAUCAUGGGCAACGCUAUUCCGGGCGAAGGCUUCUUCUGCCUCCCUUUCGUGGACACGGAGGGGGAGGAGGUUCGUGCCCCUCUCGUCUUGGAUACGGCGAUCAUUUCGGCGGCGCCGGGCAAGCUUUCCAUCCCCAUCCUGGAGGCGGAACUCCCUCACCUUUUCGAAGGGGAGUGGGACUGGCAAGUCUCGGUCGUCGGAGCCGACCAGUUCUCGGUCGUCCUCCCAGACAAGGCCAUGCUAAGGAUGGCAACCCGCAGCGGCAAGCUCUACUUCUCCCUCCACGACAUCAUGGCGGACAUCAAGGAGGCGCGUCCAGAGGAGCCCACGGCCGAGCUCAUGCCGUACACCUGGGUCAAGCUGUGGGGCGUGCCACUCAAGCACCGCCACGUGGAUCGCCUCAUGGUAGCCACUGUGAUGAUUGGACGCCCGAUGGAGGUGGAUCUGGCGUCGCUGUCUGGCCUGGGUCCGGUGCGGAUGCGUUUCGCGUGUCGUGCCCCGGCCAAGCUCAAAGGAUACGUGCAGAUCUGGUUUAACAGUGAGGGGUACACCUUCCGCCUUGAGGCAGAAGCGGGCACUCAGCAGGACACGGCUCCAACCCCCCCUCCCCCUUCGCCAUCUGACCUUGACAAGGGCCAGGAAGACAAGGACAAGGACAAGGACAAGGACCAGGACAUGAGCACGGGGGAUGACUCCAUAGACACGGCUACUUGGGACAAACUGGGCCUCAAGGACAAGGAUGGGCAGGCUGCGCCUCCGGUGGCGGGCGCGGCUCAGGAACGGGAGGUGCGCCAAGUGGUGGUGAGCAGCAAUGAGACGGGUUUCAACCAGUACGGAUCCAACAUGACCAUGAGCCUCGACAUCGACAAGGGCGUCUCGGCGUCCUGUGACUCGGAGGGCCGCUCGACGCUGGUCUCCCCGGCGGUUGCGCUGGUGGACGCGUCUGGGGCUGUGGCAAGCCCUCCCAAGGUGGUGACCGGCAGUGGCGGCGGCGUGUUGAAGCCUCAGAAGAAGACGGCGGGCCGCAAACCACCUGUGGUGGCGCCAGCGGGCACCCCCGAGGUCCGGGCGAGCGUGUCGGUCCGGAGGCCGGUGGUGAUGGCACUGGCCUCUCCAGGGAGGCUGGCAGGGGACACCCCAUCGGUCAUCUCCCCCCCACCUCCGGACGCUCUUCGGGUGGAGGUGGCCAAGGUGGCGCCCAUCCCCACGGCCAGGCGGUCCAAGGCGGUGGCGUCCCCGGCGACUCAAGAGAGGACGAGCUCCCGUCCGAAGGGUGCCAAGGGCAACAUGCCGUCCCUCCAGCGGGCCCAGCUACUCCAGGCGCAAAAGAACCUCGAAAUCGAAGGUAACCCCAUGCCCCUCUUUACGAUUUUUGAAGAUUAUACAGAUGAGUGCUUGGGGGGUAUCUUAGCGGAUAGUGGCGUCGCGAUGGCUGAUGCGGGGGAAGCGCAAGAGGUGUUGUCUCUCAUUCGUGCGAAGGAAAUCACGUAGGCUGCGCUUGCUAAGGCAGCGCAGGCCCGCGCUGUGCCUGCAGCAAAGGAAGCAGGGGCUUCUCUGGUGCCAGGUGUGCGGCCCGAACAGGAGGACCAAGUAGCAGGGGCUGCACCGUCCUCCCUCAACCGUUGUCCUGCCAGGACAUGGCGCGUGGCCAAAGCGGUUACCGCCCGCGGUAUCCGUCUAUGAAACCGCAUCAUCUAAUGCGUUUCAUCUUCUGGAACAUCCGAGGCUUCGGCCACGCUGGGAGGCGGACCCAGUUAAGAGAGUUCAUUAGGAACGAGGAAAUCGACGUGGUCGGAUUGCAAGAGACUAUCAAGGCCGAUUUCAACCACCGGGACUUGCUUGCGGUUGACCCGUUGGAGCGUUUCGUCUGGCACUGGGUGCCUGCGGUAGGACACUCCGGGGGUUUGCUGCUAGGAGUUAACCUAGUCUGCCUUGAAGUGGUGGCUUGGGAUGCCGGCCGCUUCUCCCUGUCGGCCCACGUGCGGCACCGCGCCACUCUACAGGAGUGGAUGGUGAUUGCCGUGUAUGGCCCGGCCAAUCACUCGCUCUCGCUGGAGUUCUUGGAAGAGCUUCAGACAAAGGUGAGGGCUGUUGGCGUGAGCAACCUUCCUCUGCUGGUGGGGGGUGACUUCAACUUGAUCCGCUCGGGAGCGGACAAGAACAACGAUAUUAUUAACUGGUCAAGGGUGGCCAUGUUUAAUAAUGCUAUUGCUUCCAUGGCCCUUAGGGAAGUGGCCCGCGUGGGGGCUCGAUAUACCUGGACCAACAAACAGCUCACGCCGGUGCGUUCGGUCCUGGACAGGGUUUUUAUGUCCUCGGAGUGGGAGGUGUUGUUCCCUCUGUGCUCUCUACACGCAGAAACUAGGAUCGGGUCGGACCACGUCCCCCUCAUCCUUUCCUCGGGGGAAGAAAGGCUUAAACGUAGCCCGCGUUUCUUCUUCGAAACAGCAUGGCUGGAGUCUCCGGACUUCGAGCAAACCUUCCUUUCGAAGUGGGCGAAUUGCGUUGCUCGCAUCGGUCGCGUACGCGGCCCCAUGGAGUUCUGGAUAGCCGCAGGGGCGGGUAUGCGAGCGGCUCUCAAAGGGUGGGGAGCUAAUCAGGGUUGGGCGGAUAAGCGGUUAAGGGUGCGCCUGACUGAGGAGCUAGCUCAGCUAGACGCAGCGGCAGAUCUGCACAUCUUUUCCGCGCAGGACUGGGCCCAGCGCUACGCGCUUGAGGCCCAAGUCGAAUCCCUCCUCAGGGCUGAGGAAGAGUACUGGCGUAGGCGCGGUGGAAUAAAGUGGACGCUCAAGGGCGACGCGAACACAAAAUACUUCCACGCAUACGCAAAUGGCCGACGCCGUAAGUGCGCUAUCCUUCGUCUUCAAUCGGAGCAGGGGCUCAUACUGCGGCAAUAGGAUAUCGUCCGGCACAUCUAUGAGUUCUACAUCCAACUCAUGGGUUCCAGGGAGGAACCCAGGGCUCGCCUGAGGGAGGAUGUGUGGGACCCUGCGUUGCGGGUCACGGACGAGGAAAACGAGAACUUGAGCUUAGCCUUCCUCCCGGAGGAGAUUGACAAGGCCACGCUCGGUAUGAAAUCUGACACUGCGCCGGGGCCGGAUGGGUGGCCGGUGGCGAUGUUCAAGCGGUUUUGGCAAGUGCUCAAAAACCCCAUUUUUGACGUGUGCAAUGGUUUUAUGCGUGGUACGGUAGACAUUUCCCGCCUGAACUUUGGGGUUCUCUCUUUGAUCCCCAAGGUCCCGGGUGCGGAUCACAUUAGACUUUUUUGACCUAUUGCCUUAAUUAACGUCCCGUUUAAAAUUUGUGCUAAGGCUUGUUCUACUCGCAUGUCUCAGAUAGCCCACCGCAUUAUUAGUAGAACCCAGUCCGCGUUCAUUCGGGGACGUAACAUCUUGGAGGGGCCGCUGGUCCUCCAAGAAAUUAUCCACUCCUUGAAGCGCGCUCGACAGCCAGCGAUUAUCCUCAAACUCGAUUUUGAGAAGGUGUACGACCGCGUGAACUGGGAGUUCCUCCGACAGGUACUCCUGGACCGAGGUUUCUCAUCGGUCUGGGUUCACCGCAUGAUGCAGUUGGUCUCGGGAGGCCAAACGGCGAUCGCGGUGAACGGAGAAGUAGGGAACUUCUUCCGCAACAAGCGCGGGCUGCGUCAAGGGGACCCAGCGUCACCGUUGCUUUUUAACUUCGUGGCGGACGCUUUAGGCGCCAUGCUAGACAGGGCUCGCCUAGCCGGCCACAUUAGGGGAGUCGUGGACAACCUAAUCCCGGGAGGAGUGUCCCACUUGCAAUACGCGGAUGACACUCUUCUUCUUUUCGAGCCCGACACACAUAGUAUUGCUUCGGUCAAAGCUAUACUGUUGAGCUUCGAACUCAUGUCGGGACUAAAAAUUAACUUCCACAAAAGUGAGGUGGUGUCCAUAGGGAUGGAUGCGACAGAAAGUCAACGGGUCGCCAACCUGCUUAACUGCAAACUAGGCCAGUUCCCGUUUACUUACCUCGGGCUCCCAAUAGCGGCAAAGAAGUGUACAAUCGCUGACUGGGAGCCCCUCUCCUCCAAGGUGGUGAAUAGGGUUUGCCCGUGGAGGGGCCGUUUUAUGUCUUCAGGGGCAAGAUUAAUCCUUACCAACACCAGCCUCUCAUCUUUGCCCAUGUUUGCCAUGGGUCUAUUCUUGCUGGCGGACGGGGUACACUCUAAGUUUGACACACCGCGGUCACGUUUCUUUUGGGAAGGAGCGGGACCGAAACGAAAAUACCAUAUGGUUAAAUGGCAAGCCGUGUGUCGUCCCAAAACCCAGGGGGGUCUCGGGAUCAUCAACUCCAAGUUGAUGAACAUCGCACUAAUGUGCAAGUGGAUCUGGAAAAUGACUCAGGGUGAGACUGGCCUCUGGAGUGACCUCCUCCGGGCAAAAUAUUUCCCCCGAGGGGAUUUUUUUGACGCGGCGCCCAGUGGGUCUCCUUUCUGGAAUUCCAUUCAAUCCCUUAAACCCCUCUUUGCCAGGGGCGCAAAGUUUGCGGUUAACAACGGACGCUCUACGCGUCUCUGGCUUGAUCACUGGAUUGGCCAGCGCCCAUUAUGGGCGGAGUUCCGACAACCGUACUCCUUAGCGGUCGAACCCGAACAACGGGUGGCCUCGGCUCUUAGCACCUCCCCCCCCCCUGUAUUAACUUCAGACGUGAGCUAAUCGGGCCGGAGUUGGCAGAUUGGGAUCGCCUUCUGGCGCUACUUGCGGACGCCCGACUGUCGGAAUCCGCGGACCUGAUCUCGUGGAGACUUGCGAGCUCCGGCAAAUUCUCUGUCAAAUCCAUGUACAGAGAGCUAUGCCACGGUCAGAUCCCGGCGGCGGCCACGGGGCUUUGGAAGGCAAAGAUCCCGCUCAAAAUUAAGGUCUUCCUUUGGCAACUUUGUCAAGAUCGCCUUCCUACCUCUAUUAACCUCGCUAAACGCAACGGCCCCGCCACUGGCCCCUGUGCGCUGUGUGGGGUCCCGGAAGAUGCUGACCACACCUUCUUCCUCUGCUCCCUGGCUCGUUUCGCUUGGAGCGCGGUCCGGGAGGCUGCGGGAGUGGAUUGGGAUCCACGCUCCCGACCCGAGCUCGUAUCUUCCUUAUCUGGGUUUCAAGGCGAGGCUCGUAGGGUCAUGUGGACUUGUGCGGCGGCUAUGCUAUGGGCUAUUUGGAAUACCCGUAACAAGUUUACUAUUGAGGGGGUGUUCCCCUCGCAUCCCGCUGACGUUAUCUUCAAAUGCAUCGUUUUCUUGCAGCAAUGGGCAUCGCUGGGAAGACAACAGGACUCUGAUCUCCACCGCCAAGCUAUCUGUCGUCUACACGCCGUCUACUCCGAGGCUCGAGCUUCGUCGCCUGCUCAACUGGAUGCCGCAUAGGGAUGGGCAAUCCCCCCCCUUUUGGUCUUAGUACCUUCCGAGCCUGCGUGCUCGCUGCUUUUGGGCCGUUCUCCGCCUUGUAACGAAACUGUGCGCUCUUUUAGCGGUCUGUCCUCUUAUCUGUCGUGUUAGUUUAUGCAGUUUCUGUUCGGUGGUUGUGCUACUCUGCCUAAGUUUGUGGGCUUUAUUAAUUUAAAGCCGGACGUCUCUGACGUCUAUGUUCUAAAAAAAACAUAAAUCAUCCUUCCACGAGACACGGCAGUGCAGAGCCUCCAUAUAGAGAAGUUUAGGAGCAACGAUGAAGAGUAGCACACUCGUGGUCAUCCUGGUCCUCCAGGCCGUCCUGGUCAUGGGAAUCCUCUCACAGGCGAACGGUAUGGUUGCUGAUUGCCGUAUUGUGAUUUCGUUGAGAUCCUUAGCUUUACAUUACACACACAAUUGAUAGUUAACCGAUGCGAAUCCAGUUAACAAGGCGAUUAACUGAUUUGAUUCCAUGCAGCCGAGUUCCCCAAGUGCUGCGACAACUGCAGGUUCUUCUCGGGGGCCGUGGUCUGCGACGACGCCGGCCCCAAGUGCCGCGACGGGUGCGUGAACUGCCGCGUCGUGCAGACGAGCCCUAAGAAGACGUUCCGAUGCGCCGAUGCACGCGUCGACGACGGCACGCCCUGCAAGCCCUGCAAGAAGCACUGAUCGCACAUGCUCAGAACAUAAGAUGUUGCACCGAGAAUAAAAGCUCGGAUGGGUUGAGCAGAGCCGUUGUGGUUGUACGUACACGUGUUCCAUGCCCAACAACAAUUGUUGUUGUCAUCGUCGUCGUUAUGCUUUUAUCUCUCUCCAGAAAAAGCUGUGGUCGUUGCUCCCUGAAUAAACACAUAUUCCCUUUGUUUCAUAAUGUAAGACAUUUUUUGGCACUAGUGUAGUAUCAAAAAACGUCUUAUAUUAUGGGACGGAUGGAGUACUUGUGUGUCAGUGUAUUGCGUCUCUGCUCAAUCAAAUAAAAAUCAGUUUAUUUGUGUCAAUGUUUAUUUGUGUCAAUAUAUUUGUUAAGAUAGCACAAAUAUAUUGUACUGUCCAGUUCAAAUGGUGAAUGGAUCCUUCUCGGUGCUCAAGCGUACGUACGGUCGUCACACUUGGUGCGUGUCGGGAUCAUUAAUUUACGCAAGUCACCCCAAAAAAAACUUUGUUCGUUCCUAAAUAUUUGUCUUAUUACAGAUAUGGAUAUAUAUAGACAUAUUUUAGAGUGUAGAUUCACUCAUUUUUGCUCCGUAUGUAGUCAUUUCUUAAAAUCUGUAAAAUGACAAAUAUUUAAAAAUGGAGGGAGUAAUUACGCAAGUUAGGGGUAUGAUAUUUAAGCAUCUACACCUCCCGAGUCACGAUACGCUCCUGCCUCCUCCCGAGCCGCCCCUGUGUGGCGGCCGGGAGGCUCCAGAUCCAAUCGCCCGACCUCCCCUUCUCCUCUUCCUCCUCCCUCGCCGCCGCCUGAGGGCGCGGCAGGGCGAAGCCUUGCCAUCGCCGGCGGCGGCGGGGACUCGGGGCCCUCCCGCUCGUGAGGGGCUGGCGCGGGCCGGCGCCCCCGGGCCGAAGCGUGGUGUUCGGCCGGACGUCACGGCAGGGAAUGGCGGCUCUCCGGUGAUUCCAUACCUCCACGGCAGUCGGCUUCAAGGUCUGGGGCGUCGCGGUCGUUAGGGACGGCAGCGGCGCGACCGGAUCGGUGGCGGCGCGGCCGGAUCAGGGCCCAGGCGUGGGCUUGGUCUCCGGGUCGCAGGCGAUGGCGGGUGCGGCAUGUCGGCAGCUUUACGGAUCUGCAGAUUCCAUCCUUGUUUGGUCCUUAACGGCGCGGGCAACUCCGGGGAAACCCUAGAUCUCCUUGGGAUCGAGCGAUGGCGGUGUUUUUGCGUCGUAGUCCCUCUUCAGGGCAUCGUUUUGGAGUUUGCUAUGGUUGAAGGGACCAGCGACGCCGAUGGCGCACGCCCGGUGGUGCAAGUGCCGAUGAAAAUCGCGUUGACUACGGUCAUGACGGACGAUGGCAGCGUCUUUGAUGUCGUUUCCUUGUCAAGGCAUCGUCGUUGCAGUUUGCGUCAUCAGGCUCGGGAUGCUCCGGGAGAAACCUUAGAUCUGGGUCUUCCGGAUCAGACGAUGAUGGUGUUCUCUGUAUCACAUUCCCUCAUGGGGGCAUCGUUUUGGAGCAAGUGAUGGAUGGAGGUGGCAAGAGGAGGAGCGGUGUUACAUCUACCGCAAGGCCGGCGACGGAUCACGGCGGCAUGGCGCUGCGGAGUUUCGGCGAUGGGCGUGCGUGGAUGGACACGCACAGGAUGGUGGCGUUGUCUGGCGUCGUGGUGGUGUCGACGGCAAGCCUAGCAAGGUUGAUGCAGCAGUACAACACUGAAGAUGGAUUGGCAGCAGGUGGCGACGGCGGCCUCAUACCCGGCAGGCGUCCUGGUUGAGGAGUGCGCCGGACUUGUGGGUGCCCAUACCCGGCAGGUGUCCUGGUUGGGACCUCAGGUCUUAAAUGUUAGGUUUGGUUGCGAGUUUUGUUUGGUAUUAGGCCCAGAUUAUCAGCAUUCCUUCAUCAACUGGAUAGGAGUAACGAUAGUUGUUGUCUAGACAGUAGCUUUAGUCUUAGUGUUAUAUGACUUUGUAAGGUCUUAUGUGAAUAAUUAAUAAAAUGGUUGCAUACAUCGUCCAGAUGCAGAGGCCGGGGUCUUCCUCCUUUUUCUAAAAAAAAGAUAUUUAAGCAUGCAUGCAUGCCGAUCUCAUCUUGUCGGGUAUGGAACAUGCUAGUAUUCCAUUACAUCUCGCGAAUAUGCAUGCAGCAUGCAUCACGGACGUUAUAUAGCAGGAUACGCAUCUCGUGAUCUCGUCUAGCUUGUCGGUCGCUAGUUAGCUAACAUGGAGAUGCAAAUAUACUAGUACUAAGGUAGAUCUCUCUUAGGUAUGACUUGAGCAAUAUCACCGUUCACCAGGGCAUGUAAACACUGAGCUGCGCGCUCACAGUGUCGGUCAUGCAGCAUGUUUGAAGACGGUGCAGCGAAUCGGUGACCCAGAUCCAUCCCUCGCUGUCCCGUCGGCACCAGCACGUGAAGAGGAGGGCCAUUCACUCGGACUCGACAAGUCUACCCAGCACAAAUUGACCAAAUCUAUCCCAUCGACCUAUCGAAUUUAUUUGCUCUCUCAUAUCCUUUUUCAACCGUGCCAGACGUCUUCCAGCUCUGCCACCACCCUUGCUUCACAGAUGUUUCGAGUCUCAGCGCCGCCAGGACCGAGACACCAGUCCUCUCCCCCGUGCUCGUCGCCACGGACAACGUCGCCGGCCAGGACGCCACCGCGGUACGUCCGGCAACUCUCGGGGCUGACCCUGCACUCUAUGGGUUCGACACAUUGUCUGACACAGUUUUUUGUGAUUUAUUCGUAGGGAAGACGAUGAAUUUUGAUAGGAGUAUGGACCGACAGAGCUUGAUAAAAUAAUUCAAGAUGAGUUUUUCGAUUCGUCAGAAUCGGACGGAGAAGUGGACAUGCAAGAGAAAAUGGACCAGCAGGUGGAGCAUAUUCUCAACAUCAAGGGGGAAGAUAAUUCAUGGGUUUGAAGCUUUGAUUCGCUUAAUUUAGUGGCAUUAGGGAGCGGUGAGAGCGAUUCGGCCGGGGUGGAGAGAAGAAAAGAGAGGGUUUGGGAAAAAGAGUAAGGGCUGACCGUUUAGUUCCACGAAGAGGCAUGGCGCCCUGAACUGGGGCGUUGUGAUUAUCAACAUGUCUCUCUCAUUCAGGAUGCUUCCAGGGCAAGCCGAUGUGGCAAGUUAGCGCAGAUCAGUGACAGAUCUAGAAAGAAAAUGAAGGGUAGGUUCAUAGUUAAUGAUUAGCUAGUAAGCCUAACACUUUUCCCACAGAAAAAGAGUAAGCUAAACACUUUUUUACCAAAUUUUGGCACAAUUUAGCAAGAUUGUCAUUCUCUUCUAACCCUAUUACCCAUAUAACCUCAAUGUUUCCCAGAUAACUACCGGGAACAUGUCUAUUUCCUAGUCUCUUUAGGAUUGUCUACAAAAUAUAAGUUUAAAAAAAAACCCAGAUCUGUGUAGUAAAAUAGCCAUUAUCUUUCGAUCAUUUUGCGCUAUGUACGAGAAAGAAGAGGUCAGAUAUGGCCAUUUUCUGCCAUAUGAGCGAGACGGCCAUCCUGAGUUAUUACCUAGCGACCCAAGAUAUGCUCCUCUAUGCUCACCUGUAAACUCUUCAUGUGGCUUGCCCUUCAAUAUAGGGUAUGGACAUCGGAUCGCCGGCAGAGACAUGAACUGCAAGACCACAACUCGUCUUGCUUCCUAUGCGACCAGGAGGAAGACAAGGUGGAUCAUAUCCUCCUGCAAUGUGUUUACGCGAGACAAGUGUGGUUUUUGUGCUUCAAGAAGAUGGACAUAUCGACAUAGCAUUGCUACCAACCACGGAAGACACGUUAGGAGAUUGGUGGGUGGCUGCGAGAAAACGCAUCGACAAGAGAUACUUGAGAGGUUUCGAUACACUCUGCACAUCCGUCUGUUGGAACCUUUGGAAACCGAAGAAUGACAAGGUAUUUCACAACAACAACAUCGUCAAUGAGUGGGGGGCGGCCGAUCUAACUCAUCAAGAGAUCAUGCUAUGGGCAUCGGCGCGAGGAAGAGGAGAGCAAUAUGGUAUAGAGUAGUAGCCUAGUGUGUGGAGUGGUGGGGUGGAUGUGCCUGCCGUGUGUGGCGGUGCAUAUUGUUUGUAUUUCUUGUGUAUAACCUUCUCUCUUCUAUAAAGUUAAGGUGCACACUUUGCGUACUCUCGGAAAAAAGAAUCUGCUACUUCCAAAAGAGCAUUUUUCUAUUUCUGCAAGUUGCGUCGGAACAACGAGAGUGUGCAAAUGGGCUGGGGAAGUGACGGGUGGCUGGUAGAGAGAAGUAGAACAAAUAUUCAUUAUUUUGAAGCUUGUCUACGGCGUCGGUCAUGGCGCCCAGAGCCGAGCGUCAUGAAAACAACCCAUUUUAUGAAAUAAUUUUAAAUUGUUUUUUUGCUGAACUUUGUGAAAAGGACCAUUUUUAUCGAUUUUCAGAAACUUAUCUAUGGUCUGGCAGUGUGAAUCUUGGGGCGCCGAGUUCGAAAUACUAUGCUUUUUUUUCAGAGACAGACCCGGACCAAUGAGAUUGUCCUUAGUGGUAGUAUCAUAAGUUAGUAUAGUGUAUAUGAUAUUUGUGUUUGAUAUUACCUCCACAAUGCAUACAGUAGUAUUCUAGAUGACUUUAUUUAUUAUUAUGCAUGAUACAUGGUAGCAUAGUAUUUAUUAUGAUACGGUAUCAUUAUAUGAUACUCAACCUUUUUUUAUAUGACAUAUACGACUCCCUCUUGUAAACUAAUAUAAAAACAUCUAGAUCAUUAGUUUACGAAGGGAGUCCUAGUCAUCAUUACGGGAAGGCUGAUGUACCUUAUACUCCCGAGUGGUAUGAAAACAAUCUCUGCUGUCGUGGCCUAAAUCAGUGUGCACGUGAUCUGGUUUUGCUGGACAUGGGUGGUGUCCAUGUCAAACAAUCCACGCCGCCUAUAAAAAACCCUGGAAAACGAGUCCAAGUUUCCAAGCCAGCUGCUAGUAGUCAAACAUCUUUAUCCCCCAACUAACCAGAUAAUGGACAUAGCGAUCGCAGCAUCGCAGCCGAGAAAGCUUGCCAAUCAACUUUUACGAAAUCGGCGCCUAUAUAUAGAGCUGCUCGCAGCUUUAGCCAGCCACACCACUACAACAGCAGAAAGCAUUCUACCACUAGACCGACCGCACCAGGUGAAGUGGGAGCUUUGCGCUAAGGGCUCAUUAGCAACCAUGAAGAGCACCAAGCUCGCGGCGAUCCUGAUCCUCCAGGCCGUCCUGGUCAUGGGGAUCCUCUCACACGUGAACGGUAAGCUGCUGAUGCUCAAUCAUUUCACCUCUUCCUAAACAAAGCUCGAUCAUUUCGUGAUGCCCAGAGGGAAGGGGAGGGUUCUCGUCUCGUCUUAUGAGUGACAUAUUAUCUGAUUCUGAUGCCGUCGGUGUCUUGCGUGCGUGCAGCCGACUAUUUCCCCAAGUGCUGCAACAAUUGCAGGUCCUUCUCGGGGGUCGACGUCUGCGACGACGCCCACCCCCAGUGCCCCAAGGGCUGCUCGGCCUGCCGCGUGGUGACGCCCAGCCCUCACAAGACGUUCCGGUGCGCCGACAUGAAGAGCACCGUCGACGGCACCUGCGGCGGGCCAUGCAAAAAGCACUGAUCCGUUCAGGGCUUCAGGCUCAGACGAGGUGUGCCGCCUAAAAUAAAGCUCAGAUGAGAUGAGCAGUCAUGGUGCCUAUGCUUGUGUGUGGGUCGUG
rnacentral:lncRNA from 1 species